AGAAGGAGGCCUUUAUAUCAUCGACCAGAUCAGGAUUAUUUGAAUUUAGUAAGGUCCUGCUAUUGUUUUAUUCUCUUGCACAAACUAUUCUUCAAAAUAUGUUACCAUGACAUAGAUAAACUUUUCAUUUGCUUAACAUUGUUCAAAGGGCUUGACAUUGCUCAACAUUAUCUGAGCUUUUCUCCUACAGAUGCUUCUUUGGCAUGGCAAUGCAACCAGACUUAAGGCGAUGGCACUCACUUACAUACUCUGCAAGAGCCCACAAUGGAAAAAUAUUCCUGUGAUCUGCAUAGUGUAACAUGCAGUUUUUCAUGAAGGCUCCAGUGAUUUCCUGCCAUAGAUAAUUGAUGAUCAAAUGGUUAGACUACCACCCAGUAUAUAUAGUCAGCUACAAAAGAACAUCAUUUUCCAUUUCCCAAAUCCAUGUUAAAAUGUUACUUCUUUCGUUUUUUAUUCAUGUUCAAGUGAGCUACCUGUUGGGGAAAAUCACCAUCUUCCAUUUGGGAAUUAAUUAACAGCUUUGCAGCCCUGUAAAGAGGUGUUGGGUCUCUCUCCGCCUGUUAGAAAGGAAAGGUUAGACUCAGAUGUUUGGGGAUAAGCCAUAUUGUGAAAAUAACGUAGAAGACCAAGUUAAGCUUGUUGAUGGUGGAACUGUACAAACUGACCUGACCAGAAGAAAGCAGCCCCAUCAGAGCCCACCCGGUUUGUACCAGAUUUGACUUGUUUCCUUCAAGAGGUGUAUGUUUCUGUAUCACCAAGCACAAGGAUUACUUGUUUUUGUGCAUGUUUCUACCAGAAAACAGAGCAGUGGGUGGCAUGUAAGAAUUACCUUGUCCUGGCAAGAAAUAUAGCUCUCUCCCCAACCACCAUCAUCUCUUUGUGAUUUGAGUAGAAACUCAACAGCUCUACCAAUAGCAAGACAGUUGUGGUAAGUCCUGCCAGCAGCUGUUAGGCCCCCAAGUGCAAACCAUGAGCCAUAGGUGAAACAUACUCCCCAAAUGCCUCUUUGUUUAAAUGGAUUUGCACUGCAUAUAUAAAAAAAGAUUUCCCCAGUGAAAUAGUAAUAGUGGAGUUGAGAAACAUACCAUGAGCCAUCAGGCAUUUGUUGGUCUUCAAUGUACUUGGUAGCAUUUGUGAUGAAAUUGUCUAUCUCCUUCGUCCUGUGUCGGGGGUAUAACUUCUUAAACAAAACCAGAGCCUGAAUUGCUGAUGCAGUGCACUCAACAUACCUGGAUCAUCGUUUUGUUAGUCUCCAAGGAAGUUAAAGCUAGUAGAGUUAGAAAAAAAAGCUGAUCUAUUAUCAAGAAUUUUACUCAUGCUCGAUGACAAUGUCUUCAAACAUUUCAGAGGGGUUGAGCAGCUGAAAAGAGAAGGGAUUGACAUUGAUUUAGAUUCAAAGAAUACAGAGAGAGAGAGAGAGAGAGAGAGAGAGAGAGAGAGAGAGAGAGAUAAAACGGAAACAUUAAAGUUACUUAAACAAGUUGAAGUAAUGUACCUCCAACCAUUCUGAAGCUCCUGCAGGCUCCCAGAUUGCUAAACCACCAUUUUUACUCUGCAGUGGUUUUGAAAACAAGGGUUAUUGAUACUAAGAAGUUAUAACCUGUUUUGUGAUGGGGACAACCAUGGAAUGGCCCAAGGAAGAUGAUUCUCACCUGUAGGGAAAGCAGGAUGUUGACAGAAUCAAAUAGUCGUUCGGGUUCCAUCUUCAUACCAACAAUUUCUGGUGCCAUCAUUGAAAAGAGAAGACAACACUGUAACAGAGGGGACUUCAGUGAGAAACCAAGUGACUUUAGUUAAUCUGCAAGCCCUGACUCAAUUAAGUGUUUGAACAGAAAAAGUUACCUUCAAACCUUCUGCAGUGCAAUCAGAAACUUGCCAACCAUGAUCCUGAUCUGAGAAUGUCCACGAACCUUUGGAAAUGUGGCGAUACAUGCUUUUAAAGUCACCAGAAGGAUUGUCCUUGACCUUCAAGAUUUCAAGCAGUAUGAAGUAAAUAGACCAUGAGAAACCCAAGUAGAUUCUGGUUAAAGUCAAGACACAAACAAUGGAAUUCAAGAUCAAACCUGAGAUUCCUUUAUGAAUUCAUGUCCUUUCUUGAGUGUAGGUCCAAUUUCAUCGGUCAUAUUGCAAGCUAGCGGUGCUUGAAGGGCAAAACCAGUGUCCCACUCUUGACUACCAAAGGUCUACAGCAAUCGACAAUUUCAAAACCAAUUAGGCAGGAGAGGAUAAAAGCAUAGCUUCAAACCAGUUGCACACUUGAAAUAUUUUAAGAAAAAGAUGAAAAGAUCAAAGCUCCAAGCCCAUUUAUGAGGUUAAGAUGAUGACUAGGUUCAAAAUAUAUAUACCUGAUGACAGUAUAGGUAGCGAAGAAUUUCUUUACGAUAUUCUCCAGGGAAUACAGUGUCAAGAUGCCCUGUAAUGUAUAGACACAUGACCUGAAUUUUCCAUGAAAUUAUUCCAUUGAGAAUGGUUGUUAAAAUGGUCCAUAUACAUGAUUUUAAGGAGGGUGAGAGGGUGUUGAGUAGACUCACCAGAGGAGGAAGGAAAUACAAUGGGCCAGCAUUUUCAGCAGGCCAAUGGCCAUCACUAGCCUGCAAAGCUGAAAAGAAAUGUGCACCCCUUCUCACUGCUGCUGUGAUUGUCUCAUAUGUAAUUUCUUCACCAUCCCCAACCUUAACUUGUGGUAUUGUUUGUUUGAAAUUUUUCUCUCUCAAAAACUGCAGUUUUUUUUGGCCAAAUGAAAUGGGAGUUAAUGAAGUGAAAGUUUAAAAGAAAAGGUAAAUUAACCUCAAUAGUAAGCAUCUAUUUAUACAAUUGUUCCAAGUUAAGAGAAUUAUUACAAUUUUUAAAGUGCAUAAUAUAUAUUUUGGGUUCAAAUCCUACAAACUUAAUCUUUUAGGAAAUUACUUGUUUAACAUGGUAUCAAAGCUCGGUUUUGGAAUCGGUCUUACCUCUCAUUAUCCGACAAUUUGCUUGAUGGUGUCUCAACCAGUUUAAAAGAAAAGAAAAGAAAAGGUAAAUUAACCUCAAUUGUAAGUAUCUACUUAUACAAUUGUUCCAAGCUAAGAGAAUCAAGAUAGAGUUAGCAAUUGUUAAACUGCAUAAUAUAUAUUUUGGGUUCAAAUCCUACAAACUUAACUUUUUAAGAAAUUAGUUGUUCAACAUGGUAUCAAUGCUCAGUUUCGGAAUUGGUCUCACCUCUCAUUAUCCGACAAUCUGGUGGUAUCUUAACCUAAGGCCUGGUGUAUGAGGGGAAUAUUGUUAGGUUUUCCCAUAUCUCUUAUAGAAGGAAUUGGGUGACUCUUUAUCAGUGUGCAUGAAAAUCUCAGCCUUCAAGCUAAUUUUUGGGGUGAUAAGGCCCAAAAUCACCCAAUAUAUUUUUUCUUUUUUACUUUAUGAUAUCAUAACCUCAUUUGGGAGUUUUGGGUCAAAAUGGCUCAUUUUUUAAACUUAAUGUUAAAAAUGGGCACAUUUUCAAACUAUUGUUCAAAAUGGCCUCUUUGAUGCCACGUAGGCGUCACAUCAUUAAAAAAUAUUUUUUUUUCGUCAUUAUAGUGAAAGCCGCAGUUGGGAAACGCAGCUUCAUUUUUGUACUAAAGCCGCAGUUGGGAAACGCGGCUUCAUUUUUGCACUAAAGUCGCAAUUGGGAAACGCGAUUUCAUUUUUGUACUAAAGCCGCAGUUGGCAAAUGCGGCUUCAUUUUUACACUAAAGCCGCAGUUGAGAAACGCGGCUUCAUUUUUUAACUAAAGCCGCGGUUGGCAACUGCGGCUUUAGUUAAUUUUUAUUUAAAUUUAAAAUUUAAUUAAAAAAUUAUUAAAUUACAAUUUAUGAAUGAAAUUUAAAAAUAUACUUAAAUAAUAAAUUAUUUAUAUUUAAAUUUAAAAUUCUAGUAUUACUUCAACAAACAUAAAUUGGUAAAUAGAAGAUAUUAUAAAUGAAUGUUUUAUUUAUUAAUAAAUUAAUAAUCUUAAAAUAAUAAAUUUAUAUAACAUAUAAAUAAUAUAUAAAAUUGUAUAAUUUAUUAAUUUAAGAUAUUUAAUUUGUUAAAUUUUAAGAUAUUAAUUUAUUUAUAUUAUGAUAAAUUUAUCUUUAUCGAAAUAAUAAUAUAGUAGUUAAUAACUGAGAUUUCAAUUAUAAUAUUUUUUUUUACUUUCCAAUUUAAUUAAAAACUAUUAAAUCACAAUUUAUGAUUGAAAUUUAAAAAAUAUACUUAAAUAAAAAAUUAUUUAUAUUUAAACUUAAAAAUCUAGUAUUACUUCAACAAACAUAAAUUAAUAAAUAAAAGAUAUUAUAAAUGAAUGUUUUAUUUAUUAAUAAAUUAAUAAUCUUAAAAUAAUAAAUUUAUAUAACAUAUAAAUAAUAUAUAAAAUUGUAUAAUUUAUUAAUUUAAGAUAUUUAAUUUGUUAAUUUUUAAGAUAUUAAUUUAUUUUUAUUAUGACAAAUUUAUCUUUAACAAAAUAAUAACAUACUCUUAAGCCGUAGUUGUCAUAUAUAGAUUUUUUUACAAAAUUAGUUAAUGAAAUUAAUUACAAAAAGUCUACUACAAAAUGUAAUUUUUAAUAGUUUAAUUAAAGUCACAAAAAAUAUCUACUAAACAUUAAUAUAGUGGAAAAUAAAAAACAUAUAUAAUCUCACAUGCCUCCACAAGAAGAGAACCUAUGUGUAACUGGUACUCUCUUCCUUUGGACAAGAACGCCGAUUGUGACCCUAUUGCUUGCAAAGUCCACAUGUUUGUGGAGUCCUAGUUUCCCUUGCAUCCAUCUCAUUAUGCAAACGACUUGAUUUUGGUCGACCAGAAGUUAGCCAUUUCAUUGAGUCUGAAGGCACAAUUAUCGGUCCAUUAUAUUGAGGCCACUCCAACUCAUCAAAUAUGGGAUAAAACAAGGGAGCCCAUGUUGAUAGGUAAGCACGUGUGGUGUAAUAACCUUGUACAAAUUGUCGAAAAUCAAUUGCUCGACAAUGACAAGCAGCAAGAAUGUGCGAACAUGGGAAUCAUAACAAAAGUGUUUUGUUACAUGUGCAAGACCCCAUUUGAAGGGUAACAUGAUAUAUGCGAGGUUUCCUAUUACUGCUUCCAACAGAGUGUCUAGUUUUAACAUGAAAACGUCCCGCCACAUGAUCAUACAAAAAAACCUCAUGUGCACCCACCUUAACAACUUUAGCCUUUAUCUUGGCGUCAAUAUGUGGAGUGAAUUCUUCACCUGAAGCGAGCCGACUAGCACCAUGCUCCCGCCUGACUGUGAAGUAACUGUUAACCCGAUAGAAAGUUAACUGGACUAAAGCUAUUAUUGGUAAGUUACGAGCACCCUUAAGGACACCAUUAAAAACUUCAGACAUAUUAGUUGUCAUAAUCCCAUAUUUUCGCCCACCAUCAUAUGAGAGUGCCCAUUUUUCAAGAGGAAUUUGCUCCAACCAAUUUCUAGCCUCGGCAUUUAUCCGGCCAAUUGUAUCCAUGUGAGAAAUAAAUUUUAUCAUGUGUGAUUAUAUAUAGGUUCUUGUCCAAACAGGAAGAGAGUACCAGUUACACAUAGGUUCUCUCCUUGUGGAGGCAUGUGAGAUUAUAUAUGUUUUUUAUUUUCCACUAUAUUAAUGUUUAGUAGAUAUUUUUUGUGACUUUAAUUAAACUAUUAAAAAUUACAUUUUGUAGUAGACUUUUUGUAAUUAAUUUCAUUAACUAAUUUUGUAAAAAAAAAUCUAUAUAUGACAACUACGGCUUAAGAGUAUGUUAUUAUUUUGUUAAAGAUAAAUUUGUCAUAAUACAAAUAAAUUAAUAUCUUAAAAAUUAACAAAUUAAAUAUCUUAAAUUAAUAAAUUAUACAAUUUUAUAUAUUAUUUAUAUGUUAUAUAAAUUUAUUAUUUUAAGAUUAUUAAUUUAUUAAUAAAUAAAACAUUCAUUUAUAAUAUCUUCUAUUUAUUAAUUUAUGUUUGUUGAAAUAAUACUAGAUUUUUAAGUUUAAAUAUAAAUAAUUUUUUAUUUAAGUAUAUUUUUUAAAUUUCAAUCAUAAAUUGUGAUUUAAUAGUUUUUAAUUAAAUUGGAAAGUAAAAAAAAAAUAUUAUAAUUGAAAUCUCAAUUAUUAACUACUAUACUAUUAUUUCGAUAAAGAUAAAUUUAUCAUAAUAUAAAUAAAUUAAUAUCUUAAAAAUUAACAAAUUAAAUAUCUUAAAUUAAUAAAUUAUACAAUUUUAUAUAUUAUUUAUAUGUUAUAUAAGUUUAUUAUUUUAAGAUUAUUAAUUUAUUAAUAAAUCAAAUAUUCAUUUAUAAUAUCUUCUAUUUAUCAAUUUAUGUUUGUUGAAAUAAUACUAGAUUUUUAAGUUUAAAUAUAAAUAAUUUUUUAUUUAAGUAUAUUUUUAAAAUUUAAUCAUAAAUUGUAAUUUAAUAGUUUUUAAUUAAAUUUGAAAGUAAAAAAAAUAUUAUAAUUGAAAUCUCAGUUAUUAACUACUAUACUAUUAUUUCGAUAAAGAUAAAUUUAUCAUAAUAUAAAUAAAUUAAUAUCUUAAAAAUUAACAAAUUAAAUAUCUUAAAUUAAUAAAUUAUACAAUUUUAUAUAUUAUUUAUAUGUUAUAUAAAUUUAUUAUUUUAAGAUUAUUAAUUUAUUAAUAAAUAAAACAUUCAUUUAUAAUAUCUUCUAUUUAUCAAUUUAUGUUUGUUGAAGUAAUACUAGAAUUUUAAAUUUAAAUAUAAAUAAUUUAUUAUUUAAGUAUAUUUUUAAAUAUCAUUCAUAAAUUGUAAUUUAAUAAUUUUUUAAUUAAAUUUUAAAUUUAAAUAAAAAUUAACUAAAGCCGCAGUUGCCAACCGCGGCUUUAGUUAAAAAAUGAAGCCGCGUUUGGCAACUGCGGCUUUAGUACAAAAAUGAAGCCGCAUUUGCCAACUGCGGCUUUAGUGCAAAAAUGAAGCCGCAUUUGCCAACUGCGGCUUUAGUAUAAAAAUGAAGCCGCGUUUUCCAACUGCGGCUUUAGUGCAAAAAUGAAGCCGCGUUUCCCAACUGCGGUUUUAGUACAAAAAUAAAGUCACGUUUCCCAAUUGCGGCUUUCACUAUAAUGACGAAAAAAUAUAUUUUUUAAUGAUGUGGCGCCUACGUGGCAUCAAAGAGGCCAUUUUGAACAUUAGUUUGAAAAUGUGCCCAUUUUCAACAUUAAGUUUCAAAAAUGGGCCAUUUUGACCCAAAACUCCUCAUUUGGUGGGAGGUGAAGGUCAUAUGGUGGCCCACUAUGGUCACUUUGUUUGAAGUCAAGUGGUUUCAAUACAUGUUUCUUUUCCCAAUUUAUCAAGUUCGCAUGCAAGCCUGAAAAUAGAAGCUGCACAUGUAAGAGGGAGAGAGAGUGAGAGAUUAUGGUUGUUUGGUGGUGAAAACAUGAUUCUAAAGAGGACCCCAUAUCUUGCGAUUUUUUGGGUUCCUUUUUUCAUAGAAAUCAUCACCCAUAAUCAAAUAAAUGGAAACAAAACAAGAAAAGCUAUGUAGCUAGACUACGUAAAACAACAAGUAUGUAUGCAUGGAAGACACAUAUAGUCAGUGAAAAACUGCAAUCUAGGACGCAGAUGACAGAUCAAUAUCUGUUGUGAUAUCAAGACUUGAGAUAGAUGGGAUCAAAUCACCUGCAUCCGCCAAAGGAGGUCGCUGCUGGGCUUAACCUGAAACCGGUUUUUCCAGAAAUUUUCACGAGCUGCUUCGACCUCAGCUCGCUCUUCUGGGGUCCCACAGUCAGAAUCAAACUCCCAUAUCUGUCUUCCCACGAAGUUGUUGGUGCUGUAGAUGUAGGGAUCAUUGCCUCCAUCUGCAACCUUGAGCCUCCACAUUUUCUAACUCACCAAACAGACGAGAUAUAUCUCUAUAUAUAUCUAAGUUUACAAAUAAGUGUCUCCCUUCCGAAAACACCUGCUGAUCAUGAAAUCACCAGAAAGGUAAGACAAGCUUUUCUUUGCAGUAAAAUUAAGUUAAAAUGAUACAGACCAAGGAUAGAGAGAUAGAUGCUGGGUGGGCAGAGAAGAGAGAGACUUCAGAAACUUGGAAUGGCGAGUUCCAGGUGGGAAUCACUCAUUCAUAUAGAAGCAGAACACCAAGUCAGUCACCAACCCCCAUCACUUCUAUUAAUUCUUUUUUCACCCACUUCAAGUAUUUAAUGCAAAUUUUCACCAACCCCCACCAAGUUUGUGGAAUUUUUUGACUUUCAAGUAUUUUUUAAUUGAUGUGUUUUUUAAAAGGGUUAAACCAUUAAAGAACUCAAUGCAUGGAGUCCAGGGACAGUCCCUGAUAGAUAUCAGUCAUUCAAUCCUAAAAUUAAUAUACUUUAAAACAUACAUGAAGAAAUGACACAUCAAUUAGGUAUAUAGCAUUCAAAUUGUAUCAACUAAUAUGUCCAAUUAAAGUCUCAAUCAAAUUGUUGCCAUCAGUUAUAAUUAUGGUUCUUGUGGUUGUUAUUAGGAGAAAUGGCCACCAGUAUUUGAACAUAGAGUAGAUGUGAAUCAUGUGAUAGCCUACUUACAUAACUCCACACCCAACCAAAUCAACAACUCACUAUUUAAGACAAAUAUAACAAUGUGUAAGGCUAUUCCAAUGGUUCUUCCCUCUACUAGAUUAUUCAUCCAAGAACGUAAUGGCUAGUUUAUUUUCAUAGAAUCAUUCAUAAAGUAGGAAAAAUUUUAUUCUUUCCAUUUGUAUCAGCAUAAUCGAUUGAUUAGCUAAACUAAGGCCAAAUUAGUUGACUUGCUUUUCCCUUUCUACCCAUAGUUUUAUAUAUUUUCUAAAAAUCAAUGCUAAUCUAAUGAGGGCCUACUAUAGUUUCAUUUUCUUGUAUAAAAUAUUCUUCAAACUUCUUAUGUUAUUAGAAUUCUACCUCACAAUUCAAUCUUUUCACCAAUGUGCAAACUUGGUAUUUGUGAAAUUUCAAAUUUUCAAUCUUUUCACAAUUUCAAAUUUCUACCAAGUAUCUUCUUUGGAGAUCUUAAUAUUUGCCUUUAAUCAAGAGUCUUUAUCCUGAAAAUCACCUUACAAAUGUUGGUAAGAAGGAAGUGAAUCCAAGCUACACAAUCUGGGUGAACAAUGAUGGCCUCCCGUCUUAACUUAUAGGGUUGAUAAAAAAAAGAUGAAGUAUUACCAUUGGAGGACAAUCUAGUUGAUAGAUCUGGAUUUUUUAUUGAAGAACAACAAACACAUCAAUACCAAUUCCUCCUCCUAUCAUUCUUGACACAUAGCCUACAGUUACUAUCACUACACUUCCAAUCAUAGAAUCACCUUUUCCUUUCCACGAAAUCCAUUCCAACCACCUUUACACCUGAUCCUUCCUCUCCACCAUACACUCCACACUAGAUUUAACGAACCAAUUACUUACCAAUCUUCCAACUGCCCCAACUUCUCUAUGAACACAACCUAUGCCUGACAAUCCCUCUCCUUCACCAGAACAACCCACACAACUUCCCACUAGCAUUAACACUCAUGGCUUGUCACCUAUGCAAAAUUGAGACAAAAACGUUAUUUGGCUCUCCAUGCUAGUCAUUCUACUCGUAUUGAACCUAGAACUCUUAAAUCAAAACUUAAACAACCUCAUUAGGUGGUUCAUAUGGAGGAAGAAAUAAACAACUAGAGGUUGAAAAUGUCUUCUUAAUUGACUAUCUUAAGGAAAUGAUUUACAAGGAGUAACCUCCAGGGUUUGUUAACCCUAAUUUUCCUUCACACGUUUGUCUUCUUAAAUGUUCCCUAAAUGGCAUGAAGCAAGCCUCUUAAGUUUGGUUUAAGUGUUUAUCACAAGCUCUUAUUCAACUUGGUUUCUUUGAUACCAAGAAUGACUCAUCAUUAUUUAUUUUGCAUACAAGUUCUCUAAUUGUUUUAAUCUUAUUUUAUGCAAAUGAUGUUAUUGUAAGAAGUAGCAACCCUUGCUAUAAUUCAAUAUAUUAUUACUACUUUCAACUCUAGAUUUGCUUUAAAGACCUUGGCUACCUAAAAUAUUUCUUGGAAAUUGAAGUUAAAUAUUUUCAAGGUGGUUUUUUAUGGACCUACAUUUUUCACAUACGUUCCUACUCGAUAGCGAGACUCGUUUUUUAAUGAAAAAUUGAUUUUGAAAAAGUUAGAGUCACCAUUUAUUUUUGUUUAUUUUUUAAAGGGAAAAAAAUAAAAAAUAAAAUCUAAAAAUGACUUUUUAUUUGGAAAAGUAUGUCUUUCAAAACUAGGUCCAAAUCCAGGAUUCAUGUUAUCUAUCGAGAAGGUACCAUAAGGUAGCACUCUUCUAAGCCCUAAAUAAAGGUCUCUACUAAUUAAAUUGAGGUAACUAUGACAAUUGAUUUGUAAAUCAAUGGAUGCUAAGAAUCAUGAGAUAUAUAUCAUAGUAAUAAUGAAAACAUAAUUAAAAAUCACUCAAACAAGCCAUGCACACUCAAAGAGUCACAUCAACAAGGAAAGGAAGGAGCGUACCUUAUAGCAUGCUAAGCAUUCUUAUAAAAUAACAUAAUGUUAACAAAUAAACCAUAUCAAGGAAGCAUUCAAAACAAUACAUGCAUACUCAAAGAAUCAAACAACAGAAAAAGAGAGGAGAUAUACCUUGAUAGCUAGCAAAGCACUUUCAUAAAAUCAUUUAGGGGUAGUUCAUAAGUAAUAAUAAUAGCAGAUAUAAAAUCAUAGGUAAGACCUCACAAUAGAUACAACAUAUGCAUAUCUCAAAUCAUGAAAUAAAGAGAUGAUAAGGUAUGAACAAGAUGAAACAAAAUACAAUACACAUGCUUAAAAUUUCAGAAUUAGCUAACAAGUAUUCACUCACAAAAAUUAGUCUAAAUAAAAUAUCAAAUAAAGAAUCCCAAUCCAAAGAAAGGUUCAACUAAUGUGUAUAAUAUGUCUACAAUGUAAAUCAAUAAUCAAAAGCAUGCAUAAAGGGGAUCGAAUUAUAAAAAACCUACAGACUAUCAUCAAUAGGGCAGAACAAGGGUAUUUACAAAAUAAAUCUUAAAUAAAUACCUAAAAUUCUUAUUUUAUCAAAAUAAAAAAUGGAGAACAUCUUCAAUAUGUCUAAAUCAAAAUAAAAAAAAUUCCAAAUUAUUUAAUUAUAUGCUAUUCAAUACCAAAUUAAAUCAAACUAAGGACACUACACAGAACAUUCAACAUAUGAUUAAAACAAAGAUGUUCAUGAAAUGGAUUCUAAAAAAAUAUCUAGAAAUAGAAUUUCAUCACAAAAAAGGGACAAUAUCUCCUAUGUCUAUAUAAUAACCCAAAAGAUCACAUUAUUUAAUUAUGUUCCAUUCAAUACCAUAUUUCAUCACAAUUCAUAUUGGUAAAAAACAAGACAAAUUACAAAGCAUACAAGAAUUAAUUUAUUUGGUGAAUUUAGAAGUAUGUUAAAAUCACAUAAAAAGUUAUACAAUUUCUUCUAUAUGAUUUCAUUACAUGAAAAAUAAUAGCGAGAUUAAAUCAUACAAGAACUUAUUGAAAUUCAACCAAAAAAAACCUUAACUAUAGAAUAGAGCCGAUGUAGUGGGUGUAGAAAUGAAAAUUUAUUUCUCCUACUUGGGAGGUAAUUUUUGAGUGUCAUAGGGGUCUAAAUUAUAAUUUAUGAAGUUUAGAUUAAGGAAAAAACAUCAAAAUAAAUUAAUUUUAAAAAACUAUUUUGGGUAUCUAGAAUAGUGCUGAAAUUAGACCUAAUGAAAGACUAAUUUAAAUGCCUUACUUAGAGAAGCGUUUCAAGCUCAAAAAUAAAAUAAAAUAAUUUCACAUAGUUAAGAAUUCUAAAACAAUAACCAAGCAUUGAAAAAAAUUUAAAAGGUCUCUAAGUGGUCGGAUUCUAAUUUACAACUUCAAAGGUGCAGUGGACUAACAACAAUGGCAAUAUAGAACUGAUUUUUGGAAAACUUUGAAUUAAGGGAUUCACUAGGUCCCUUUUAAAUUUUUAUGAAUUUAUCUAUGCUUCAUUAACCUCAUGUGAGCAUGAACAAGCUCACUAAGGCUAGGAAUGACUCCAUUGAUUGGAGCUAUAAAUUUAAUUCAUGUAUGAGAAAAAUCGAAAAUAAAUGAAACCUUUUCAAAUAUGCAUAUCAAAUUAAAUGAACAAGGUAGCAAUUUUUAUUUUUUUAUUAUUUUUAAAUAGUCUUCUUUUCACCUAAUUGAUCUAAUAUGGAUUUGAAUAGUGAACUUUCAUGAUUCACUUUGUUUUAGAAACAAUUAAAAAUACUUUCAAAAUCAUUAAAACACAUAAAAUCAUAAAUCACUAAAAAGGCACCUAAAGAUCAUUGUGUGUGUAUAAAAAAUUGAGUGUUCAAAGUGAAGUGAAUUGCGUAUUUUGUGCAUCUUAAAAAUGACUAAAAAAAUGACCUGAAAGUGUGCCAAAACUAAGCCUCUAAAGUGACAUAAAAAAGCAUAUAAAAUUGACUUAAAAGUGAAAUGAACAAGUGAUACGGAAAAUAGAGAUACAUGGUGAACUCAACUAAUGACCUAUAUGUGUGAUUAGUGAUGAAAGAUUAUAAGGAUCAACUAACCUAAAAAUAAAAAUUAAGAGACAUGAAUCAAUACAAAAACACUAACAUUCAAAACCUAUUUUCAUGAUUUUUCAAUCGCUUAUUUUUGGAAAAACAAAUUUAAAAGAAAAGAAACCUAAUCUUAAUUCUAAAAUUAACUAACAAACAUUUCACAUUCAAGCAACAUAUCAUCAAUUAAUCCAACACUCAUGUGUGUCCUAUUCCUCCACACCCAACCUAAUCUAAUAUAUCCAAAAUCAUGAAAAUGAGAAGAAAUAGGAAAAAAAAAAAAAAGAAAUCAAAACUAAAAUCAAAAUUCAGCAACUUACCUCAAAUUAACUUUCUCUUCAAAAUUCGGUGGGGUCCUUUUUACUUUUCACAAAUCUAAUCUAUGCAUCUGUGUGUUCUCAAUGGCCGAUGCAUGCCUUCUUCUCCAAUAUUCCUCUACUGCAUCUCUUAAGGAUCAAAUUCUUCUCCAAUAUUCCUCUACUGCAUCUCCUAAGGAUCAACGUUGCUGCAUGUUUUCUCUCUCCUUUACCAAAUGCUGCUACAUUUCAUGCUUGCAUCUUCACUUUAAAAAUUAUGUUGUAACUUUCAAUUAAAGGCAUGCACUAAUAGCUCCACAAUCAACCCACUCUAAUCAUCAAUUGUGUACAACCAACUCAAGAAAAACAUGAAUAGUGUUUUUUUCUCACAAAUUUCAUUUAAAAAAAUUAUUCCUUAUCUAGAAACUUCCCUCAAAUUAUGCCAUGCCAAUUUGUGGACCUGCAUUUUUCACGUGUGUCCCUACUGGACGGCGAGACUCACUUUUGAUUUGUGAAAAACUACAUUUUCAUUAAAAUUUGGACUCACCGCUUACUUUUAUUUAUUUUUUAAAGGGGAAAUCAAGUAAGAACAAAAUGUCUGAAAUGACUCCUAAAUUUUGGAAAAGCUAUCUACGAAAAACUUGAGUCUAGGUUCAGGGAUCAAGUAAUCCAUUGGGAAGGUACCUCCAAAGAGAUAACACCCCUCUAAGCCCUAAAGAGGCCUCUACUAGUUAAGUUGAGGGAAGCAUGUCAAUUAGUCAGUUGAUUGAAGAUGCCUAAGUAGGUUAAGGUAAUUUCAAAACUUUGAUAAUUCUAAAGUGUCAAACAAGGAUUCAAAUCAUAAUCAUAAAAAGAGGAUAAUAUGUGUAUUUGGAUCAGUAACUUAAAUGCCAUCACAAAACACCAAAGUAAGUUAAGGUAUUAUAUCACUCAACAUGCAUUUUAUCAAAGGAAAUCAAAUGAAUAUCAAGGCACCCGAAGUCAAUUUCAAACAUGGAUAUAGUUUCCAAUGACAUACAUAUUCAUGGAACUUUGAAAUGGGAAGAUAAAGAGCAUACCUAAGUGCCAAGCAUUUGUGCUUUUAUAAAAAUGGGGUUAACUCAAAAAUAAUAAUAAUGAGAUUAAAGAAUAAUAAAAAUAAAUAAAUCUAUAUAGAUAUAUAUAUAUAUACUUAGCAUGUCUCAAAUCAAGGAAAAUUCAUAAGCAUAUUCAAAAGUGACCAAAUUAUCAAAAGGAAAGGAAAUAUCAUUAAAAGGGUAAAAUAUUGGUUCACAAAAUAAACUCCAAAUAAAUAUCAAGAAAGGUUAUCUCACCAAAAUAAAAAUUAGGCAACAUCUUUAACAUGUCCAAAUUAACAUCUGAUAGGCCAAAUUAAUCAAUUAUAUUUCAAUUAAUAACAAAUUGAUUCAUAAAUGGGUUACUUCACAGAAAAAAGUCAUCAAAUGAUCAAAAUAGAAGACUGUACAAAAUAAAUCUAAAACAAAUAUCUAGAAUCUAAGUUUUAUCAUGAAAAUUUUCAAAGAACAUUUCUUAUAUGUCUAGUUUAUCAUCUAAGUGACCAAAUUGAUUGACCAUCCCUCAUUUAGUACCAGAUUUCAUAAUGAUGAUAAUAGGUCCAAAACGUGGCAUCUUUUUAAGGUAUUCAACAAUUGAUUUUUCCGAUUAACUUAUAGAUGUCCUAAACUCAUAAAAAUAAAAUAAAAAAUUCACACAACUAUCUAAAUUUUCUAUUUUAUAGGAAAAAUAAUCAUAAGGCAAUAACACAUUCAUAUUUUAAAGUAAAUAAACAUCUCUCUACUUUAGAAGAGCCCUCAUGCAGUGUGUGCAACAAGAAAAAAUUAUAUCUCUUAUUUUAGAAAUCAUUUGUUAAUAGUUUAUGUAUCAAAAAUUAAAUUCAAAAAGUUUAGAUUAAGAGAAAAAUGUUCAAAGAAAUUAAAGAGAUCGUUUAGUAAUUUAAUUUUGUAAAACAAAACUGAGUGUCAAAAACAGAGUGAAAAGUGAACCUUUUGAAAAAUUGAUUUAUAUCUCCUAAUUGGAAAACCAUAUUUGACCCAAGAAAGAUUCUAAAAUCAAGUUCAAGGAGUCUAGAAUGUUAUAGAAUAGUUAGAAAAAUUUUAAAGGGUUUCUAAGUUGUUAGAUUCCAAUUUACAGAUGCAGAAGUACAAUGUACUGUAAUGAAAAAUUCUAAACUAGCUAAAAUGAAUUAAGAUAAAUCAAGACAAAUUUCAAAAUAAAAACUGCAUCACCUAGAAUAGAAGCCAAUUUACCAAAAAUAUAAGAAAUACUCAAACUAAAAGAAUGGGAUCAAACCAAAUCAAAGCAUUAACUGUAACACCAAGGAUUGAUUAAAUUAAUGAUGAAAAAUCAUAAAUGGGCCUAAACUAAUAGAACAAAUUAAACUAAACUAAAACAAGAAUUUAAAAACAGAACUUACGUUCAACCGUGUAAGAGGGGCUGCUAUUAGAACGCUCUUAAUCCUUCCAAUCUGAUGCUUUAUAUGCUACAUUUUCUAAAAGAAAAUCCCGAGACAUCCUCAAAGUUGCAGCUUGUUGUCAUCUUCUUUGCAUGGUAUGGUUGCCCUCCAAAUUUCAUCAAAAUGUGUGGAUGGCUUUCACAAAAUCUGGUGGUGCCAUAUUCUUAAAGUGGCAACCUUUUUUUUUUUUUUUUUUUCCAAAAAAUAAGCUGAUGUGUAGUGGAGGUUCAAAGUGGUAGCCUUAUUCUCAUCCUAGUAGUGCGUGGUGGAUACCUCUCACAAAAUCUGGUGGUGCAAAAAUCUGUGCGUGUAGGGGCUUUUUGAGUGGCAGCUUGUUGUGUAAAAUCCACAGAUGCAGCCUUGAUGGAGAUCUCUUGGUGCGUCAGUUAAAGCUCCAAUCCAUAAUCAGUCCGGUGCGUCUUUAGGAAGAUUUGGACAUUCAAUGCAUGCAGUUCCCUAUUCUCUCUGAGUAACAAGGACUGUUCAAGCUUUAACUCAGCAAAAGUAUAGCCUGAAAAUCAUAUAUCAAUGAUUAUGGUGCAUUCUGUUGCUUCAAUUGAUAGAAGCAUUGCUGCCCGACCAUAUGUCAUGCCACUGUUUUGGUUCCGACAAUUUCCAUCUUCUCAUUCCAUUUUCCAGUAGAAUUUAUGUGGAGAUAUAUAGUCUUUGUGGGGUUGUCGAAAUCCAACCACGUGAAUUGAGAGUAAGAAGCUCAGCUAUUAUAGGUAUGACGGGCAUGCCUAAACAAUAAUUUCAAGUUUCUAAGAGCAGUAGAUCCCUUCACAUCUUCAGAUUUUAGAAACAUAGGCCAAAAAAAUACUCAAGAUUUCUCCACCCCGCAACCAUUCCAUCGCAAUUGUAAAUAUGCAGUAAGUAUAACCAGUCCAGUCUUGUGCCAUUGUAUUGGCUUUCAUUUUGGGAGCAAAUCAUCACCAGUAGGUCUCGAAAUGGAAAAGUUAGUGGCUCUCUCAUCUUCUGUAACUUUGUACAUAUCUGUCCAAUUAACUCUAGGCUUCAUUAUAGAUAUUACAGUGUUGCGAGCCACAAAAAUGAUAUAUAGCUCCCAUGUCAAACAAUGCCGCAUCUCCAUCCUCAGAGGUUUUACCAUUUAGAGCUGUUGUGUGCCCGUAAUGGAGAAUAGCACCACUUUUCCCGCAACUUGUUCACUUCAAGAAUGCUAAAGUUACUCUAGUGACAUCCUCAGCAAUCAUAAACAGAGGAGCUCUCAAUGGUCUUUUCUAACAAAAGAAUUAUGCUCUUUAUCAUUGAAAUCUUUUGCUUUGUGUCCAACACUCUUACAUUCUCAAGUUCAACAAUCAAUUUCUCAAGGUAUGUAACAAACCAUGGGGAGAUAUAUCUUCUGUCAAUCUUUGUUCCUUCUUCAACAUCAACAAUUAUUUCAAGAAAGAAUGAUGACUCAACAAAUAAGAGACCGUUUGGCUCAACCCAAUCAAUUGCAUCAACAAUCUUGAACUCAAUGAACUGUUUAUUUCCCACAGACACAGAAGCAAUAUCUUUGGUAUCAAUAUUGACUUCAACAAGUUGAGCUUACAUCUCCAACUCCUUCACUAACUCACGUAUAGUUUUGUAGUUCCCUUUUUCUAUGAAAACUAGAUUUGGACUAGAUUUAACACUUGGCAGGCCCAAGGGCAUGAACCAGAAGUAGAGGAAAGCAACAAAACCAUGGCACGAAUGGGUAAAACAAAAUGGACUAACAAAAGCCACAUUUCAUGUAUGCCUAAACAACAGAUCAAGAACAAGUAAUACAAACUGAGAGCAGCAAUAUGAUUAUCAAAUGCCAAACCUAAAGAUAAAUCCAACUAUUUACAAGGGGAAAUAAAAGAAUCCAAAAUGUGACCAGAACAUAGCAUGUAUGCAGACAAAUGGAUACAGUCAAAGUAACCAAAUAACUCCUGAUGUCCACACCAAAUCAACAAGAUAACGUUCAUAAAUAUGAAGAAAAUGAAAUAAAACAGUAUUGAAAACAAGGAAGAAAUGAAACUCAUAGAGUGAUCUUACUUGGAAGGCUACACCCCGAGCAAGGUGUGUUCGCCUUCCACUCAUCAGGAAAUGACCACUCUUUAAUAGUGGUGAUGUUGCUGAUCUCUCAACAUGCCACCAUUUUUCUAAAUUUCUAAUUCCCCAAAUCACGUGCCUUCUCAAAAGAACCUGGAGAUCCUCCUCCAAAGCAGUGUUAGCUUGACUUCAAGUGAGACCCACCUCCAAAAAUUGGCAAAGCCAGUCAAGCUUCGUCUCUUCUCCUCCUCUACCUCUAGUUUUUAUCUCCAUUUCAAACUAGAGAAUCCAUUUUUCUUCGUUCAAACAUCUUCUUCCUCUCUGUCCAAGAAAAAAUAUUGUGUCUUUCUUCCUCUCCAAACCUCUCCUCAAUGUUCCAUCCUGUUAUUUUACAGCUCCUCUUAUAUCCCUCCUGUCUCUACUCUGCUCCACUCCAAAACAAACUUUUGAAUAUCCUCUCGUAAUCCGCCAACUUCUCAUUCUGGAUGGCUCUUUUCCACUUUCCCACCAAAACUCUUUAAUUCUCCCAAAAAUUCAACCUAUGUCUUCUUCCUCCACGGUCUCUUUUUCACUUUCCCACCAAAAAUUCUUUUUUUUUUAAACCUAAAUAAAUUAGUAAAUAAAAUAAAAAUAACUAAAAGGGAUUUUGGAAAUAGAAAUGAAAAAAAAAAAUAUAAUAUAGUAUAAUAUAAUAAUAAUAAUAAUAAUAAUAAUAUCAAUAAAAUAAUAAUAAUCUUAAUAAUAAUAAUAAUGAUAAUAGAAACAAUGGUAACAAAAACAAUUCUAAUGAUGAUAAUUAAAAAAAUAAAAUAAAAUGACAAUAAUAAUAAUGAAAAUAUACAAUGAUUAUAUAUAUAUAAGUAGAUAUGAAAAUGAACAAAUAAAUAAAUAAAUAACUAGAUAUAAGUACGCAACAUGUAUUUAUAAAGAAGACAUGCAAGCUACGUAGGCCAUGCAAGCCAUGUUAACCAUGCAAAUGACUUACGGGUGUUGGGGUAAGCUUAAGUGGGAUAAGUGCCUAAUGGGCCUCAAUAUGUCUCAGCAAACUGUCAUAAAAGUGUACCUAAUAUCCAAAAUGGCUCAAAGAAGCAAGUUAUAUGAGUAGCAAUGGGCCACUAAAAACUACUGUGGAGUAAUGAAAGGACACUUAAUCAGGGCAUGGCAAGGGGACAAAAUGGAAACACUCAAAAGAUAAGAUAAAAAGUCACAUACAUUCAAUCAAUAAAAAAUUAAUCAUGUACUAAAAUAUUAAAAAUCAAUCAUGCAAUCACAACUAAAAAAUCAAUUAUAAACUCAAAAUUAAAGUCACAUAUAAUCACAAUUAAUAAUCAAACAGGAACUCAAAAUUAAAAUCAAAUAUUCAAGAUUCAAAUGUGAACUCAAAAUUAAAAUCACUCAUGCACUAAAAAUUAAUCAUGCAAUAAAAUCAAUCACAUGCACUCAAAAUAUCAAAAAUCAUUCAUGUACUUAAAAUAUCAAAAAUCAAUCACACACUAAAAAUCAAAUAACAAACCAAAGCUCAUCUAACCUAAAAACAUGCAAUCAAAAUCAAAAUCAGACGUAAUGCACUAAAAAAAUAGAAACUAAACAACAGAAAGACUCACUAGAAAAUAGACUCCUAAACUAGAACCAGAGCCACUAAAAAAAACCACAAUAAGGAUCCAUAUAAUCCUCGAAGAUAUAUAUAUCCAAAAAAGGUCCAAAAAUAAUGAUAAGGUGAGUAGCAAUAGACCACCAAUGGAGACACAAUAAAAACUAAAAAAUAAAUUCUAAGUGCACAAUGAAGGAUCAUGAUAUGAAGGAAGACAACUACUAGAUAAAAUGUGCCAAGAUGACAAAAUUGAGGGUCUACAAAUUUGUCCAUCUUUGAUAGAAAUCAAGAGUGUAAUGAAUAGAUCACUGAUACACGAGAGAUGAGUGAAAUGAAGUGUCCCAAAUUCCUAAUUAGUAUAGAUUCUUUUUUUUUUUUGUAAAGAAUAUUAUAUAGAAUAUUUCUAGGUUGAUAUAUUAUUGUAAUAUUAGACUUUCUUAUAGAAUAAGGAAGGUUGUUGGAAAUAUCCCUAUAAAUAUUCUAGGUCAUGAGGAGAAAAAGUUAUGAGAUGAAGAUGGGCAUGUAAAGACUAUACAAGGUGGAUAAAGAUGUAAAGAAGAACGGGAGGUACCCGAUGGAGUUAAAAGGCUCGUGGUAGGGUAGGGAUACGAAGAGUGGGGAAACAUAAGAUGUUUCGAGAACCCAAUAAUUGUAUCUGGUUAUGUCCUUUGUAAUGUUCUGGUUUUGUCCUCUAUAAUGUUCUCUAUUGUAGAGUGAAAUAAUUCUCUCUCAUCCGUGGAUGUUGGCAUGGUUGGCCGAACCACGUUAAAACCUCGUGUACCAUGUUAAAACAUCAAAUAAAAAAUAAAGGCUCUGAACACUAAAACUAAGAAGAAUGGAUCUAAACGCCAACACUAGGAAAACAAAUGGCUUUGAAUGCCAAUACUAAAAACAAUGGCUUUGGACGCCAAACUAAAAAUGAUGAGUCUAAAUGCUAAGUAAAAAAAUAAUAGCUCUAAAAGCUAAACCAAAGCUGUAGUUUGUACAUUUCCUAAGAAAAGUUUACUAUAGACCUUCUUUAGAAAGCGCAUAUGCUAGAUUGUUUUGGCAUAGCCACACUUACAUCUAUUAAAGAUUCACUAAUUAUAGAUUAUUUACAAAUUUCAAUCUGAGUAUGACACCUUGGUUGGUACCCUCGAAACCAAAUAUUACUCACGCAGUUAACAAAGUGUGCCAAGACCUCCAUCAACCAAGGCAAAUCUUAAGGAUGUGAAACAAAUCCUAUGUUGUUUAAAAGGUACCCUAGAUUACAACAUUUGCUUAUUGGCUUAAAGUCAAUAUCAUUAUAUGAUUUUGUUGAUUCUAAUUGUCUCCGUUAUCCGAUUACAAUGAGUAGCACCAUUGAUUUUGUGUUUAUCUUGGCAGCAAUUGUAUUUUCUAGUCUUCUAAGAAACAAGAGUCAAUAACAUGCCCUUGAAUAGGGGCAAAGCACCACUCAAGGAUUGCAACUAUUGCAAAAUUAACUUGGCUUAUAUUUCUCUUGUGUGACAUUAGCUUACCACUUCCCCAAUUUCCAUUUCUCUUUUGUGAUAACAUAAGUGCAUUACACAUGGCCAAAAAUCUAGUGUUUCAUGCACAAACAAAGCACAUUGAAUUGGAUUACCAUUUUGCCCGUAAAAAGUUGUUAUAGGACACCUUUAUGCUAAAUAUGUUCCCAGUUAUCUUCAAAUAGCUAACAUUCUUGCCAAGACUCUAGCUAGAAAGGCUUUUAGUAUGUUUAGCUUCAAGUUGGGAGCUCAAUGCAUGACCGCACUAGCUGGAGGGGGUUAAACGUCCUUUACAUUUAUCUCCACAACCAAACAAAUCAAUAGGUCACCUUUUGAGAGAAAUAUGACAAUAUGCAAGUGUAGACCCUCCAUCUUAUUCUAGUAGCAUAUGUUAUUCAAUAUAUUUUCCUUCACUUCUUAUUGCCUUAUAGUUGUCCCAUGGUGGUUUAUUUGUUGCUCAUUUGGUACUAUUUUUUAAGCCACCUUCAAAGAUUCGUUGUUGAUGGAUUUAUUUAUUUAUAUUUUUUUAUGGAUCCCAAUUGUGACCUUAGUUGCAUGCUUAGUCUAACUCCCUUUGUUUACUUAGUUGCAUUUUAGGUUUAGUUCACUUAGUCACAUGCUUAGUCUAGCUCACUUAGUUCACUUAGUUGCAUUUUAGGUUUAGUUCACUUAGUCGCAUGCUUAGUCUAGCUCAGUUAGUUUACUUAGUUGCAUUCUAGGUUCAGCUUACUUAGAUGCAUUCUAGGUUUAGCUCACUUAGAUGCACUUUGGUUUAGUUCCCUUAGAUGCACUUUAGUCUAGCUCCCUCAGGUUCACACAUGAGGGGAUUUUUAGGAAGGAAGAGAUAUAUAUAUAUUUUUUAGGAAAACACGAUUGCAUAUUGCAUGAGGAGAAGAGAUUCAUGCAUAGGAAAAAUUUUAUUUGGAAUAUAUGGGCUACCAUUGAGAGGUAAACUACUAUUAGAGACUAAUUUUGAAAAAAGGAGUUAGAGCCGACACUAAUUGAUCUUGAAGAAAAAAUGAAGCAUCUUGAGAAGAAAAGUUGAAGUUUUGAAGAUCAAGAAGGCAAGACUCAAUGCAGGGAAACAAGAAAGAAGUAAGCUUGCAAUCUUUUGGAGGAAAUGUAUGAUUUUUUUUUCUUGCAUAUCUCAAUUAUAUAUAUCUUUUUUUUUUCCCAUCAUGUUUAAGUGUAGAAAUUCUAUUUGUUUGGGGUAGAUAAUGAAGGCCACUUUGAUUGUUGUUAAUCAAAUUGUUGAUGACAUAUUAAUGAGAAUUUGAUGAAUGGUUAAUUGAUCUCAUGUUGAUUAAUGCUUAUUAGAAUUGAGAUUAGAGUUAUUUUCUUUGGAAUUAUUUUCAUUUGAUUGAGGCCUUUUGAUAACAUAUGAUAGGUGCCUAAGAGAUCCUUUAUUUGAUUUUUUAUGCCUUUGGUUUUAUUUUUGGUUAUUCAUUUUUUAUUGUGAUGUUUGGAGUGUUCACCUUGUUGUCAUUUUGUUAGAAUUAUUGAACCUCUAUAAUUAAAAAAUGGAAUCAGGUUAAAAAUAGAAGAAAAAAAACUCUUUUUCCUACACCUGUUGCACUAACCCCUUUUUGUAGUCAAGGGAAGUUUGGCUUAAUUUAAAAAUUCACAUUGUAUGAUUAAGUCAUGUUGUUAUUUUUUCUGUAAGUUAGAUAUAUUGAAGGUAUUGUACAAUUUUAUUUUUUUAUCAUAAUUUUAUCAUGCUUAUAGAUAGAUUAAUUACAUUAGUAUUUUCAUGCUAUAGGAUUUUGCUCUAUUUCUAAUCAAUAUAUUUGUGAUUAAAUCAAGUAUUAAAUGAGAUAUGAUUUGAUGAUUUAGCCUUUUGGGUUAUAAUUUAGACACAUAGGGGAUGUUGUCCAAGUAUUUUUUAUUCGUUCCCACUUGGUGUAUCAACUGAUUCAUGUCCAGCUGGUGCUCCUUGAUUGAGGGAGUGAUCAACAAAAUUUAUAACCUAUUACACCAUGAACUAGGGUAGCAAAGACAAAGCUACUAUAGCAUAGUGGCUCUAGGAUCGUUCACUGGAAAGGGUUUUCAACUCUCAACUGAUACCAAUUCAAAGCUGAGUUGGUGAUUUUUCAUUUCAAGGUUAGCUUAAAAGAAAACAUAAAGAUGUUUGGGUGAAAAGGGUUUGGUCUUAAACUAACCAAAAAGAAAGUAAUGGAAAUUACUUAUGAAGAAAAACAUUCCUUGGAGGUUUAGGUUCAUAGGGGAGGUUCCUUAUGUAAAAACAGAGCUCCGGUCAUUUGGUUCAUUUCCUCGCAUUAGAGAAUUAACAUAUAGUUAAUUCUCUAACCGGUGCUAUACAGAUGUAUCCUUUAAAUGGAUUUCAAACUCUAAUUCCCUCUCACUGAUGCAUCUUGCAAUGGCUCAUACCUCUCACCUAGCACUUGCCAUUCAAGGUGAUCUUUAACUUUGGAUUACCCGUCAAAAGCUCGCAAGAGAUAACUAAUGGAUGUCUCCUUAGAGUCCAAAAGCUUACCAAUUGUUGGCAAUUCUAGAAAAUCCUACCUACAAGUCACUUCCCAAAAGCUUGCAAGAGGUAAACUAGUGCAUCUCCAUGGAUAGAAAUCACUUGCCUUACCAAGUGUUGGCUCAAGUGAAUUGAAGGCGUUUUAAGUUAACUAAAAACAUAGAAAUCAUUAAAGGAUCACACUUUCUCUUCAUUAAUGGCUAAAACCACAAAGCUAUUAAUUCUUGCACUUGGACCCUUUCCUAGCAACCUUAACUCCAAGGAACUAAAAGUCUAGCCACUCAUUCUCUGAGGAAACUUCCUCAAAGCUUGUUUGGCUAGAAAGAAAACUAAUGAGAAAACAAAUAUUAAGCAAAAACAGAGCAAGUGCUCUAUACAAUAUAUUUCUUCCUUCCGUCUAUUACAUAGAUUCUUCUUUUUCAAGAAAAUUACAAACUAUAUAUAUGAGGUUAUUCACCCUUUUUACUUACUUAAAGAUUAACGAAUCCUAUGAUAGGUGGGUUACAAGGAGACUUUGGGAAAUUAGACAUAAAAUAUCUAAAGCAAAAUAUCUCAAAAUAUCCCAAAAUAUCGUUGGCAAAUAUCAGGAAGCUUCAGGAGCACACAGCAGCACUGUGCAGCAUGGCUGCUCUCCCAUUCAGGUAGGCGGCUAUCAGAUGAUCCGGAUACGUCCGUCCGGAGAAGUUGAAAUGCCUCCUCUCCCAUCCGGCGUCGGAAUUCCGGAUGUGAACAUCCGGGGGUGGAAAGUACGUGGCAGCCGGGUGCAAAAAUGGCGGCGCGCAUCCGGGUGUACAUGGCGGCAGCUGGGUGCAAAUCCUACCCGAGUGGAAUGUUGUCCGAAUGAAAGGAUAGCAUCUUAUCCGGAUGCCUUCCGAUGGUAUAUCCGGACGCACUGUCCGGGUAUACUCCUUGUAUGGAUUCCAAAGAACUCUCCUCAAUCUCAGAUUUGCUUUGGUGAUCAAAAAGCUAUCAAAACACCAAAACUUAACACAAUUUGAUUAGAAUUGAUUGCAAGGGUCCUUAAUAUGUUAAUUGGGUUAAAAGGUAAUAACUACUACUCAAAAGUGUCGAAAAGAGUUAAUUACAAGCUAUGAAAUAGCACUUUUUGAGUAGUAAUCACUCCCCCCAACCGACAUAUUGCUAGUCCCUUAGCAAUGAAGGAGAGACAAAUAAAAAAAUAAACAAUACUAUAAUUUACAACAUCAUGCUAAUCAAAAAACAAUUUUCAAGUGGCAUGAUGAUCUAACUCUCACAUGGAACAUUAAAGAAAUAAAACUCAAACUUCAUCAAGAGUUAUCAAAUAACUUAUCUAAUCAUAAUUCUUAAAGAGAAGGCAUUAUGCAAAUUUAAGCUUUAAAAGAGUUUCCACUCCCAAAGGGUCAAACCUUACUCUUCCACAAAAAUCUAAGUGUUAUUUAUUAGUUUCCGAAUAUAGUAUGUUGAAUUAAUCUCUCCCCCCAACCUAGUUCUUUUUCAAAGCUUAGCAAACUGGUCAACCUCCAAUAGGCUAAGAACACACCUCUUUUCACAAUUUUUUUCAUUGUAGGAGUACACGGCUUAAAGGUAUUCUUUUCUAAAUUGUCCAUGUAACGGGGGUCCAUCGAUGACUCCCAACCAAUUAAGGUUUAGGGCAUCAAGCUUAAAGGAUUUUUCAACCACUAACUCCUUGGAUUUUACCCCGGACUUUUGAGAAUGAAUUUAAAUACCCCAGCACCUACAGUAUGUUAAACUCCACCUAUUCACCCUUGUAACGAGCAUUGAGGUCGAUGACUCCCAACCAAUGAAGGCUUAGGGCACCAGGUUUUAAAGAUUUUCAUCAUAUACCCCUCAGACCUUGCUCGGGUUUCAAGGCAAGCAAACAUUUUUUCUUUCUUUUUUGAAAGACUCAUUGGCCUUUUACAAGGUGUCCCAACACUAUUAAAUGAGGUCAAAGGUACCAAGUCUAAAAUUUUCCUAAGUCAAGAGGGAAAUAGUUUUUCAUCUUAUAAUCGGAACCUAUUGUGCACAGUGUGUGAAUAGCUUAAAGUGGAAGACAUAAGCUUGAAUUCAAUAGAAAUUUCAACAAUUCAUCAACUUUAAUAAGCAUAAUACAAACUCUAAGUCAAGUGAAAAGACAAAAAUUCAAUUUCUCCCAUUUUAUUUUGAAAAUUUUUCCUUAAUAACCAUGGAGAGUAGAAUAAAAACUUAAAAAAUUUUAAAAUUAAGCAAAAAGCAACUAAAUUACCAAAAUAACUUAGCAUUAAUAACAAAACUUCCUUCCUCAACUCUCCCCCCAACCAAGCUGAACAUUGUCCUCAAUGUGACAAAAGCGAUUGAAAAAUAGGGAGGAAGUGGUACCUCCUGAGUGACGCGGAGUGAUGUCGUGGAAAUAAUGACUCAGAUGUCUCUCCUAUAGGAGGCUCCGGAUGAGGAGGCAAUGGCAUGCUCAGGAGCUAAUGUACUGCCAAUUGAUGCUGAAUCUGCCUCAGGAUGGCAGUGUGCUGGGCCUGAGUGGCAAGAAUAUGUUCUUGAUUUUAAUCAUUCAAAAAGAUUAAGCUAGUUACAAUUUACAAAAUUUCAAGACUAAAAUUACAAUCAAAUAAUUUACAAAACUUAAAAAUUAACAUAUUUAACAAAAUUAUGGACUUUGGUGAAACCAAGUCCAUCUAACCCUUCUCUGUUCAGGAUUUCUGUGGCUCAAGGAGGUUGAUUUCCUCCUUUUCUGGAUUGAACGGUUCAAUGAAUGGCUUGAGGCGAUGACCAUUGACUCUGAAGGUGUCUAUGCCAUUGGAAUUUAAUAAUUCCACCACUCCAUUGAAAUGUACUUGGUGAAUAAUGAAAGGACCUAUCCACCUUGACUUGAGCUUUCCGGGAAAGAUAUGGAGCCUUGAGUCAUAGAGUAAGACUAGUUGUCCUUUCCUCAAUUCUUUGUUGGAGAUUAGUUGAUCAUGCCAUUUCUUCAUCCUCUGUUUUGCAACUUUGGAAUUGAUGUAAGCAUCAUUUCUUAACUCCUCCAUCUCAUUAAGGUCUAAGCACCUCUUUUCCCCAGCUCUGAUCAAGUCCAUGUUCAACCUCUUGAUUGCCCACCAGGCUUUAUAUUCAACUUCCACAGGGAGAUGGCAUGCUUUGCCAUAGACUAGACGAUAGGGAGACAUGCCAAGAAUAGUCUUAUAAGCUGUUCUGUAUGCCCAUAAUGAAUCAUGAAGCUUAAUAGAUCAAUCUUUUCUGCUUGUAAUCACCACUUUCAUCAGUAUGUUUUUGAUUUCCCUGUUUGCUAACUCCACUUGCCCGGAAGUUUGAGGAUGAUAAGGUGUAGCUACCUUAUGCUUCACUCCAUACUUGGUUAAUAAGGCUUCAAAAGGUUUGUUGCAAAAAUGAGUACCUCCAUCACUGAUUAUGGCCUUGGGCACCCCAAAUCUUGAGAAGAUGUUCUCCUUAAGAAAUUUGAGAACCACCCUGUGAUCAUUCUGUUUACAGGGGAUUGCCUCCACCCAUUUGGAAACAUAGUCCACCCCCACCAAUAUAUAGGAGUUACCAAAAGACAUUGGGAAAUGUCCCAUGAAGUCAAUACCCCAAACAUCAAAAAGAUCAACUAUAAGGAUGGGGUUCAUAGGCAUUUAAUUUCUUUUUGUUAGCUUCCCAAGCCUUUGGCAUCUAUCACAGCUCCUACACAUGAUGUGGGCAUCUUUGAAAAGCGAUGGCCAAGUAAACCCUGAUUGCAACACCUUCAUGGCUAUUUUCUGAGAGGCAAAGUGGCCUCCACAUGCAUUUUCAUGGCAAUGACUGAGGAUCCCUUGUUGCUCUUCUUCAGGGACACACUUUCUUAUGAUCUGAUCUGCACAAUACUUGAAAAGGAAAGGCUCCUCCCAAUAAUAAGCAUGAAUUUUUGCAAAGAAGUGCUUCCUGUCUUGUGCAUUCCACUCACUUGGAACUUCACCAAUAACCAAAUAGUUAGCAAUAUAAGCAUACCAAGGAGCUUUCUCUAGCAACAUAAGUGAUUCCUCAGGAAAGUCAUCAUUAAUAGGUAAUACAUGGGAAUUAUGUGCUAUAGCCAACCUUGAAAGGUGGUCAGCUACCACAAUCUCCACCCCUUUCUUGUCUCUGAUUUGGAGAUCGAACUCUUGUAACAAAAGAAUCCAUCUAAUCAACCUUGCUUUUGCAUCUUGCUUUGUCAAUAAAUACUUCAAGGCUGAAUGGUCAGUGAAAACAGUGAUGAAAGACCCUACCAAAUAAGCAUGAAACUUGUCUAAGGCAAACACCACAACUAACAAUUCUUUCUCUGUAGUUGUGUAGUUUCUUUGAGCUUCGUUCAAUGUCUUGCUUGCAUAAUAGAUCACGUAGGGCUUCCCAUCUUCUCUUUGGCCAAGUACAGCUCCUAUAGCAAAGUCACUGGCAUCACACAUUACUUCAAAGGGUAAUUGUCAGUUAGGAGCCCUUACUAUUGGAGCGGUAGUAAAAAAUUGCUUCAAUUGAUCAAAACUCUUUUGACAUCUUUCAUCCCAUAUAAACUUAGCAUCCUUAGCCAAAAACUCACAAAGAGGCCUUGACAGCUUAGAGAAAUCUUGUAUAAACCUCCUGUAGAACCUUGCAUGGCCAAGGAAUUGCCUUACUCCUUUGACAGUGGUUGGGGAUGGCAAUUUGGCAAUACGUUCCACCUUUGCUUUAUCAACUUCAAUGCCUUUCUCGGAGAUGAUAUGGCCAAGGACAAUUCCUUGACGUACCAUAAAAUGACAUUUCUCCUAGUUGAGCACCAAGUCCUUCUCAAUGCAUCUGUUAAGAACUGCUUCCAAAUUGACUAAGCAUUCCUCAAAUGUACCUCCAUAUACGGUGAUGUCAUCCAUGAAAACCUCCAUAAUUCGCUCCACCAUAUCACUGAAGAUACUAAGCAUACAUCUUUGGAAUGUUACAGGUGCAUUGCAUAAACCAAACGACAUUCUUCUGUAAGCAUAUGUUCCAAAUGGACAUGUAAAAGUGGUCUUCUCCUGAUCUUCAACAUCAAUUUCAAUUUGAAAAUAUCCGGAGUACCCGUCCAAGAAACAAUAAAAAGGAUGGCCAGAGACUCUCUCCAGCACCUGGUCAAUAAAUGGGAGUGGAAAAUGAUUUUUCCUUGUCACAGCAUUCAAUUUCCUAUAGUCAAUACACACCCUCCAACCUGAAGUGAGGCGUGUAGCAAUUUCUUCUCCUUUUUCGUUCUGAACCACAGUAAUACCUGACUUCUUUAGUACCACUUGAGUAGGACUCACCCAAGGGCUGUCAGAUAUGGGAUAAAUAAUACCUGCUUGGAGUAGCUUCAGCACUUCAGCUCGCACCACUUCUUGUAAAUGAGGAUUCAAUCUUCUUUGAGGUUGACGAAUUGGUUUAGCUUCUUCCUCCAUAUAUAUGUAAUGUGUACAAACCAAAGGACUGAUUCCUUUCAAGUCAGAUAUUUGCCAUCCUAUUGCUUUCUUGCACCUCUUGAGAACUUCAAGUAAACACUUCUCGCGAUGACUAGUAAGAGAUGAAGAUAUAACAACAGGACAUUGAUUAUUUUCUUCAAGGUAUGUAUAUUUCAGUUCCACGGGCAGAGGCUUCAAAUUGAGCUUUGGGGUCUCUUCUUCAGCAGCUUCUCCUUCCUCUUUAUUGAAUAAAGGUAGGAUCUCUUCUUUCCUCCUCCAACUUUGUAGAGUAGCAAGCAUAUCAGCGGGUUCAGACAACCCUUCUUCAAGAUCCUUAAGACUUUCAUUCAACUCGUCUUGCAUAUUCUGAUCACAAUGCUCCUCCACUAGAGUGUCAAUAAUGCAUACCUCUUCUGGACCUUCUUCUUCUUCCGGAGUAAUCAGCUUCUUUGACAUAUGAAAGAUAUUAAGCUCAAGUGUCAUGUUACCAAAAGUAAGUUGCAUAAGUCAAUUCCUACAAUUUAUGAUUGCAUUUGAAGUAGCAAGGAAUGGCCUUCCAAGGAUGAUAGGAACAUAAUUAGCUUCCUUAACUAAAGGAUCAGUAUCAAGAACAAUAAAAUCUACUGGAUAGUAGAAAUUAUCAACUUGAACUAAUACAUCUUCAAUUAUCCCCCUUAGAAUUUUCACUGACCUAUCAGCUAAAGAUAGGGUGAUUGAUGUUGGCUUCAACUCACCAAGUCCCAAUUGCUUAUAAAUAGAGUAUGGUAGCAAAUUCACACUUGCUCCCAAAUCUAGCAAAGCUUUUUCCACUACCUUUCCUCCAAUCAUGACUGAAAUGGUAGGACAUCCCAGAUCUUUGUACAUCAAAGGAGAUUUUCAUUGUAUGAUGGCACUUACUUGUUCAGUUAAGAAGGCUUUCUUAUUCACAUUCAACCCUCUUUUGAUAGUACAAAGGUUCUUUAGGAAUUUUGCAUAUGAUGGAACUUGCUUAAUCAUGUCCAGCAAUGGAAUGUUGACUUUCACUUGGCUCAAUACUUCAAGGAUUUCUGAUGCAUUUUUUAUCCCCUUUUCCCAUGCAAAGCUUGAGGAAAAUGAGGAGAUGUACGUUUCAUCAUCAAUUCUUCCUUGAUAAGCUAUUUCUCCAGAUUUGCAUUCACUGUUGAAUCACGGUCCUUUUUCCCUUCACUGAUAUCUUUCUUCUUUCCUUUCAUUUCCCCCCUCUUAUUUGUCUCUUCUUCUUCCUUCUCUUCAACAUAUGGCUUGGGUGUUGGUGACUCAACCUUUUUACCACUCCUUAGAGUGAUCAAGGCUUUAACCUCUCUCACCUGUGAAGAUUCUCCCUCAUGAGUUUCCACUUCGUGGAUACCCUUGGGGUUUUGGUGAGGUUGAGAAGGAAAUCUACCCUUCUCCUGCACUGUGUUCAUAUUAGUGAGCCUUGAGAUUGAGUAUUGGAGAUUAUCUAUCUUCUGAGAUAAGUCAUUUUGCAGCCCAUCAAUCCUUUUGUUCAAAGUAUUCUCUACACUGUCAAUUCUUUGACUGAGCUGAGCAUUGAUGGAUUUUUGUUCUCCAACAAAAUCUCCCACAAUCUUGCUGAGAUUUACUAUUGCUUGUUCAAGACUUGAAGCUUGUUGAGAUGGUUGAGCUGGCUGUUGGUACUGAGGUGCUCUCGGCUUCCAUGAAAAAUUUGGAUGAUUCCUCCAACUUGAGUUGUAAGUAUCGCCAUAUGAAGCAUUGCUAUUGGGCUUGAAUUUUCCAAUGACAUUUGCUUGUUCUCCAAACAUUUCUCUAGCAACUGGAAUUGUAGGGCACUCCUCUACCAAGUGUUCAUAAGAUUGACAAAUAGAACAUGGCUUUACUUGCAUUGGUGUUUCAGCAACAGCUUGCACUUCAUUCAUCUUUUUCAGUUCUAGCGCUUCCACUCUUCUUGUCAUAGUUGCAAAUUUUGCUUUCAUUUCAACAUCUUCAUUCAAGGUGUACAUCCCAGCCUUAGCAUGAAGAGCAUUUGGUUGAGACUUCAUCUUUCCCACUUCUCCUCUGUGCGGUUCAUCCCAUCCUCUUGAGACUUCAGCUACAUAACUCAAGAAAUCCAUAGCUUCCUCAUGAUUCUUACUCAUGAAAUCCCCUCCACACAUUGUUUCGAGGAGUUGCUUCAUUGAGGAAGACAUCCCAUCAUAGAAAUAACUCACCAACAGCCAUGUGUCAAAGCCAUGGUGAGGACAAGCAUUAAUGGCUUCCAUGUAUCUUUCCCAACACUCAUAGAAUUUCUCAUUCUCUUUAGCUGAGAAGUUUGAAAUUUUCCUUUUCAAGCUAUUUGUUCUGUGAGUGGGAAAAAAUUUCUUGAGGAAUUCAGCUUGUAAAUCAGUCCAAGAACGGAUACUCCUUGGCCUUAAAGAAUUAAGCCAAAUCUUGGCCUUAUCCUUUAAAGUAAAAGGAAAUAAUUUAAGCCUCAUCAGGUCGAUAGAAGCUCCUCCCUCUCGGAAUGUAUUACAAACAUAUUCAAAUUCCUUGAUAUGGGCAUAGGGAUUCUCACUUUCCAUUCCAUGGAAAGUUGGCAGAAGUGGCACAAUAUGGGGUCUGAUCACUAGCUGCUCUAUAGAGGGCACUAUACAUGAUGGUGCACUCAUACGAGGUGGAUGCAUACGGUCCCUCAUUGAUCUGAAUUCAUUGGGAUUGUCCUGAUGAUCAUGGUGACUAUGCUGAUCCUCAGGUGUAGUUUCCAUGAUGUUCAAGAUUACUUCCAACUCCUUGUUAUGAGGUGUAUUAAGUUUAACAAGCCUUCCUCCAUUGUCUCGUAUCCACUUUGGCAUACACAACUAGUAUCAACUGUAACUAAAAUGAAAUUAAAAGAAAACAAAAGAAAACAGGGCUACCAAAAUUUUUUUUCUAAAAUAGACUAAACUGAAUUUAAAAGAUAUAUUAGAUUAUGAACAAGUAAAGAUACAAAAAAAUAGAAUUAGUAAAAUGAAAGAAAAGUUACCAAACUUGUGAUGAAAAUCACAAGUACUCUGAAAUAAUAUCACUAUGAAGUUGGCACCUUCCCCGGCAACGGCGCCAUUUGAUUCGUUCCCACUUGGUGUAUCAGCUGAUUCAUGUCCAACUGGUGCUCCUUGAUUGAGAGAGUAAUCAACAAAAUUUAUAACCUAUUACACCAUGAACUAGGGUAGCAAAGACAAAGCUACUAUAGCAUAGUGGCUCUAGGAUCGUUCACUGGGAAGGGUUUUCAACUCUCAACUGAUACCAAUUCAAAGCUGAGUUGGUGAUUUUUCAUUUCAAUGUUAGCUUAAAAGAAAACAUAAAGAUGUUUGGGUGAAAAGGGUUUGGUCUUAAACUAACCAAAAAGAAAGUAAUGGAAAUUACUUAUGAAGAAAAACAUUCCUUGGAGGUUUAGGUUCAUAGGGGAGGUUCCUUAUGUAAAAACAGAGCUCCGGUCAUUUGGUUCAUUUCCUCGCAUUAGAGAAUUAACAUAUAGUUAAUUCUCUAACCGGUGCUAUACAGAUGUAUCCUUUAAAUGGAUUUCAAACUCUAAUUCCCUCUCACUGAUGCAUCUUGCAAUGACUCAUACCUCUCACCUAGCACUUGCCAUUCAAGGUGAUCUUUAACUUUGGAUUACCCGUCAAAAGCUCACAAGAGAUAACUAAUGGAUGUCUCCUUAGAGUCCAAAAGCUUACCAAGUGUUGGCAAUUCUAGAAAAUCCUACCUACAAGUCACUUCCCAAAAGCUUGCAAGAGGUAAACUAGUGCAUCUCCAUGGAUAGAAAUCACUUGCCUUACCAAGUGUUGGCUCAAGUGAAUUGAAGGCGUUUUAAGUUAACUAAAAACAUAGAAAUCAUUAAAGGAUCACACUUUCUCUUCAUUAAUGGCUGAAACCACAAAUCUAUUAAUUCUUGCACUUGGACCCUUUCCUAGCAACCUUAACUCCAAGGAACUAAAAGUCUAGCCACUCAUUCUCUGAGGAAACUUCCUCAGAGCUUGUUUGGCUAGAAAGAAAACUAAUGAGAAAACAAAUAUUAAGCAAAAACAGAGCAAGUGCUCUGUACAAUAUAUUUCUUCCUUCCGUUUAUUACAUAGAUUCUUCUUUUUCAAGAAAAUUACAAACUAUAUAUAUGAGGUUAUUCACCCUUUUUACUUACUUAAAUAUUAAGGAAUACUAUGAUAGGUGGGUUACAAGGAGACUUUGGGAAAUUAGACAUAAAAUAUCUAAAGCAAAAUAUCCCAAAAUAUCAUUGGCAAAUAUCAGGAAGCUUCAAGAGCACACAGCAGCACUGUGCAGAAUGGCUGCUCUCCCAUUCAGGUAGGUGGCUAUCAGAUGAUCCGGAUACGUCCGUCCGGAGAAGUUGAAACGCCUCCUCUCCCAUCCGGCGUCAGAAUUCUGGAUGUGAACAUCCGGGGGUGGAAAGUACGCGACAGCCGGGUGCAAAAAUGGCGGCGCGCAUCCGGGUGUACAUGGCGGCAGCUGGGUGCAAAUCCUACCCGAGUGGAAUGUUGUUCGGAUGAAACGAUAGCAUCUUAUCCGGAUAUGUUGUCUGGAUGCCUUCCGAUGGUAUAUCCGGACGCACUGUCCGGGUAUACUCCUUGUAUGGAUUCCAAAGAACUCUCCUCAAUCUCAGAUUUGCUUUGGUGAUCAAAAAGCUAUCAAAACACCAAAACUUAACACAAUUUGAUUAGAAUUGAUUGCAAGGGUCCUUAAUAUGUUAAUUGGGUUAAAAGGUAAUAACUACUACUCAAAAGUGUCAAAAAGAGUUAAUUACAAGCUAUGAAAUAGCACUUUUUGAGUAGUAAUCAAUUUUCAUGGUGAAAUUUCAUCUCUAGAUAUAUGUUUAGGAUAUAUUUUGCAAGUGUCUUUGUUCUAGAUGCAUGCCAAUUGUUCUGUAAAGUGUCCUUAAAGUGAAUUAAUUUGGUAUUGAUUGACACGUAAUUAAAUGUUUUGGGAUUUUGUAUUGCAAUAUAGACACAUUGAAGAUGUUGUCAAUAAAGUAGUGAUUUUGGCACUGCAGGGCUCUUCAAUUUCUUUCUUCAUUUUUCAAUUUGCACGAAUGUGGAAACUUUUACACAUGAAUCAUUUGCUACAAUAAUGAUCAUGCAUGUAAAUUUGGUCUACUUUUCCCAUUCUCUAUAAUUGAUUAGCUUUGGAGCUGUUUGACAAUAAUAUAUAGGAAACCUCUGAUGCAGGCUUCUGACAUUAAAAUGAGCUAAAGAUGGGUUUGGAAACCACUUUCAAAUGAAAAUUGACAUGCAUAAUUUUUGGUGUAUUUGACACAUGCAAUAAAAAUUACUUAAAUAGGAGUGACUUUGUCACAUGGCUUCGGAUGGAAUUACAGCACAGUAUUGGAAUUAGUAUUCAAAUGGCUGCCCUAUGGAGAGUUUUUUAGGUCUCAAUCUUAACAGUAUAGGUUGACCACUCGGAAAUUGGGACCACAACCUAGCCUAGGCUUGAUCCAAGCACUACUUAGAGACACAUUUCACUUAACUUCUUUGAUCUGUUACUUGUAUUUAUUGUGACACUUAGGUGGUGUUUGUUUUUUGGCUGAACAAAAAAAGUAAAAAUAUUUGGUUUUUUCUAUUCAGUUAAAAAUAACAUGUUGACAUCAUCCAACAUAACUAAACUGAACCUAUUGAUAACAAGUUCAUUUUAGCUAUGUUGGAUGAUGUCAACAAGUUACUUUUAGCUUAAUAGAAAAAGCCAAAUAUUUUGGCUUUUUCUAUUCAGCCAAAAAACAAACACCACCUAAGUUGCUUCUUGUUUAUCUGAUCUAGGAAGCUUGUUUUGUCAAAGAAGCAAGACCUUCCGAUGUUUAUGGAUGAACUCCUCUUGUCAGCAUUGGUUCUAACUUUGGUCCAUUUUUCCCAUUCUCUAUAAUUGAUUAGCUUAGGAGCUGUAUGGAGAGGAAAAUGACAUGGGUCGGUGUUUGACAAUAACAGGAAACCUCUGAUGCAACAUUGGUUCAUUAAUAUUCACCAAAAAGUGAACAAGCUUGGAGCCUUCGGUAGAUAUUUUACAAAGCCUUCUGUACUGUUAUCUUAUGCUAAGUACUGAAUAUAAAUGUUGUUGAGGGUACCACCAGUGACAUGCAGAUGCAAUGUUUAUUUUGAGAACGCCAACGGCAUAGUGCAUCAACGGAUAUUUGAGUUUUCCGAGAAGGAGGCCUUUACAUCAUCGACCAGAUCUGGAUUAUUUGAAUUUAGUACGGUCCUGCUAUUGUUUUAUUCUCUUGCACAAACCAUUCUUCAAAAUAUGUUAUCAUGACAUAGAUAAACUUUUCAUUUGCUUAACAUUGUUUAAAGGGCUUGACAUUGCUCAACAUUAUCUGAGCUUUUCUCCUACAGAUACUUCUUUGGCAUGGCAAUGCAACCAGACUUAAGGCGAUGGCACUCACUUACAUACUCUGCAAGAGCCCACAAUGGAAAAAUAUUCCUGUAAUCUGCAUAGUGUAACAAGCAGUUCUUCAUGAAGGCUCCAGUGAUUUCCUGCCAUAGAUAAUUGAUGAUUAAAUGGUUAGACUCCCACCCAGUAUAUAUAGUCAGCUACAAAAGAACAUUUUCCAUUUCCCAAAACCAUGUUAAAAUGUUGCUCCUUUAGUUUUUUAUUCAUGUUCAAGUGAGCUACCUGUUGGGGAAAAUCACCAUCUUCCAUUUGGGAAUUAAUAAACAGCUUUGCAGCCCUGUGAAGAGGUGUUGGGUCUCUCUCCGCCUGUUAGAAAGGAAAGGCUAGACUCAGAUGUUUGGGGAGAAGCCAUAUUGUGAAAGUAAUGUAGAAGACCAAGUUAAGCUUAUUGAUGACGGAACUGUAAAAACUAACCUGCCCUGAAGAAAGCAGCCCCAUCAGAGCCCACCCGGUUUGCACCAAAUUUGACUUGUUUCCUUCAAGAGGCAUAUAUUUCUAUAUCACCAAGCACAAGGAUUACUUGUUUUUGUCCAUGUUUCUACCAGAAAAUAGAGCAGUGGGUGGCAUGUAAAAAUUACCUUGUCCGAGCAAGAAGUACAGUUCUCUCCCCAACCACCAUCAUCUCUUUGUGAUUUGAGUAGAAACUCAACAGCUCUACCAAUAGCAAGACAGUUGUGGUAAGUCUUGCCAGCAGCUGCUAGGCCCCCAAGCGCAAACCAUGAGCCAUAGGUGAAACAUACUCCCCAAUUGCCAUACCUGGUGAAAUGUUUCUUUGUUUAAAUGGAUCUGCACUGCAUAUAUAUAAAAAUAUUUCCCUAGUGAAAUAAUAAUAGUGGAGUUGAGAAACAUACCAUGAGCCAUCAGGCAUUUGCAUGUCUUCAAUGUACUUAGCAGCAUUUGUGAUGAAAUUGUCUAUCUCCUUCUUCCUGUGUCCCGGGUGUAACUUCUUAAAAGAAACUAGAGCCUUAAUUGCUGAUGCAGUGCACUCAACAUACCUGCAUCAUUGUUUCGUUAGUCUCCAAGGACGUUAAAGCUAGCAAAGUUAGAAAAGAAAGCUGGUCAAUUAUCAAGAAUCUUACUCAUGCUCGAUGACAAUGUCUGGAAAAAAUUCAGUGGGGUUAAGUAGCUGAAAAGAGAAGAGAUUGGCAUUGAUUUAGAUUCAAAGAACACAAAGAGUUAGAAAGAGAGAGAGAUAAUGCAGAAAUAUUGAAGUUACUUAAACAUGUUGAAGUAAUUUACCUCCAACCAUUCUGAAGCUCCUGCAGGCUCCCAGGCAGCUAAACCACCAUUUUUACUCUACAGUGGUUUAAAAAAUGGGGGUUAUUGCUACUAAGAAGUUAUGACCUAUUUUGUGAUGGGGACAACCAUGGAAAUGGUGUAAGGAAGAUGAUUCUCACCUGUAGAGAAAGCAAGAUGUUGACAGAAUCAAAUAGUCGUUCAGGUUCCAUCUUCAUACCAACAAUCUCUGGUGUCAUCAUUGAAAAGAGGAGACAACACUGUGACAGAGAGGGGACUUCAGUAAGAAACCAAGUAACUUUAGUUAAUCUACAAGCCCUGACUCAAUUGAAGUGUUUGAGCAAAAAGAGUUACCUUCAAACCUUCUGCAGUGCAAUCAGAAACUUGCCAACCAUGAUCCUGAUCUGAGAAUGUCCACGAUCCCUUGGAAAUGUGGCGGUACAUGCUUUUAAAGUCACCAGAAGGAUUGUCCUUGACCUUCAAGAUUUCAGGCAGUAUGAAGUAAAUAGACCAUGAGAAACCCAAGUAGAUUCUGGUUGAAGUAAAGAAAUAAACGAUGGAAUUCAAGAUCAAACCUGAGAUUCCUUUAUGAAUUCAUGUCCUUUCUUGAGUGCAGGUCCAAGUUCAUCAGUCAUAUUGCAAGCUAGCAGUGCUUGAAGGGCAAAACUAGUGUCCCACUCUUGACUACCAAAGCUCUGCAAUAAUCGACAAUUUCAAAACCAAUUAGGCAGGAAAGGGAUAAAAGCAGCUUCAAACCAGUUGCAUACCUAAAAAAUUUUAAGAAAAAGAUCAACAGAUAUUAUCUAAUUUUCCUACAACUGUUUGGGAGAUUAGUGAUUGAAUUAACUUGUCUUCUUACCUGCAUCUUUAUUCCAUCUUCUGCAACCCAUAUAUAAUCUGGGAUCCUAGCAAGGUGCUUCUUGAAAUAAUCCCCAUUUGGAUCUUCAACCCAACAUGAGAGCAUACACAAUACCUGUUCAAUUUAAGGGAUAUCAGUACCCCAAAAGGAGUGACAUAUUGUCUGAAUAGUCAUUAUCCAUUACUGAAAAAAUACCUUCGCCACACAUCCAAUGGUUAUGUAUCGACUGUUUUCAUCUUCAUAAUGGAUGUGUUUCAUUGUUACUUCAAGAGCCUUCUGUCUCAACUUGUUGAAGGGCCAACGAGUAAGAAGAGGCUCAGUACAUAUGUACAAACUAUCCCACAUCAGAUCUUGUAUUAGGGGAUGGGAGUAGUAGAGAUCCUCCUGCAAUAAACAAUUUUGAAUGUGUUUCAUGCAUGCGAAGCAUAUUCAUAGGAAAAAGAAAAGUUUUCCAUACAAAAUCAAAACUUACCUUCGCACAAAGAUGUCGUACUUUCUUCCAAUUGAUUUCAUUAUAUGGUUGAAGGAAGAGCUCUUUUCUCAGUUCUAGAACAAGAGGCGUGAUUGGGCCAACAAAUCGUUUACCAUAUAACUAUGACAUGGGCAUGUAAACCAACCGACAGUGGCACCACAUUUUUGCUGCAUUUAUGGACUUAAAUUACAAGAAGCUCGACCAACGAUAGGAAAAUGAAAGUUAGACCGAAGUAGACAUGGGAAUGUCAUUUCUUGAGACUAAUAAACCAUCCCCAGGUUGAAUUUUUAAGUAUUCAUGCGUGAUCUUAUAAUUGUAUAAGGCUGAAGUUACACAGCUUUUGGCUUAAACAUUUCGAGUCCGUGUGACCAAUUCCAAGUUUUAUGUAAGAAGACCCUAGGAUGUAAAAUGCAUUAAGUGCAGAAGUAGAUGUGAAAUUCAAGCACUUGAGUAGAUGACUACAGCACAAACCUGGAUGCAUAGGAAGACGAGAAGGGAAGAGCCAAAACUCUGGGGGCAUUGGGUUGCUUCCUGACCAGUCAAACAAGCCAAAAAUCUACACGGAAGAAGCAAUCAUAUAAGAUUCAGUCCAUCACACAAGAAUGCAUUGUAUAGGAUGAAUGUGAACUUGUGUUUCAAAUGGCCAUACUGAAAGCCAAGUCUUUCCCCAAGAGGGAAGGGAUGUCACUCCACCACGAUCGAGGAUCCAUUUACGCCCUCUUGCACAAGCAUUGUCUCUACCACCAUCGCGCCCUUCUCCAAGGAUACGCAUACAAUGGGCCAGCAUUUUCAGCAGGCCAAUGGCCAUCACUAGCCUGCAAAGCUGAAAAGAAAUGUGCACCCCUUCUCACUGCUGUUGUGGCUGUCUCAUAUGUAAUUUCUUCACCAUCCCCAACCUUAACUUGUGGUAUUGUUUGUUUGAAAUUUUUCUCUCUCAAAAACUGCAAUUUUUUUUGGCCAAAUGAAAUGGGAGUUAGUGAAGAGGAAGUUUAAAAGAAAAGGUAAAUUAACCUCAAUAGUAAGCAUCUAUUUAUACAAUUGUUCCAAGCUAAGAGAAUUAUUACAAUUUUUAAAGCGCAUAAUAUAUAUUUUGGGUUAAAAUCCUACAAACUUAAUCUUUUAGGAAAUUAAUUGUUUAACAUGGUAUCAAAGCUCGGCUUUGGAAUCGGUCUUACCUGUCAUUAGCCGACAAUUUGCUUGAUGGUGUCUCAACCAAUUUAAAAGAAAAGAAAAGAAAAGGUAAAUUAACCUCAAUUGUAAGCAUCUAUUUAUACAAUUGUUCCAAGCUAAGAGAAUCAAGAUAGAGUUAGCAAUUGUUAAACUGCAUAAUAUAUAUUUUGGGUUCAAAUCCUACAAACUUAACUUUUUAAGAAAUUAGUUGUUCAACAUGGUAUCAAUGCUCGGUUUUGGAAUUGGUCUCACCUCUCAUUAUCCAACAAUAUGGUGGUAUCUUAACCUAGGGCCUGGUGUAUGAGGGGAAUAUUGUUGGGUUCUCCCAUAUCUCUUAUAGAAGGAAUUGGGUGACUCUUUAUCAGUGUGCAUGAAAAUCUCAGCCUUUUAAGCUAAUUUUUUGGGGUGAUAAGGCCCAAAAUCACCCAAUAGUAGUGUCCCCAAUAUUAUUUUUCUUUUUUACUUUAUGAUAUCAUAACCCCAUUUGGUGGGAGGUGAACGUCAUAUGGUUGCCCACUAUGGUCACUUUGUUUGAAGUCAAGUGGUUUCAAUACAUGCUUCUUUUCCCAAUUUAUCAAGUUCGCAUGCAAGCCUGAAAAUAGAAGCUGCACAUGUAAGAGGGAGAGAGAGUGAGAGAUUAUGGUUGUUUGGUGGUGAAAACAUGAUUCUAAAGAGGACCCCAUAUCUUGCGAUUUUUUGGGUUCCUUUUUUCAUAGAAAUCAUCACCCAUAAUCAAACAAAUGGAAACAAAACAAGAAAAGCUAUGUAGCUAGACUACGUAAAACAACAAGUAUGUAUGCAUGCAAGACACGUAUAGUCAGUGAAAAACUGCAAUCUAGGACGCAGAUGACAGAUCAAUAUCUGUUGUGAUAUCAAGACUUGAGAUAGAUGGGAUCAAAUCACCUGCAUCCGCCAAAGGAGGUCGCUGCUGGGCUUAACCUGAAACCGGUUUUUCCAGAAAUUUUCACGAGCUGCUUCGACCUCAGCUCGCUCUUCUGUGGUUCCAUAGUCAGGAUCAAACUCCCAUAUCUGUCUUCCCACGAAGUUGUUGGUGGUGUAGAUGUAGGAAUCAUUGCCUCCAUCUGCAACCUUGAGCCUCCACAUUUUCAAACUCACCAAACUGACGAGAUAUAUCUCUAUAUAUAUCUAAGUUUACAAAUAUGUGUCUCCCUUCCGAAAACACCUGCUGAUCAUGCAAUCACCAGAAAGGUAAGAAAAGCUUUUCUUUGCAAUAAAAUUAAGUUAAAAUGAUACAGACCAAGGACAGAGAGAUAGGUGCUGGGUGGGCAGAGAAGAGAGAAGCUUCAGAAACUUGGAAUGGCGAGUUCCAGGAGGGAAUCGCUCAUUCAUAUAGAAGCACAGCAGCAAGUCAAUCACCAACCCCCAUGACUUGUAUUUAUGAAUGAGACUAUUAACACUUAAUUUAUGCUUAUCUAUAUAUAUGAAGUGAUGUCAGCCAUAGUAACUUGAUUUCUAAAUUCAUGAAUCUUGUAACAGACCCUGAUAGAUAUCAGUCCUUCAAUCAUAAAAUUAAUAUGGUUUAAGACAUACAGUCCCUGAUACAUCAAUUAGUUAUGUUUAAGUGACGUUUCACCAAUUUUUCCCCAACGUCCAACAAAAGUCUCAAUUAAAGCACAAAAAAUUUAAUUUAGAUGGUGGACAUGUGAAAAAUUCCAGUUUUGCAAAGAAAAAAAAAAAGAAAAAAAAAAGAAAAAAAAAGAAAAAAAAAAAAGAAAAGGAAAUAAUUGACCUUCUGUGUUGUUGCCACCAGUUAUGAUGGGUGUUCAUUUUUAGAGAGAAUUGUGCUUAAGGGAGUCCACUUGUUCAUAAUGGGUCAAACAUCCUUCAAAAUCUUAUAAUUGACAAUUGAUAAGAAGGAUAUAAACUUUAGAGAGACCAGGGUACCCUUCAAAGUUGUUAUGUCCCUUAACACCAAUACUUUCACCGAUUGUUGAAUUAGAAAAGUUAUCAAUUCAUGGUUUAUUCAUCAGACUGACAGGCAAACUAUAGUCGAAAUUAACCUAAACUAAAACAAGAAUUUAAAAAGAGAACUUACGUUCAACCGUGUAAGAGGGGCUGCUAUUAGAACACUCUUAAUCCUUCCAAUCUGAUGCCUUAUAUGCUACAUGUUCUAAAAGAAAAUCCCGAGACGUCCUCAAAGUGGCAGCUUCUGUGAUCUUCUUUGCAUGGUAUGGUUGCCCUCCAAAUUUCAUCAAAACGUGUGGAUGUCUUUCACAAAAUCUGGUGGUGCCAUAUUCUUAAAGUGGAAGCCUUUUUUUUUUUUUUUACACAAAAAAUAAACUGAUAUGUAGUGGAGGUUCAAAGUGGCAACCUUAUUCUCAUCCUAGUAGUGCGUGGUGGAUACCUCUCACAAAAUCUGGUGGUGCAAAAAUCUGUGCGUGGAGGGGCUUUUUUAGUGGCAGCGUGCUGUGUAAAAUCCACAGAUGCAGCCUUGAUGGAGAUCUCUUGCUAAUGCAUAAUCAGUCCGGUACGUCUUAAGGAAGAUUCAGACAUUCAAUGCAUGCAGUUCCCUAUUCUCUUCGAGUAACAAGGAUUGUUCAAGCUUUAACUCAGCAAAAGUAUAGCCUGAAAAUCAUAUAUCAAUGAUUAUGGUGCAUUCUGUUGCUUCAAUUGAUAGAAGCAUUGCUGCCUGACCAUAUGUCGUGCCACUGUUUCAGUUCCGACAAUCUCCAUCUUCUCAUUCCAUUUUCCAGUAGAAUUUAUAUGGAGAUAUAUAGUCUUUGUGGGGUUGUCGAAAUCCAACCACAUGAAUUGAGAGUAAGAAGCUUAGCUAUUACAGGUAUGACGGGCAUGCCUAAACAAUAAUUUCAAGUUUCUAAGAGCAGUAGAUCCCUUCAAAUCCUCAGAUUUUAGAAACAUAGGCCAAAAAAAUACUCAGACUUCUCCACCCCGCAACCAUUCCAUUGCAAUUGUAAAUAUGCAGUAAGUAUAACCAGUCCAGUCUUGAAGGCCACUUCUUGUGCCACUGUAUUGGCUUUCAUUUUGGAAUGGUUAGAUAUGCAGGAAGCUUGUUUUAUCAAAGAAGCAAGACCUUUCGAUGUUUAUGGAUGAAUUCCUCUUGUCAGCAUUGGUUCUUUAAUAUUCACCAAAAAGUGAACAAGCUUGGAGCCUUAGGUAGAUAUUUUACAAAGCCUUCUGUACUGUUAUCUUAUGCUAAGUACUGAAUAUAAAUGUUGUUGAGGGUACCACCAGUGACAUGCAGAUGCAAUGUUUAUUAUGAGAACACCAACGGCAUAGUGCAUCAACGGAUAUUUGAGUUUUCCGAGAAGGAGGCCUUUACAUCAUCGACCAGAUCUGGAUUAUUUGAAUUUAGCAAGGUCCUGCUAUUGUUUUAUUCUCUUGCACAAACUAUUCUUCAAAAUAUGUUACCAUGACAUAGAUAAACUUUUCAUUUGCUUAACAUUGUUCAAAGGGCUUGACAUUGCUCAACAUUAUCUGAGCUUUUCUCCUACAGAUGCUUCUUUGGCAUGGCAAUGCAACCAGACUUAAGGCGAUGGCACUCACUUACAUACUCUGCAAGAGCCCACAAUGGAAAAAUAUUCCUGUAAUCUGCAUAGUGUAACAUGCAGUUCUUCAUGAAGGCUCCAGUGAUUUCCUGCCAUAGAUAAUUGAUGAUCAAAUGGUUAGACUACCACCCAGUAUAUAUAGUCAGCUACAAAAGAACAUCAUUUUCCAUUUCCCAAAACCAUGUUAAAAUGUUACACCUUUGGUUUUUUAUUCAUGUUCAAGUGAGCUACCUGUUGGGGAAAAUCACCAUCUUCCAUUUGGGAAUUAAUCAACAGCUUUGCAGCCCUGUGAAGGGGUGUUGGGUCUCUCUCCGCCUGUUAUAAAGGAAGGUUAGACUCAGAUGUUUGGGGAUAAGCCAUAUUGUGAAAAUAAUGUAGAAGACCAAGUUAAGCUUAUUGAUGGUGGAACUGUAUAAACUGACCUGCCCAGAAGAAAGCAGCCCCAUCAGAGCCCACCCGGUUUGUACCAGAUUUGACUUGUUUCCUUCAAGAUGUGUAAGUUUCUGUAUCACCAAGCACAAGGAUUACUUGUUUUUCUGCAUGUAUCUACCAGAGAACAGAGCAGUGGGUGGCAAGUAAGAAUUACCUUGUCCUGGCAAGAAAUAUAGCUCUCUCCCCAACCACCAUCAUCUCUUUGUGAUUUGAGUAGAAACUCAACAGCUCUACCAAUAGCAAGACAGUUGUGGUAAGUCCUGCCAGCAGCUGCUAGGCCCCCAAGUGCAAACCAUGAGCCAUAGGUGAAACAUACUCCCCAAUUGCCAUACCUGGUGAAAUGAUUCCUUGUUUAAAUGGAUCUGCACUGCAUAUAUAAAAAGAGCUUUCCCCAGUGAAAUGGUAAUAGUGGAGUUGAGAAACAUACCAUGAGCCAUCAGGCAUUUGUUGGUCUUCAAUGUACUUGGUAGCAUUUGUGAUGAAAUUGUCUAUCUCCUUCGUCCUGUGUUGGGGGUAUAACUUCUUAAACAAAACCAGAGCCUGAAUUGCUGAUGCAGUGCACUCGACAUACCUGGAUCAUCAUUUUGUUAGUCUUCAAGGAAGUUAAAAGCUAGUAGAGUUAGAAAAAAAAGCUGGUCUAUUAUCAAGAAUUUUACUCAUGCUCGAUGACAAUGUCUUCAAAAAUUUCAGAGGGGUUGAACAGCUGAAAAGAGAAGGGAUUGACAUUGAUUUAGAUUCAAAGAAUACAGAGAGAGAGAUAAAACGGAAACAUUGAACUUACUUAAACAAGUUGAAGUAAUUUACCUCCAACCAUUCUGAAGCUCCUGCAGGCUCCCAGACUGCUAAACCACCAUUUUUACUCUGCAGUGGCUUUGAAAACAAGGGUUAUUGAUACUAAGAAGUUAUAACCUGUUUUGUGAUGGGGACAACCAUGGAAAUGGCCCAAGGAAGAUGAUUCUCACCUGUAGGGAAAGCAGGAUGUUGACAGAAUCAAAUAGUCGUUCGGGUUCCAUACCAACAAUUUCUGGUGCCAUCAUUGAAAAGAGGAGACAACACUGUAACAGAGGGUACUUCAGUGAGAAACCAAGUGACUUUAGUUAAUCUACAAGCCCUGACUCAAUUAAGUGUUUGAACAAAAAAAAUUACCUUCAAACCUUCUGCAGUGCAAUCAGAAACUUGCCAACCAUGAUCCUGAUCUGAGAAUGUCCACGAUCCUUGGGAAAUUUUGCGAUACAUGCUUUUAAAGUCACCAGAAGGAUUGUCCUUGACCUUCAAGAUUUCAAGCAAUAUGAAGCAAAUAGACCAUGAGAAACCCAAGUAGAUUCUGGUUGAAGUCAAGACACAAACCUGAGAUUCCUUUAUGAAUUCAUGUCCUUUCUUGAGUGUAGGUCCAAUUUCAUUUGUCAUAUUGCAAGCUAGCAGGGCUUGAAGGGCAAAACCAGUGUCCCACUCUUGACUACCAAAGGUCUACAACAAUCGACAAUUUCAAAACCAAUUUAGGCAGGAGAGGAUAAAAGCAUAGCUUCAAACCAGUUGCACACUUGAAAUAUUUUAAGAAAAAGAUGAAUAGAUAUUAUCUAAUUUUCCUACAACUGUUUGGGAGAUUAGUGAUUGAAUUAACUUGUCUUCUGACCUGCAUCUUUAUUCCAUCUUCUGCAACCCAUAUAAAAUCUGGGAUCCUAGCAAGGUGCUUCUUGAAAUAAUCCCCAUUUGGAUCUUCAACCCAACAUGUGAGCAUACACAAUGCCUGUUCAACUUAAGCCAUAUCAGUAUCCUAAAGAACUGACAUAUUGUCUAAAUAGAAGUUAUCCACUGCAGAAAAAAACCUUCUCCACACUUGCAAUAGUGAUGUAUCUACUGUUUUCAUCUUCAUAAUGGAUGUGUUUCAUUGUUACUUCAAGAGCCUUCUGUCUCAACUUGUUGAAGGGCCAACGAGUAAGAAGAGGCUCGGUACAUAUGUACAAACUAUCCCACAUCAGAUCUUGUAUUAGGGGAUGGGGGUAGUAGAGAUCCUCCUACAAUAAACAUAUUUGAAUGUGUGUUUCAUGCAUGCGUAGCAUAUUCAUCGGAAAAGGAAAAGUGUUCCAUACAAAAUCAAAACUUACCUUUGCACAAAGAUGCCGUACUUUUUUCCAGUUGAUUUCAUUAUAUGCUUGAAGGAAGAGCUCUUCUCUUAGUUCUAGAACAAGAGGCGUGAUUGGGCCAACGAAUCGUUUACCAUAUAGGUAUGACAUGGGCAUGUAAACCAACCGACUGUAGCACCACAUUUUUGCUGCAUUUAUGGACUCAAAUUACAAGAAGCUCAACCAACGAUAGGAAAAUGAAAGUUAGACCAAAGUAGACAUGGGAAUGUCAUUUCUUGAGACUAAUAAACCAUCCCCAGGUUGAAUUUUUAAGUAUUCAUGCGUGAUCUUAUAAUUGUAUAAGGCUGAAGUUACACAGCUUUUGGCUUAAACAUUUCGAGUCCGUGUGACCAAUUCCAAGUUUUAUGUAAGAAGACCCUAGGAUGUAAAAUGCAUUAAGUGCAGAAGUAGAUGUGAAAUUCAAGCACUUGAGUAGAUGACUACAGCACAAACCUGGAUGCAUAGGAAGACGAGAAGGGAAAAGCCAAAACUCUGGGGGCAUUGGGUUGCUUCCUGACCAGUCAAACAAGCCAAAAAUCUACACGGAAGAAGGAAUAUCAUAUAAGAUUCAGUCCAUCACACAAGAAUGCAUUGUAUAGGAUGAAUGUGAACUUGUGUUUCAAGUGGCCAUACUGAAAGCCAAGUCUUUCCCCAAGAGGGAAUGGAUGUCACUCCACCACGAUCGAGGAUCCAUUUACGCCCUCUUGCACAAGCAUUGUCUCUACCACCAUCGCGCCCUUCUCCAAGGAUACGCAUACAAAUGUAGCUGAGUGUUGUACAAAACAUUGUGCUGUGUCCCUCAAUAUGCAAUCCCCACCCACCAUCUUCAUUCUGCCAUGUACAUAAGCCAUUUUCAUACUUCAAAGCUCCAAGCCCAUUUAUGAGGUUAGGAUGAUGACUAGGUUCAAAAUAUAUAUACCUGAUGACAGUAUAGGUAGCGAAGAAUUUCUUUACGAUAUUCUCCAGGGAAUACAGUGUCAAGAUGCCCUGUAAUGUAUAGACACAUGACCUGCAUUUUCCAUGAAAUUAUUCCAUUGAGAAUGGCUGUUAAAAUGGUCCAUAUACAUGAUUUUAAGGAGGGUGAGAGGGUGUUGAGUAGACUCACCAGGGGAGGAAGGAAAUACAAUGGGCCAGCAUUUUCAGCAGGCCAAUGGCCAUCACUAGCCUGCAAAGCUGAAAAGAAAUGGGCACCCCUUCUCACUGCUGCUGUGGCUGUCUCAUAUGUAAUUUCUUCACCAUCCCCAACCUUCGCUUGUGGUAUUGUUUGUUUGAAAUUUUUCUCUCUCAAAAACUGCAGUUUAUUUAUUUAUUUUUUUUGGCCAAAUGAAAUGGGAGUUAGUGAAGAACAAGUUUAAAAGAAAAGGUAAAUUAACCUCAAUAGUAAGCAUCUAUUUAUACAAUUGUUCGAAGCUAAGAGAAUCAAGAUAGAGUUGCAAUUGUUAAAGAGCAUAAUAUGUAUUUUGGGUCCAAAUGCUACAAACUUAACCUUUUAGGAAAUUAGUUGUUCAUCAUGGUAUCAAAGCUCGAUUUUGGAAUGGGUCUUACCUUUCAUUGUCUGACAAUCUGAUUGAUGGUGUCUCAACCAGCUCAAAAGAAAAGAAAAGAAAAGGUAAAUUAAGCUCAAUAGUAAGCAUCUAUUUAUACAGUUGUUCCAAGCUCAGAGAAUCAAGAUAGAGCUCACAAUUGUUAAAGCACAUAAUAUAUAUUUUGGGUUCAAAUCCUACAAACUCAACCUUUUAGGAAAUUAGUUGUUCAAUAUGAUAUCAAAACUUGGUUUUGGAAUUGGUCUCACCUCUCAUUAUCUAGCAAUUUGGUCGAUGGUCUCUUAACCUAGGGCCUGGUGUAUGAGGGGAAUAUUGUUGGGUUUUCCCAUAUCUCUUAUAGAAGGAAUUGGGUGACUCCUUAUCAGUGUGAGGGAAAAUAUCUCCCUUUAAGUUAAUUUUUAGGGUGAUAAGGCCCAAAAUCACCCAAUAGUAGUAUCCCUAAUAUAUCCUCUCUUUUUUUUUGGUUUUACUUUAUGAUAUCUUAACCUCAUUAGGUGGGAGGUGAGCCUCAUAUGGUGGCACACUAUGGGCACCUUGUUUGAUGAAGUCAAGUGGUAUCAAUACAUGUUUUUUUUUUCCCAAUUCAUUAAGUUCAAGUGUAAGCCCGAAAAUAGAAGCUAGGCAUGUAUGAGGGAGAGGAAGGGUGUUAUAGAGAGAGAGAGAGAGAGGUGGGAGGUGAGCCUCAUAUGGUGGCCCACUAUGGUCACCUUGAUCGAUGAAGUCAAGUGGUAGAGAGAGAGAGAGAGAGAGAGGUGGGAGGUGAGCCUCAUAUGGUGGCCCACUAUAGUCACCUUGAUCGAUGAAGUCAAGUGGUAGAGAGAGAGAGAGAGAGGUGGGAGGUGACCCUCAUAUGGUGGCCCACUAUAGUCACCUUAGAGAGGUGGGAGGUGAGCCUCAUAUGGUGGCCCACUAUGGUCACCUUGAUCGAUGAAGUCAAGUGGUAUCAAUACAUGUUUCUUUUCCCAAUUUAUUAAGUUCGCAUGUAAGCCCGAAAAUAGAAGCUACACAUGUACGAGGGAGUGGGAGGGUGUUAGAGAGAGAGAGAGAGAGAGAGAGGGUAAUCAAACAUAUGGAAACGAAUUAAAUAAGAAAGCUAGCUAUGUAGCUAGACUACGUAAAAGAAGGAGUAUGUAUGCAUGGAAGACAUGUACGUUCAUUUAAAAACGGGAAUCUAGGAUGCAGAUGACAGAUAAAUAUCUGUUGUGAUAUCAAGACUAGAGAUAGAUGGGAUCAAACCACCUGCAUCCGCCAAAGGAGGUCGCUGCUGGGCUUAACCUGAAACCGGUUUUUCCAGAAAUUCUCACGAGCUGCUUCGACCUCAGCUCGCUCUUCUGUGGUUCCAUAGUCAGGAUCAAACUCCCAUAUCUGUCUUCCCACGAAGUUGUUGGUGCUGUAGAUGUAGGGAUCAUUGCCUCCAUCUGCAACCUUGAGCCUCCACAUUUUCUAACGCACCAAACAGACGAGAUAUAUCUCUAUGUAUAUCUAAGUUUACAAAUAUGUGCGUCUCCCUUCCGAAAACACCUGCUGAUCAUGAAAUCACCAGAAAGGUAAGACAAGCUUUUCUUUGCAGUAAAAUUAAGUUAAAAUGAUACAGACCAAGGACAGAGAGAUAGGUGCUGGGUGGGCAGAGAAGAGAGAGACUUCAGAAACUUGGAAUGGCGAGUUCCAGGUGGGAAUCACUCAUUCAUAUAGAAGCACAACACCAAGUCAGUCACCAACCCCCAUCACUUCUAUUAAUUCUUUUUUCACCCACUUCAAGUAUUUUAUGGAAUUUUUCACCUACCCCCACCAAGUUUGUGGAAUUUUUUGACUUUCAAUUAUUUUUUAUUGAUAUAUUUUAUUUCAAAGAAAAGCUUGUCUUACCUUUAUGGAGCCUCUGAUAUAAGGAUGGUGUCUUUGCAAUAAAAUUUUAUGGAAUUGAUAUAUUUUUUAAUUAAAGAAUCCCAUGCAUUAAUUUUAUUUAAAUAAAGUUUAUUUACUCAAUAAAAAUAUAUAAUUAUGUGCUAAUCAUAAUUAUAUAUUUUCUAAUUAAUUUCAUUUUCUACAAAUCAAUGCUAAUCUAAUGAGGGCCUACUAUAAUUUCAUUUUCUUGUAUAAAAUAUUCUUCAAACUUCUUAUGGUAUUAGAGCAACAUGGCCAAGAAUUCUACCUCACAAUUCAAUCUUUUCACCAAUGCGCAAGCUUGGUAUUUGUGAAGCUAUUUUUUUUUUUUAUCAAUUUUUACCUUUAAUCAAGAGUCUUUAUCUUGAAAAUCACCUUACAAAUGUUGGGGCUCCACUAGAAGAAAUAGAAAAUGAAGAUGGCAAGAAGGAAGUGAAUCCAAGCUACACAAUCAUAUAGGGUUUAUAAAAAAAUAUAAAGUAUUACCAUUAGAGGACAAUCCUCUAAUUGUUGAAAGAAGACAAACAUUUCAAUACCAAUUCCUCCUCCUAUCAUUCUUGACACAUAGUCUACAGUUACUAUCACUACACUUUCCAUCAUGGAAGCACCUUUUUCUUGAGCUUUGACCCAAAAUAGUGCGUUUUUAAAAAAAAUUCCAAAAAAUAAAGUUGUUUUCUAAAUAAUGUUCGAUCUAAUGCGUCUGUACCACAUAAGCUGCCACGUCAUAAAACCGUAGUUGGUGACUACGGUUUUAUUUUUCUAAAGUGGUUAGAAACCGUAGUUACCAACCACGGUUUUAACUUUAAGUUUAAAGCCGUAGUUGGUGACUACGGCUUUGACUUUUUUUUAAAAUGGUCAAAGCCGUAGUCACCAACUGCGGUUUUAACUUUAUAUAUUUAUAUAUAACUUUAAUUUUUUUAAUAAAAAUAUUAUAUUAUUUUGCUUUUAAAUAUACUUAUUUUAUUAUUUUAAUAAUAAUAAUAUAUGAAAUUAAAUAAUUGAUAUUUUUAAUUUGAUAUAAAUAUAUUUUAAAAUUUUAUUAAAAUAAUAUACUCUAUAUUUAAUAUAAAUAUAUUUAGUUAAUUAUAUUUAAAUAUAAAUAAAAUAUAAUAAAUUAUGAAAGCCUAUUAAAAAACAAAUAAUAUAAAUUAUUAUAUUAAUUAAUAAUUUUUUAUAUACUAUAUGUAAGUGGUAUAUAAUGUCACAUGUAUAUAAGUUCAAUUAAGUUUAAAAUUUAUUAUAUUUUAAUUUAAGUUCAUAAUAUUAUAUCGAUAUGAUAAUAAUUUAUUUAUAUAUUUAAAUAAAUAUGCCAUAUAUAUAUAUAUAUAUAUAUAUGUGUGUGUGUGUGUGUGUGAUAUUAUAUACUACUUACAUAUAAUAUAUAAAAAAAUUAUUAAUUAAUAUAAUAAUUUAUAUUAUUUUUUUCUCCAAAUAGGCAUUUAUAAUUUAUUUAUUUUAAAUAAACAUAAUUUAUUAUAUUUUAUUUAUAUUUAAUUUUAAUUAAAUAAUUAUAUUUAUAUUAAAUAUAGUGUCAAUUAUUUUAAUAAAAUUUAUUUAUAUAUUUAAAUAAAAAUGUGAUAAAUUUUAAACUUAAAUUAAACUUUUAUAUAUAUAUAUAUAUAUGUGUGUGUGUGUGUGAGAGAGAGAGGUAUUAUAUACCACUUAUAUAUAAUAUAUAAAAAAUUAUUAAUUAAUAUAAUAAUUUAUAUUAUUUUUUUAUUUUUCUAAAUAGGCAUUUAUAAUUUAUUUAUUUUAAAUAAAUAUAAUUUAUUAUAUUUUAUUUUAAUUAAUUAAUUAUAUUUAUAUUAAAUAUAGUGCGUUUUAAUAAAAUUUAAAAAUAUAUUUUUAUAUCAAAUUAAAAAUAUCAAUUAUUUAAUUUCAUAUAUUAUUAUUUUUAAAAUAAUGAAAUAAGUAUAUUUAAAAUCAAAAUAAUAUAAUAUUUUUAUUAAAAAAAAUUAAAGUUAUAUAUAAAUAUAUAUAAAGUUAAAACCGCAGUUGGUGACUUCGGCUUUGACCAUUUUAAAAAAAAGUCAAAGCCGUAGUCACCAACUACGGCUUUAAACUUAAAGUUAAAACCGUGGUUGGUAACUACGGUUUCUAAUCACUUUAGAAAAAUAAAACCGUAGUCACCAACUACGGUUUUAUGAUGUGGCAGCUUAUGUGGCACAGACGCAUUAGAUUGGACAUUAUUUUGAAAACAACUUUAUUUUUUGGAAUUUUUUUUUAAAACACACUAUUUUGGGUCAAAGCUCCUUUUUCUUUUCACAAAGUCCAUUUCAACCACCUUUACACCUGCUCCUUCCUCUCCACCAUCUCUACACUCCACACUAUAUUUAAUAAACCAAUUAUUUAUCAAUCUUCCAAUUGCCCCAACUUCUCUAUCAACACAACCUAUGCCUAACGAUACAUCCCUCUCCUUCACCAAAACAACCCACACAACUUCCCACUUGCAUUAACACUAUGGCUAGUCACCUAUCCAAAAUUGAGACAAAUACGUUAUUUGGCUCUCCAUGUUAGCCAUUCAACUCAUAUUGAACCUAGAACUCUUAAAUAAAAACUUAAACAACCUCAUUAGGUGGUUGGUAUGGAGGACGAAAUAAACAACUAGAGGUUAAAAAUGUCUUCUUAAUUGACCAUCUCAAGGAAAUGACCCUAAUUUUCCUUCACACGUUUAUCUUCUUAAAUGUUCCCUAAAUGGACUAAAGCAAGCCUCUUAAGUUUUGUUUAAGCGUUUAUCACAAGCUCUUAUUCAACUUGGUUUCUUUAAUACCAACACUGACUCAUCAUUAUUUAUUUUGCAUACAAGUUCUCUAAUUGUUUUAAUCUUAGUUUAUGCUGAUGAUGUUAUUGUAACAAGUAGCAACCCUUGCUAUAUGAUCCAAUAGAUUAUCACUAGUUUCAACUCUAGAUUUGCUUUAAAGACCUUGGCUACCUAAAAUAUUUCUUGGAAAUUGAAGUCAAAUAUUUUCAAGUUGGUUUCUUAUGGACUUGCAUUUUUCACAAGCAUUCCUACUCAAUGGCGAGACUUGUUUUUUUAGUGAAAAACUAAUUUUGAAAAAGUUAGUCACCCUUUAUUUUUGUUUAUUUUUUCAAAGGAAAAUAAAAUAUAAAAUAAAACUCUAAAAAUGACUCUUUAUUUGGAAAAAUAUGUAUUUGAAAACCAAAUCCAAAUCCUGGGGUCAAGUUACAUAUCGAGAAGGUAUCAUACGGUACCACUACCCUAAGCCCUAAAUAAAUGUCUCUACUAAUUAAAUUGAGGUAACUAUAAUUGAUUUGUAAAUCAAUGGAUGCUAAGAAUCACGAAAUAUAUAACAAAGUAAUAAUGAAAGCAUAAUUAAAGAUCACUCAAACAAGCCAUGCACACUCAAAGAAGCACUUAAAGAAGGAAAGAAAGGAACGUACCUCAUAACAUGCUAAGUGUUCUUAUAAAAUAACAUAAUGUUAACAAAUAAAGCAUAUCAAGGAAGCAUUCAAAACAAUACAUGCAUACCCAAAGAAUCAAACAAAGGAAAAAGAGAGGAAGUGUACUUUGAUAGCUAGCAAAGCACUUUCAUAAAAUCACUGAGGUUUAGUUCAUAAGUAAUAAAAAAUAUAGAUAUAAAAUCAUAGGUAAGACUUCACAAUAGAUACAACAUAUUCAUAUCUCAAAUCAUGAAAUAAAGAGAUGAUAAGGUAUGAACAAGAUGAAACAAAAUACAAUAAACAUGCUUAAAAAUUAAGAAUUGGCUAACAAGUAUUCACUCACAAAAAUUAAUCUAAAUAAAAUAUCAAAUAAGGAAUUCCAAUCCAAAGAAAGGUUCAAAUAAUGUGCAUAAUAUGUUAACAAUGUAAAUCAAUAAUCAAAGGAGCUCAAAAGCAUGCAUAAAGGGGAUCGAAUUAUAAAAAAACAUAUAGGCUAUCAUCAACAGGGCAGAACAAGGGUAUUUACAAAAUAAAUCUUAAAUAAAAAACCUAAAAUUGUUAUUUUAUCAAAAUAAAAAAUGGAGAACAUCUUCAAUAUGUAUCUAGAUCAUAAUAAAAAAUUCCAAAUUAUUUAAUUAUAUGUUAUUCAAUACCAAAUUAAAUCAAACUAAGGACACUACAUAGAACAUUCAACAUAUGAUCAAAACAGAGAUUUUUUUGAAAUAUAUCCUAAAAAAAAUCAAGAAAUGGAAUUUCAUCACAAAAAAAAUAAAAUAAAAUGGACAAUAUCUCCUAUUUCUUCUAUAUUAAAACCCAAAAGAUCAAAUUGUUUAAUCAUGUGCCAUUCAAUACCACAUUUCAUCACAAUUCAUUUUAGUAAAAAAACAGGACAAAUAUCAAAGCAUACAAGAAUUAAUUUAUUUGGCGAAUUUAGAAGUGUGGUAAAAUCACACAAAAAGUUAUACAAUUUCUUCAAUAUGAUUACAUUACAUGAAAAAUAACAGCAAGAUUAAAUCAUAUAAGAACUUAGUGAAAUUCAACCAAACAGUCCUUAACUAUAGAACAGAGCUAGUUUAGUGGGUGUAGAAAUGAAAAAUUAUUUCUCCUACUUGGGAGGUCAAUUUUGAGUGUCACAAGGAUCCAAAUUAUAAUUUAUGAAGUCUAGAUUAAGGAAAAAAACAUCAAAACAAAUUAAUGAAAUCACCAAAUAAUUUAAUUUUACAAAACUAUUUUGGGUGUCCUAUUUUGUACUGAAAUUGGACCUACUGGAAGAGUAAUUUAAAUGCCUUGCUUGGAGAAACGUUUCAAGCUCAAAAAAUAAAAAAAUAAAAAGAUAAAUAUUUCACAUAUUUAAGAAGUUUAGAACAAUAACCAAGCAUUGGAAACUUCAAAGGUGUAGUAGACUAACAACAAUGGCAAUAGAGAACCAAUUUUUGGAAAACUUUGAAUGUAGGGAUUCACUAGGUCCCUUUUUAAUUUUUAUGAAUUUAUCUAUGCUUCCUUAACCUCAUGCAAGCAUGAAUAAGCUUACUAAGGCUAGGAAUGACUCCAUUGAUUGGAGCUUUGAUUUUAAUUCAUGUAUGAGAAAAAUAAAAAAUAAAUGAAAACCUUUUCAAAUAUGCAUACCAAAUGAACAAGGUAGCAUUAUUUUUAAAAAUAUACUUCUCUUCACCCAAUUGAUCUAAGAUAACCUUUGAGGAUACACUUUAUUUUAGAAACAAUUUAAAAUACUUUCAAAAUCAUUAAAACACUUAAAAUCAUAAAUCACUAAAAAGGCACCUAAAGACAAUUGUGUGUAUCAAAAAAUGAGUAUUCAAAGUGAAGUGAAUAGGGAACUAUUUGUGCAUCUUAAAAAUGACUUAAAAAAAUGACCUUAAAGUGUGUCAAAAUUAAGCCUCUAAAGUGUCCUAAACAAGCAUAUAAAAUUCACUUAAAAGUGAAAUGAAAAAGUGAUACCAAAAAUAGAGAUACAUAGUGAAAUCAACUAAUGACUUGUGUGAGUGAUUUGUGAUGAAAGAUUAUAAAGGUCAACUAACCUAAAAAUAAAAACUAAGAGACAUGAAUCAAUGCAAAAACAGUAACAUUCAAAAACAGUAACGAAAAUGAGAAGAAAUAGGAAGAGAAAAAGAAGAUAUAGAAGAAAUCAAAACUAAAAUUAAAAUUCAGUAACUUACCUCAAACUUUCCCUUCAAAAUUCGGUGGUGUCCUCUUCACUUUUCACAAAUUUGAUCUAUGCAGCUGCAUGUGUUCUCAAUGGCUGAUGUGUGCCUUCUUCUCCAACAUUCUGCUACUAUAUCUCUUAAGGAUCAACGUUGUUGCAUGUUUUCUUGCUCCUUCACCGGAUGCUGCUACAUGUCAUGCUUUCAUCUUCCCUUAAAAAAUUCUACCGUAACUUUCACUUAAAGACAUGCAGUAAUAGCUCCAUAAUCAACCCACUCUAAUCAUCAACUGUGUACAGCCAGCUCAAGUAAAACAUGAAUAGCGUUUUUCCCUCUCUAUUUUCAUUUUAAAAAAUUAUUCCUUCUCUAGAAACUUCCCUCAAAUUAUGGCAUGCACUCAAAAAAACAAGAUAAAAAAUCACAUGCAAUCAAUCGAAAAAAAUUAAUCAUGUACUAAAAUAUUAAAAAUCAAUCAUGCAAUCACAAAUCAAAAAUCAAUUAUGGGCUUAAAAUUAAAGUCACAUGCAAUCACAAUCAAUAAUCAAAGAUGAACUUAAAAUUAAAAUCAAGCAUACAUUCCAAAUCAAGAUUCAAAUGUGAACUCAAAAUUAAAAUCACUCAUACACUAAAAAUUAAUCAUGCAAUAAAAUCAAUCACAUGCACUCAAAAUAUAAAAAAUCAUUCAUGCACUUAUAAUAUCACAAAUCAAUCAUGCACUCAAAAUAUCAAAAAUCAAUCACACACUAAAAAUCAAAUAACAAAUCAAAGUUCAUCUAACUUAAAAACUUGCAAUAAAAGUCAAAAUCAAACCUAAUGCACUAAAAAAACUUAAACUAAACAAUAGAAGGAUGCAUUAGAAAACAAACUCCUAAUCUAGAAUUAGAGCAACUAAAAAAAUCACACUUCGUAUCCAUAUAAUACUCCAAGAUAUAUCUCCAAAAGAGGUCCAAAAAUGGUCAUUAGGUGGGUAACAGUGACCACCAAUUGAUUACUACUCAAAAAGUACUCUUUUAUAGCUUGAAACUAACUGUUUUAAACACUUUUGAGUAGUAGUUAAUACAUUUUAACUCAAUUGGCACAUUAAGGAACCUAGCAAGGGUUACUAAUCAGUUUUUGGCUAGUUUUCGUGUUUUUGGUAGCUAUUUGAUUAUUGAAACAAGCCAAGAAUGAGGGAGAAUUUUGUGAAAUCCAUGGCAAUGCAAGUUGAAGCUCAAAUACAUGAAGAAUCCGAGCUUUGGAGCACUUCAUAGCUCUUUUCCAAACUUGGCAAUAGGUUGCCAAGCCAAUCAGAGAUGCAAAGAAGAAAACCAGAGGAAAAAAUCCAACCACCAGCAUUUUUCGCAUGGCUAUGCAAAAAUUUCGCAUAACAUGCGAAAUCAAGAAGAGGAGUAGCUGCAGGACUAAGAGCAGACUGAGUGAAAGACAAUUUCGCACACUGUGUGAAAUUUCGCACACCAUGCGAAACCACAGAAGCAGCCAAAGAUUUCGCACACCAUGCGAAAUUUCAUGUGCACCUACUCAAUAGAUUUUAUCACUUANNNNNNNNNNNNNNNNNNNNNNNNNNNNNNNNNNNNNNNNNNNNNNNNNNNNNNNNNNNNNNNNNNNNNNNNNNNNNNNNNNNNNNNNNNNNNNNNNNNNUCAAUAUUUAGUUUUAGUUUUUUUAGGAGUUUGGGUUAAUUAAUUUAGUCAAUCACAUGUUAUUAUUUUUAUAUUUGGAGUAUGACAUAUUUUGGUAUUGAUAUAUUAAUAUUUAGUUUGAGUUUUCAGGAAUUUUAGAUAAUCAAUCUAGUUAAUUGCAUGUUAUUGUUUCAUAUUUUUUAAGAUUGCUAAACUUUGGUUUUUGAUUUAUCAUAUUUUGUUAGAAUGUUAAUUUACUUUAAUUAAUCCCACAUUAUUAUCUCCAUAUGCUAAGUUUGUUGACUUUAAUCUUUGAUUGGUUUUUUAUUUUAGUUAAUGCGUUUCCUGAAAUCUAGAUGUUGGUCUUGGAUGAUAUUUUGUUAGUUUGUUUAAUUUGGAAGUCAUUAGUUUGAUGCCUUAGUGAUUGUUGGUCAAAUCCAUUUUUUUUUUUAAAAAAAAAAAGCCAUUGGAAAUCCAUGAAGGUUGGCCCUACUCUCACCAGUUUAAUUAGCAUGAUUGUCUAAAUCUUUAUUUUGUGAUUUUCGUUUUCUUUUGUUUUGGUUGAUAUUUUGUUUUCUAUGUUUUUUUAUUUUAAAAAUUAAUUUCUUUUAUUUCAAAACAAAACAAUUUUUCUCAAAAGAUCCCUUUAAAAAUUAAAUUCAUUUAGUGUCUUUAGAAUCAUUUUAAAAAAAUAAAAUAAAAUAAUAUGCAACCAUAUCUUGAUCGAUUCGCAUCCUUCUUAGUUUUCAAUAAAAAUUUUGGUUUUGAACAAAACACGAAACAAAGCUUGUGGUCCUAAAUAAAUGAGGUAAUUCUAGGCUAAAUUUGUGUAUAUCGAUUGGGGAAUUAGUGAAACCCCUACAUAAGAAAAUCUUUUUAAAACUUAUUUUUACUACCAUCUUUGCUACUUAUUGAAAUCAUGUUUAUCUAUUUUUUGAGAAUUGUAUACAAGAUGUGUGUGAUAAUUGGUGAUUUAGUAUACUUCGAUCUUUUUUUGUUAUGUUAAUUAGAUAACAAGCAUGUUAGGGUUUCUUCUUUUAUUAUUUAUUAUCUAACCCCUCAUGUCCUGAGGAAGCGUAUAAUGAGUUAUCUAUGCUAUUUAGGUAUGCUCUCUAUCACCCACUUUCUGAAUUCUGUAAAUAUGACUGUCAGUAUGAACUAUGCCUAUGUUUGAUAGUGCUUGGGUGUUUGGAUAUUUGUUACAUUGUUCGAUCAUUUAUGAUGAAACGCAUGCUUGGUGAUAUGAUAUUUAAACUAACCAGUGAUGUUAUAUAAUAGUGCUUAAGAAGUGGUCCAAGUACGCACCCUAAAUAUUCUAAAUGAUUGUGAUUGGUUUUCUUGUUCGGCAUGCCAUUCUUUUGAAAUCACCUAGCCUACUUAGGUAUCUAUAAUUAACCAAUUAAUUGCCACAUUUCCCUUAACUUAGCCAGUAGAGACCUUUAUAGGGGUUAGAGGGGUGCUACCUCCUAGAGGUACCUUCCCAAUAAGUAACGUGAUCCUUGGACCUAGACUCGGGUUUUUCAAAGACAUGUUUUUCCAAAACUAUGGAGUCACUUUUUUUAGGGUUUUCUUUCUUAUUUUAUUUUCCCUUUAAAAUAAGAAUAAAAUAAGUGGCGACUCCGACUAUUCCAAAAUAAAUAAAUUUUUUCAUAAAUAAAAAGCGAGUCUCGCCAAUCGAGUGGGGACGGGCAUGAAAAAUGCGGGUCCACAGGUGCGACACAACGUUGGUUCGCUUCAUUGGAUGUAUCACGCUGUAGGACUUGGGAUGAUCUGACCCAAAAUUUUUUGAGACAGUUUGCAUUUAACACUAUCAUUGAUGUUUCUAGGAGAGAGUUAGAGGCUUUGAGACAGAGGCUAGAGGAUUCAGUCACUUCAUUUAUCUCCCGUUGGAGGGAGAAGAUUUCAUAGAUUAUUGAUCAUCCUUCAGAGAAGGAUAGAUUAGUAUGAUUUUGAGGAGCUUACAACCUAGAUUUGUUAGACACUUGAUGGGAUUUCCCCAUAUAGAUUUCAGAUCUUUGGUACAGGCUUUGUAUGGUAUAGAGGAGGGCAUUGCUAAAGGAUUGUGGCCCGAGUCUUCCCCUACUGACUCUAAGGAGAAGAAGCCUUUAUCAAUUUUCUUGCAUAUUCGAUAAUGAAGGCCACUUUGAUUGUUGUUAAUUGGAUUUUUGAUGAUAUAUUAAUGACAAGUUGAUGAAUGGUUAAUUGAUCUCAUGUUAAUUGAUGUCUAUUAGAAUUGAGAUUAGAGUUAUUUUCUUUGAAAUUAUUUUUACUUGAUUGAGGCAUUUUGAUAACAUAUAAUAGUGGCUAAGAGAUCCUUUAUUUGAUUUUUAUUGCCUUUGGUUUUAUUUUUCGUUAUUCGUUUUAUUUUUUAUUUUUUUUUUGUGAUGUUUGGAUUGUUCACCUUGCUGUCAUUUUGUUAGAAUUAUUGAACCUCUAUAAUUAAAAAAUUGGAUCAGGUUGUUUCAUGUCUCUCUAAAAUUUUUCUUAUGAUUGCAUGAUGUUGUAGACUUCCUAGAUAUAUUGAUAGAAUUUUGUUUGAGUGUAAAAUCAUUUUUUAAUUAAGAGAUAUAAACCAAUAUUUCAAUAGGUCCGUUUUUUCACUCUAUUUUGAACACUAGAAAUUGUUUUGUAAAAUUAAAUUAUUUCAUGAUCUCUUUAAUUUGUUUUGAUAUUUUUCCAUUAAUAUAAAUUUUGAAAUUUAAUUUUAGGGCCUUGAUUUGUUGAAAAUUAAUUCUCCAAGUAUAACAAAAACAUUCUUUUUCCUACACCUACUGCACUAACCCAUUUUGUAGUCAAGGAAAGUUUGGCAUAAUUUAAAAAUUAACAUUUUAUGAUUAAGUCAUGUUGUUAUUUUUUAUGUAAGUUAGAUAUAUUGAAGGUAUUGUACAAUUUUUUUUCAUGAUUUUAUUAUGCAUAUAGAUAGGUUAAUUAAAUUAGUCUUUUCAUGCUAUAGGAUUGUUGCUCCGUUUUUUAUCAAUAUAUUUGUGAUUAAAUCAAGUAUUAAACGAGAAACGAUUGGAUGAUUUAGCCUUUUGGGUUGUAAUCUAGACAUAUAAGAGAUAUUGUCCAAGUUCUUUUAUGGUGAACUUCCAUAUCUAGAUUUUUUUUAGGAUAUAUUUUGAAAGUGUCUUUAAUCUAAAUGCAUGUCGAUUAUUCUGUAGAGUGUCCUUGGUGUGAAUUAAUCUGGUAUUGAUCGACACGUGAUUAAAUGUUUUGGGAUUUUGUAUUGUAAUCUAGACACAUUCAAGAUGUUAUCCAUUUUUUUUUUCAUUAUGCAAUAACACCUCUGGGUAUUUACUUAUGAUUUAUUUUGAGAAUGUCUAUUUUCUAACCCAAUGUUGAGUAUUUUUCAUGAUUUGUUAUUUUCACCACUUUUUGCACAUUUUUAAAUCUUUUGGACCAUUGUUAUAUAUUUUAGACAUAUUGUAUAUGAUAAGUGAAUUUUGUUUUGCACCAUAAACCCUUAUUGAACAUUUUAACUAAACUCAUUUUAAAAUUGUAUGCAUACUAAAAGUGUAUUGAAUUUACAUGACAAUUGUUACUUGGUUUUUUUUUUUUUUUUUUAUUCCUUUAUUAGAGUAGUGGAUGCAUUAUGUAUGAUGAUAGAUUUUUAUUAAGAUUUUUCAUGUCUAUUUUUUAUUGCUUGUGAACUAACCCUCGUUGAUUUUAUGAAAGCACUAUACAUGUUAUUAAGGUAUGUUCCUCUCCUUCCUUUGUUUGAUUUUUUUAAUACAUGGUUCAUUUGAGUGAUGCAAAUUAUGAUUUCACCAUUGUCUUGAUUGUAUAUUACUUAUUUAUUUGGUAUACGCUAAUUUACAAAUCAAUUGUCAUAGUUGUCUCAACUCAUUAGCAAAGACCUUUAUUUAGGCCUUAGAAGGGUGCUAUUGUAUAAUACAUUCCCAAUAGGUAACUUGACUCUUGAACAUAGACUCGGGUAUUCAAAGACACGUUUUUUCAAAUAAAGAGUCAAUCUUAGGGUUUUAUUUCUUUUUUUGUUUUUCAUUUUUUUAAAAAUAAAAUAAGUGAUGACUCCACUUUUUUAAAAUAUCAGUUUUUCACUAAAAAAACGAGUCAUCAUCGAGUGAGGAUGCACGUAAAAAAUGUAAGUCAGCAACAAGGCUAUUCCAAUGGAUCUUUCCUUUACCAGAAUAUUCAUUCAAGGAGCUAAUGGCUAGAUUAUUUUCACAUAAUCAUUCAGUUGUUGUUUCCCUUAUAAAAUAGGAGAAGAUUUAUUCUUUCCAUUUGUAUCAACGUGACUCAAUUGAUUAGCUAAACUUAAGCAGAAGUAGUUGGCUUGUCUUUCAUUUUCUACCCAUUUUUGUAUAUAUAUUCUGCACAAAGAUGUUAAUUUAAUAAGGGUAUGCUAUUGUUUUAUUCUCUUGCACAAACUAUUCUUCAAAGUACUUAACUGUAUUAUAGAUAACCUUUCAUUUACUUGACAUUACUCAAAGGCCUUGAUGUUACUCAACAUUAUCUAAGCUUUUCUCCUAUAGAUUAGCGUUCAAAAAAUUGGCCGAGUCGUAUUUGCCUCGACGUCAACUGCGAUGAGUCUGAUACCAUAUGCAGAUUUAUACCUAGACUCGUCCUUGAAUCGGUUGGACUUGGAUGACUCAGCUGAUAUUCUGAGUUAACUUGGCCGACUUGACAAAAAAAACCCAAUUAAGAGAUUUCCUCUCCUUUCCCAUGACAACAAGAAUUAAAUUUUUUAGAGAAAUAAGAGAUUCCUCUACAAAAGAAAACACUCGUGAAUCUAUGAUUCACGAACCCAAUUUUUCAACCACGACAUCAAAUGAGAAGAAGAAAAAAAACAAGUUUGAAACAAGCCCGUGACCCUUUCAAAAGCCUUUAAAAAGAGAAAUCUUUGAUUUGGUAAGUCGUCGGUGCUGCAACGAUGAUUAGCGUUAUAGGUCAUGGUGUUCAUGGUGUUACUCAACAUUAUCUAAGCUUUUCUCCUAUAGAUUAGCGUUCAAAAAAUUGGCUGAGUCGUAUUUGCCUCGACGUCAACUGCGAUGAGUCUGAUACCAUAUGCAGAUUUAUACCUAGACUCGUCCUUGAAUCGGUUGGACUUGGAUGACUCAGCUGAUAUUCUGAGUUAACUCGGCCGACUUGACAAAAAAAACCCAAUUAAGAGAUUUCCUCUCCUUUCCCAUGACAACAAGAAUUAAAUUUUUUAGAGAAAUAAGAGAUUCCUCUACAAAAGAAAACACUCGUGAAUCUAUGAUUCACGAACCCAAUUUUUCAACCACGACAUCAAAUGAGAAGAAGAAAAAAAACAAGUUUGAAACAAGCCCGUGACCCUUUCAAAAGCCUUUAAAAAGAGAAAUCUUUGAUUUGGUAAGCCGUCGGUGCUGCAACGAUGACUGGACCCCAGCAAGGCAACCCUUGUCUCUCCAAUUGUGAUUGUGUGGUACUAGUCAGUGUGUUGGACAAGGUCCGACAAUCUGCAAAACGUGGUGUAUUGGGUCCUUGGGGAAGACAAGCCAACAAAUAAAGGUAAAAUUUGAUUUACCUUAUUUAAAUCAACACACCCACAUUGCCAUAGUCACACCAUAUUGAGAUUAUAUUUUUAAUUUAUUGAAUCAAAUCAUAUAAAUUGGUAAAUUAUAUUUUACUAGUUAAUUUGAUUCAUAAUUUGAGAUUAAAAUAAAAAAAUUACAUAAUUUGAAUCAAUUAAAAAUAUAUUUAAAAUUUGGUUUACCUUAUUAUGUUGAGAUUAUAUUUUUAAUUUAUUAAAUUAUGUAAUUUUUUAUUUUAUAAUAUUAAAUUGAUUUACAUGUAUUUAAAUUGGUAAAAUUAGGAAAUUCAUGUAUACAGUGUAAAGUAAUAUUUAGAUGUAAUGUUAUGAAAUUGAAGAAUUGGAAAGUAAUGUUUAUAUGAAAUUGGAGAAUUCAUAAUGAUAAUAUUAUGAUGAUAUUAAAUAUAUUAAUAUGUAAUGUUUUUAUUUUAUAUAGAGAUUAUAUUUUUUUUUUAUUAAAUUAUGUGAUUUUUUUUAUCUUAUAAUAUUAAAUUGGUUCACUAAAUUAUUUUUGUAUGGUAUAGAAAUUAUAUUUCUUAAUAUAAAAUAAUUUAUAUGGUAAACUUUAUAUGGUAUAGUUAUUGUAUUUUUCAUUUAUGUUUUUAUCUUAUAAUAUUGCAAAAUUAAAUUAUAUUAGAAAAUUAAUAAUUAUUUAAAACAAUUUUUUUUUCAAAUAAUCAUAACUAUAAAAGUAAUGAUUUAAUAAUACGGAUUGAAGGGCAUGCAUUUACAUCGUAUAGAGAAAUUAAAUUUAUAUUUGAAUCAAUUUUACUUCAUUAUAUCAUGUAGAUUUUUUAUUUUAUAAUAUUCUACAAUUAAAUUACAAUAGGAAAUCAAUAAUUAUCAAAACAAUAAAUUGGUUCACUAAAUUAUUUUUCUAUGGUAUAGAAAUUAUAUUUCUAAAUAUAAAAUACAUUAAUAUGCUAAGCUUUAUAUGGUAUAGAUAUUGUAUUUUUAAUUUUUGUUUUUAUCUUAUAAUAUUACAAAAUUAAAUUACAUUAGAAAAUUAAUAAUUAUUUAAAACAAUUUUUUUUUCUUUCAAAUAAUCAUAACUAUAAAAGUAAUGAUUUAAUAAUAUGAAUUGAAGGGCAUGCAUUUACAUGGUAUAGAGAAAUUACAUUUAUAUUUGAAUCAAGUUUACUUCAUUAUAUCAUGUAGAUUUUUUUAUUUUAUAAUAUUCUACAAUUAAAUUACAAUAGGAAAUCAAUAAUUAUCAAAACAAUAAAUUGGUUCACUAAAUUAUUUUUGUAUGGUAUAGAAAUUAUAUUUCUUAAUAUAAAAUACAUUUAUAUGGUAAACUUUAUAUGGUAUAGAUAUUUUAUUUUUAAAUUAUAUUUUUAUCUUAUAAUAUUGAAAAAUUAAAUUACAUUAGAAAAUUAAUAAUUAUUUAAAGCAUUUUUUUUCAAAUAAUCAUAACUAUUAAAAUAAUGAUUUAAUAACACAAAUUGAAGGGUAUGCAUUUACAUAGUAUAGAGAAAUUAUAUUUAUAUUUGAAUUUACUUCAUUAUAUCAUGUAGAUUUUUUAUUUUAUAAUAUUCUACAAUUAAAUUACAAUAGGAAAUCAAUAAUUUUCAAAACAAAUAUUUUAAAAGAAUUUUUUUUUAUAAAAAUAUUCAUUUAUUUAACUAUUAUUUAUUUUAAUUAAAAAAACAUACAAAUAAGUGGAAAAUAAAAUAUGGUGAACUUAGGUGAGAUUGUGUUUAUUACUUUUUUAGUAGAAUUUAUUGUUAUAUGGUAACAAUAUGAAACAUAUAAAUGAGUGGAAAAUUGAAUAUUAAAAUUCUUAUAUAUAUGUGUUUAUAUAUAUUUAAUUUGAAAAGUAAGUUGUUUUCCUUUUAUACAUGGUUAGGUUAAAAUUUCAAAAUGACUUCAAAAACAUGAUAUUGGUUGGGAGCAUGCAGAACCUAUUGGUGGUAGUAGAACUACGAAGUGUAAAUAUUGUGGGAAAGUUAUACAUGGUGGUAUAACAAGAUUAAAACAACACAUCACACAUAUAUCCGGACAAGUGGAAGAAUGUCCACGUGUACCGGUAGAAGUGUCACAGUGCUAGACAAAUAUGUAUGAUACUUCAAAAGAAAAAACAAAGUUAGAGAAAAAAAAAAGAAUGAAUUUUGAGUUCCUUAAAUAAAGAAAAUUUCUAUGAAAUUGAUUAGAGUGAUUUUGAUGAUGAAAUUGAGGAAGUUGCUAUGGCUGAUUUUGAAAGAAGACAAAUGAAACAAGCGAUGAAAGAAAGUUGUCGAAUUUUUUAAGAAGGUAGACAAGAACAACAGAAGGGUGCUAGUUCCUCACAACCUUUUGGUGCUAGGAUUAAGCACGGACUGACACACAGCUUCAGUGUAAGAGAAUGAGCUAGCAUACCUCCAAAAGGAAUUUAUCCCUACAUGUUCCCAUCAAAGCAGAAAUCAAUAAAAAAACUUGUUUUCUACCGAAGACAUGAGGAAAGUGGGUAAAGCUAUUUCUAAAUUCUUUCUUUUUAAUGCAAUUGACAAUGGGCCUUACUAUCAAUCAAUGAUUGAUACCAUAGUAGAAGCAAGUCCAAGCAUCAAGGGUCCCACGGGAUACCAAAUUGGAAAUACUUAUUUGGAAGAGGAGGUGCAAGAGCUUGAGGUAUAUAUAACAACAUUGAAGGCUAAAUGGCCUAUAUAUGGGUGCACAAUCCUCUGUGAUGGUUGUAGUUCUAAGACUAGAAAGCCUAUCAUCAAUUUCAUGAUUUGUUAUGAUAGAAGUAUGAUAUACCAUUCUUCAGUUGACACUACCAACAUACCUAAGACAACAAACUGCAUCUUUUCCCUUAUGGAUAAAGUUGUAAAGGAGCUUGGGGAGGAAAAUGUUGUUCAAGUAGUCACUGAUAAUGAGGCAAGUUUUAAAGCAGUCGGUAUGUUGUUGAUGGAGAAGCAGAAACAUUUGUUUUGGUCUCCUUGUGCAGCCCACUAUAUUGAUUUAAUGCUUGAAGAUAUUGCAAGCAUGAAGCAGACUAAGGAGACAUUAGAUCAAGCAAAGAUGAUCAUAGAAUUUAUUUAUAAUAACUUGAAAGUAGUGAAUUUGAUGAAAGUGUUCACCAAGGAUACAAAUCUGUUAAGGCCAGGAAUAACCCAUUUUGCCACUAAAUUCAUUUCACUUGAGAGUCUUAUACGUUAUGAGGCUGAUUUGAAGAGAAUGUCCACAAUAAAUGAGUGACGUGAAUUCAAUAAAGAUAGGAGCAGAAAAAGUCUAAGAGAUAAGGUAUCCAACCUAAUCUUAACUGAUCGAUUUUGAAAUAAGGCAAAGGAAGUUCAAACCAUCAUGGAACCUCUCGUCAAAGUAUUGAAAUUGGUUGAUCAAGAUAAAAAGCCCACACUAUCAAUCAUUUAUGAAGCAAUGGAUAAAGCUAAAUUGGCUAUCAAGGCAUUGGUCAAGCAAUGGGAAAAUUUUUGGGAAGUUAUUGAUAGAAGGUGAGAAGGUCAAUUGCACAGACAUUUGCAUGUUGCAGGUAAUAAAAAAAUUCUUUAUAUAUUUUUUAUUAUUUUUUUCAAGUACAAAUUAUUAUAAAUUGAUCAUUAUUUAACUUAUGGUAGCAUAUUUUUUAAAUCCAAUGUUCCAAUAUUCAAAGUAUUUCUCCAACCAUCUAGAAAUUAAAAUUGGAUUAAAGGAGGUUAUUAAGAGAUUAGAGCCAAAUUUGGAUAGACAAGCAAAAGCUAUUAACGAAGUAUAAUAAUAGUUUGUGACCUUUAUAUAAUACAUUUUGUAUAUGUAAUGUGCAUUAAUAAAAAAAAUAUGUUAAUGAUGUAGGUGAAAUUAUUUGUUGACGACCAAGGAGAAUUUGGAAGUGCACUUACAAGGAAAGCAAUAAAUCAAUCUCUUCCAGGUACUUAAUACAUUUAUGUCUAUUACAAAUAAGAAAUUAUCAUCAUUUUUUGUUAAAUAUAUCAUAGAUCAAAUUAUCACCGUAUUGAUGAGCACUUAUAGAAUUUGGGUAUAGGAUCAAGGUCAUAUUUUAGAGGAGCAGAUGAUAGAUCAUAUCACAACUUUAGAGACCGUGAUAGCUCUUCCAGUACUUUUAGUAGAAAUGAUUUUGAUUAAUUUUCAAUGAUGCAUCCAGAGGGAUAUUCAAAUACUGGAACAUGAGCUGGUGAUUCCUAUGGAUAUGAUCAAUCUUCUAGUAGCAGUAGAUUGCUUAUCGAGGUUUUAGAUACUAUCAAUAUGGUGUUGAUCCCGAACAACCUUCGAAACCAUAUUUUCUUGAUUAUGGAUCAUCAAGCCAAUAAUCUAAGCCAACAUAUUUAAGUUAUGAACAACUCUUUCAACCAUAUCCUCACUAUGGGAAUUACCAUCCUAAUUUGUAUACUUGUUGAAGGACUGAUGAUGACGAUUUUGAACCCCCUCAUCAUUCAACAUGGAAUUGAUUAUUGUAUUUUAUGUUUGUUAGUAAAAAUGUUAUUAUAUUUGAAAUAAAAUAAUUUUCUUUUAUUAGCAUUAUCAUAAAUAACUUUGAGCGGAUACUUUUAUAACUAUUUAAAUAAUGUUAAAUGUGAGACAAUUUUAUUUUCUUAAUUUUUUGAGCUUAUUUAAUUGUAUAUAUUUUUCUGAUGAUUUACAUAAUAUUUUAUAAUUUUUUCAAUUUUCGAAUUAGCUUAUCUUAUGUAUUGUCUGAUACCAAGGCGAUACACCGAGACUCACACGCCUCGGGACCCUCCGAGUCAGUGACCGAUACCUCAACUUUGAACCAUGCUACAGGUGCUUUGACGGCAUGGUAAUGCAACCAACCUUAAGGUAGUGGCACCCACUUACAUACUGUGCAAGAGCCCACAAUGGAAAAAUAUUCCUAUAAGCCGCAUAGUGUAACAUGCAGUUCUUCAUGAAGGCUCCAGUGAUUUCCUGCCAUAGAUAAUUGAUGAUUAAAUGGUUAGACUACCACCCAGUAUAUAUAAUCAACUAUGUUGCUCUUUUGUUCCGUCCACUUCAACUCCUUUUUUUUUUACACUCAUUGGACUGCACUCCCCUUUCAGGUUCAUGAAUGGUAGUUGCGGGUUACUCCUCAUGAGGAAGUGAUCCACCAAAACGAUGACCAACAACAUGUUUUCUUUCUGAUUUCUCAUCAACACAUUCUCCAUUCUGUUCAGAGACAAAUGAACUCAUGUUUGUUCCUUGUUUCCCAUACACUUUUAUCAUUAUAGACUGGAAAACUACAUUCCUUCUCAUUGGCAUUUCUUCAAACAUCUUCCAUGCUCCUCGACCUCCCCUUAGUGUACAUACUCUGAAAUGACAAAUUCUGAGAAACCUCAUCUCUAAUCCCCACAUCAACCCACAAAUUUACAUUACUGUAACCAAGCUUAGUAAGUGCAUAAGCAGCCGACAAGCCACUUGGACAAUCUUCUUUGGAUCCCAUAUUAUGAUAACAGUUUCUACAGCAAUGGCCAGACCAAAAGCAUCAGCAGAAAACGUGGCAGCUAUCAAUGCCCAAACCUUGGAGUCACCCCCAUAUGAAGAGUUGACGACCAUAUGACGGGUAGGAGCAAAAGCAAAAACAAGUGUAGUGGAGAAUAGAGAAAACAAGGAGAUAACAAAUAUGCAGGAUAGAAAUCAGAUAAAACCACAUUUCAUGAUCUUUCAAUGGGCUCAGGCUAGUGGGGAAGAUCACAAACAGAUUUGGGGCAAACAAGCAAGCAACCAAUAUCAACAAAACAAUUUGUGGCAUUUUUUGUCCACACCAAUCAACAGUAUAUUAAAUAUUCAAAAACGAACAUACAGAGAAAUCGAAUAAGGGUAAGAAUUCCAAGAGUAACAAGAAACAUACUUGGACAAACUCGGCUGCAAUUGCUCAUUUCUUGCUCCUUUGUGCUUUUCCCCCAAAAUCUCCCCAAAAAGAAAAAAAAACUUCGUGAAUCCUCUUUUUUCUUCUUCCCCUCUUUUUUUUUUCUCACUCGUUUGUUCCCUCACCUUUUUUUCCAAAAUCCUUAUUUUUUUGUAUUUGUAUCAACCUCUCAAAAACUCAAUCUGCUGAAGGAAUUCCACUUUCAUUUCUUUUAUUUCCCUUCAUUUUUGAAAAUUAGAAUGUUUCUCCUUUCUAUGUGGGAUCUCCUCUUUCCAUAUGUAUGCAACCAUAUUAAUCCUCUUUUCCCUCCAAAAAUAUUUUUCUUACCUUCUUUAAGUGCACGUGCUUAGUGAGAGUUGAUUAGCAACCCCCAAUUCUCUUGUCAAACAAUAAAAAAAGAAAAUAAAAAGAAUAAAACCAAAAAAAAGCUAGCAAUCUUGCAACAUAUAAAGGAAUAAAGUAAAAUAAAAUAAAUAAAUAAAGUAAAACAAAAUAACAAAAUAAAAUAAAAUAAAAUAGAAUGGUCAAUCCUAUGCGGGAUAUGCAAGUCAUGCGGCUAUGUGAAUCAUGCAAGUCAUAUAAAAAGUGAGUCUAAAAGUGCCUAAGGUGGUGCCUAAUGGGUCGGGGUAUGCCUAUACGGGCCUAGGGUGAGACUGGGCGGGCUUAACUAAGUCUAACCUAAAGUGCACCUAAGUGAAGUCUAAUCUAAACUUGAUGGGCAGCUAAGGUCAUAAUGUCGAGCUAGAUAAACCCUUCAACCAAAGUCCCCAAAGUGGCUAAAAAAAAAGGUAAGCAGUAUGAGUAGCAAUGGGCCACCAAGGAACUAUUGUGGAGCACUGGAAUUGAACUUAAGGACAUGUGCUAAAAGGACAAAAUGGAGGGUCUAAAAAUGUACCUAGGGUUCCAAAGUUUGUUCGAAGUAGGGAACGAUCUCCAAUCACUUCUCAAAGAUCCCUAAAGGAAUAAACAAACCAUGGGUAAUAAGAUAGAGGUUUUGUUAGCUCAAGGAUUGGAUGUACCAAAUUUUUUUAAUGAUGUGCCAAAUUUUGUAAAGAAUGUACCAAAGGGGCCAAAGUUUGUUUCGAAGAAGGGAACGACCUCUAAUCAUUUUCUAAGGUUGUUCAAUGAAAUAAAUGAACCAUGGGAAGGAAGUUAGGUGUCCCGUUAGCUCAAGAAUUGGAUGUAUCAAAUUUUCUUAAGAAUGUACCUAGGGUUCCAAAGUCUGUUUCAAAGUAGGGAACAACCUCCAAUCACUUUCCAAAGAUCCUUAAAGGAAUUAACGGACCAUGGGUAAUAAGAUAGGGGUCCCGGUAGCUCAAGGAUUAGAUGUACCAAAUUUUUGGUACAGAGAUUCAACCGGUACCAUUUUAUAAUGCAAAUUGAAAUUUAUGUGAAUGAAACAAAAUAUACUAGCUAGUUUCCUGUAAUGAGCUAAAUAAAAAAAGUAGUUAAAAAUAAAAAGAUAAUAUAAAAUAAAAUGAUAAUAUAGAUUUAAAAUAAAAAAAAUUAAAUAACAAUUAAAAAUUUUAAAAAUAAUAAAUAUUUUUUAAAAAAAAAAUCUUUCAAAAAAUAUAUGAUUUUAAAUCAACAAGGAAUUAUUUCCACUACUUAUUUCAUAUGAACGUCAAGGGCCAACCUUUCAAGCUAUCAGCAUGCCUCCAUUUGCCUUAUUGCCCAACCCAUACCUUAAAGCAAGUCAUCCUAAAUUCAUGCCUCUGACAGAGAGUUAUGUCUAUUUUUUUCCUACUGCACAUAGCUUAACAAAAAUAAAUUUUUCACCCACAUUCAUGCGUCUUCCAUGAAGGUUGUGCUCUUAGGUUGACUAGUGCACAAAGCCUACAAAUAUAAUGGUUUCAGUAAUAGGCAUGCUUCUAAAAUCAAGGGUGUGCCCCUGGUUUGCAUACUGCAUAUGGUACAUGCUUCAUUAAAUUUGAUACAUCUGAUCCUAUUGUUUCCAGGUCCCUCAUCUGAACAUGGAUGGUCCAUGAUUUCAUUUUGGAACCUAUAAGGAAGUGAUUGGGGGCCAAUCCCCACCUCGGAAUGCACUUUGGAACCUUUGGUACAUCCUUCACAAAAUUUGGUACAUCCUUCAUUAAAUUUAGUACAUCCGAUCCUAUUACUUCCGGGACCCCCAUCUGAACAUGGAUGGUCCAUGAUUUCAUUUUAGAACCCAUAAGGAAGUGGUUGGGGGCCCAUCCCUACCUCGGAAUGCAGUUUGGAACCCUUAGUACAUCUUUCACAAAAUUUGGUACAUCAUUCAUUAAAUUUGGUACAUCCGAUCCUAUUGCUUUCGGGUCCCCCAUCUGAACAUGGAUGGUCCAUGAUUUCAUUUUGGAACCCAUAAGGAAGUGAUUGGGGGUCGAUUCCCACCUCGAAACGCAGUUUGGAACCCUUGGUACAUCCUUCACAGAUUUUGGUACAUUUUUCACAAAAUUUGGUACAUUCUUCAUUAAAUUUGGUACAUUCCAAUCCUAUUGCUUCUGGGUCUCCCAUCUGAACAUGGAUAGUCCAUGAUUUCAUUUUGGAACCCAUAAAAAAGUAAUUGGGGGCCGAUCUCCACCUUAGAACGCAAUUUGGAACCCUUGGUACAUCAUUCACAAAAUUUGGUACAUCCUUCAUUAAAUUUGGUACAUCCGAUCCUAUUGCUUUCGGGUCCCCCAUCUGAACAUGGAUGGUCCAUGAUUUCAUUUUGAAACCCAUAAGGAAGUGAUUGGGGGUCGAUCCCCACCUCGGAACGCAGUUUGGAACCCUUGGUACAUCCUUCACAAAAUUUGGUACAUCCUUAAUUAAAUUUGGUACAUCCGAUCCUUUUGCUUCCAGGUCUUCCAUCUGAACAUGGAUAGUCCAUGAUUUCAUUUUAGAACCCAUAAGUGAUUGGAGAUCGAUCCCCACCUCCAUAUGCACUUUGAAACCCUUGGUACAUUCUUCAUUAAAUGCGGUACAUCUGAUCUUAUUGUUUUCGGAACCCCCAUCUGAAUAUGGAUGGUCCAUGAUUUCAUUUUGGAAUUCAUAAGGAAUUGAUUGGGAGUCAAUCCCCACCUCAGAACACACUUUGGAACGCUUGGUACAUCCUUCACAAAAUUUGGUACAUCCUUUAUUAAUUUGGUACAUUCGAUCCUAUUGUUUCCGGGUCCUCCAUCUGAACAUAGAUGGUCCAUGAUUUCAUUUUGGAACCCAUAAGGAAGUGAUUGGGGGUCGAUCCCCACCUCAGAACGCACUUUGGAACCCUUGGUACAUCCUUCACAAAAUUUGGUACAUCUAAUCGUAUUGCUUUUAGGACCCCCAUCUGAACAUGGAUGGUCCAUGAUUUCAUUUUGGAACCCUUGGUACAUCCUUAACAAAAUUUGAUACAUCCUUCAUUAAAUUUGGUACAUCCAAUCCUAUUGCUUCUAGGUUCCCCAUCUGAACAUGGAUGGUCCAUGAUAUCAUUUUGGAACCUAUAAGAAAGUGAUUGGGGGUCGAUUCCCACCUCAGAACGCAGUUUGGAACCCUUGGUACAUCUUUCACAAAAUUUGGUACAUCCGAUUCUAUUGUUUUCGGGACCCCCAUCUGAACAUGGAUGGUCCAUAAUUUCAUUUUGGAACUCAUAAGGAAGUGGUUGAGGGAUGAUCCCCACCUCAGAAUGCACUUUGGAAUGCGUGGUACGUUCUUCACAAAAUUUGGUACAUCCGAUCCUAUUGUUUCUAGGUCCCCCAUCUGAACAUGGAUGGUACAUGAUUUCAUUUUGGAACCCAUAAGGAAGUGAUUGGGAUCCGAUCCCCACCUCGGAAUGCACUUUGGAACCCUUGGUACAUUCUUCACAAAAUUUGGUACAUCCUUCAUAAUGUACCAAAUUUUGUGAAUGAUCUACCAAAUUUUGUGAAUGAUGUACCAAAUUUUGUAAAUGAUGUACCAAAUUUCGUAAAGGAUGUACCAAUGUUGCCAAAGUCUGUUAUGAGGUGUGGAACGACCUUCAAUAACUUCUCGAGGGUCUUCAAAUGAAGAAAUGGACUAUGGAAAUGGAGAUAAGUGUCUCGUUAGCUCAAGAAUUGGAUGUAUCAAAUUUUCUCAAUGGUGCACCUGGGGUUCCAAAGUCCAUUUCGGAGUAGGGAAUGAUCUCCAAUCACUUCCCAAAGAUCCCUAAAGGAAUAAACAGACCAUGGGUAAUAAGAUAGAGGUUUCAAUAGCUCAAGUAUGUACCAAAUAUUUUUAAGAAUGUACCAAAUUUUGUAAAAGAUGUACCGAGAGUGCCAAAGUUCGUUCUGAUGUGGGGAAUGACCUUCAAUCACUACCUAAGGGUCCUCAAAGGAUAAUAUGGACCAUGGGAAAAUAGAUAGGGGUCUCGAUAGCCCGAGGAUUGGAUGUACCAAAUUUCUUAACGAUGUACCAAAUUUCCUUAAGGAUGUACCUAGGGUUCCAUAGUUCGUUUCGAAGUAGGGAACGACCUCUAAUUACUUCCUAAAAAUCCCUAAAGAAAUAAACGAACUAUGAGUAAUAAUAUAGAGGUCCUAGUAGCUCAUGGAUUAUAUGUACAAAUUGUUUUAAGGAUGUGCCAAAUUUUAUGAAAUAUGUACCAAAUUUUGUAAAUGAUGUACCAAAUUGUCUUUAGGAUGUACCUUGGGUCCCAAUGUUUGUUUUAGGGUGGGGAAUAACCUCUAAUUCCUUCUCAAGGGUCCCCAAAUGAAUAUAUGAAUCAUGAAAAUGAAAAUAUGGGUCUUAGUUCCUCUAAGAAUGGAUAUACCUAGGAUCCCAAAGUUCUUUUUGGGGUGGGCAAAGACCUCCAAUUACUUAUCGAGGGUCCCAAAAAGAAUAUAUAUACCAUGAUAAGUAUGAUAGUAUUUCUAGUUCUCCUAAGCAUUAAUUUACUUUUUUUUUUUUAAGGAUGUACCUAUUUUUUAUGAAAUUAAUAUAAAAGGUUAAAUACAUUUUUUUAUGAAAAAUAUAUUUUCUUUUAUAUUUUAUUUUAAUUAAAAAUUAAAGAUUUUAACCAAAAAAAAGUUAGAUCCACAAUCAAUUUAAAAUCAUAAGAAAAAUGAUAAAAGCACCAUUACUUAUUGUGAUUUUGAUAUGAUAAAUUUAAAAUGAAAAUAAAAAGAAAAAUAAUGUAAAUAAUAAAAUAAUAUUGCAAUGAUAUUUUUACUAUUACAUGUGAUAGAAUUUACAAAAUAAAUGAAUCUGUUGUUUAGUAUUAAAAUAAAAAAUCUUAUAUCAUAAACUUCUAAAUAAUAACAUGGAAUUUUUAAAUUUAAACCUUAAUUUAUAAAAUGUAUUAUUAUAACUAAUACUUAAAAUCAUUAUUAUUUGUGGGAUAAUAUUUUCAUUUUUGUCCAUUAUAUAUUUUGUUUUUAUUUAAUUUAUUAUAUUAAUUAUUUAUUAUAUAAUAUCAUUUUAAGUUUAAUAUGUCAAAAAAUAAUAAUUAAAAUCAAUAAAUAUAGGCAAAUUAGAGAGUAAAAAUAAAUUAAAAUUAAAGAAGUUUUAUGAGAAAAUGCAUGAGCAUAUUAAAAAGAAUAUAAAGGAAAAAAAGAAAAAUAAUAAUAAAAACUAUAAUAGGUGACAAUGGAUUAUGGUGGCUGGAGAGGAAAAAAAAAAAGAAAAAAAAGAAAAAAGUGGAAAUGUGGCAAGUGGUCAGGGAGAUAUAUUGAUGUGAGAAAAAUAAUAAAAAUAAAUUACACAUGUACUUGUUAACAUGUGGUAUUAAAUUGGUGUGUACUUUAUUAUUUACUUUUGAAGGUAAUUGUGGAACAAAUUUGAAAGCUCUAUUGGAGUGCAUGAAUAAACAAUAUUUUUUUCCCAUUUUACACCAAAAUUAAAAAGAAAAAAGUAAAGUUCCAAAAUCUCUUUUUUUUUUUUAGUUGGUGUAAGGUUAGAUGACUUUUCCUUUUUUUUAAUGCAUGGUUCAUUUGAGUGAUGCAAAUUAUGAUUUCACCAUUGUCUUGAUUGUGCAUUACUUAUUUCUUUGAUAUCCACUAAUUUACAAAUCAAUUGUCAUAGUUGUCUCAACUCAUUAGUAGAUACCUUUAUUUAGGCCUUAAAGGGGUGUUAUCGUAUGAUACAUUCCUAAUAGGUAACCUGGCUCUUGGACUUAAACUUGGGUUUUCAAAAACACGUUUUUUAGCCACUCUUAGGGUUUUAUUUCUUAUUUUGUUUUCCAUUUUUUUUAAAAAUAAAAUAAGUGGUGACUCCACCUUUUAAAAAAAAAUUAGUUUUUCACUAAAAAACGAGUCAUCAUUGAGUGAGGACGCACAUGAAAAAUAUAGGUCCACAACAAUGCUAUUCCAAAGGAUCUUUCCUCUACCAGAAUAUUCAUUCAAGGAGCCAAUGAUUGUAGGAAGAGUGUAAAUGUGAAAAGUGCUUUUUUUUUGCUUGUCCCACAUAGGAAAAAGAGGAACAUCUUUAGUGGGUUUAUUAACUAGCCCACUUUCCUUAGUCUAAUGGGCUUGUGAAGAGGUGUGGGAGAGCCUCGCGUGCCCAUGGGGCCCAAGCCCAUUUGAGUGGGGCUUCGGGCUGGUUGGGUUAGAAUUUCUUAAUGCACGUCGCGUUCGCACACGCAUCCUACGCGCGCGCGAUCUCGGCUAAUUUUUUUAAAAAUUCAAAAUAAUUAUUUUAUUUUAUUCUAAUAGUCUUAUAUUUUUGGGAAGAGUCCUAUUGUGAUUGUGCUAGUGAAGUCCCAUUCCACUUAUAAGUAGAAUCCCGUUCCACUUUGAGUCAUGUUUUGAUUACAAGUAGAGUCCCAUUGGGACUGUGUUAGUGGCCUAUGAAAGUAGGUCACCUUUCACUCUCUUAAUACCAAUUUUUUAGAGAGUUUUCAGAGAGCCUUUCAUACAUCUAUGUAGAGGAAUUUUUUUAGAACCUGAGUUGUACACGUCUCGCUUACAGAGUGCACCCAAGGCAAGAUUGGGUUGUUGAAUCCUGGAGGUAGACCACUGGUACCCAAGUGCACCAAGUUUGUCUUCGAGGAGAGUGGAUCUAUUUCAAGGACAGUGCAUGUUUGUCACCCUUCAGCCGAUAAGUUUUUCUUACUAUUCAUUAUGUUCUUUGUUUGCGUCUUUUGGGCUAGUCCUUUGUUUUGAUACCCUUAAACCAACAAUGGCUAGAUUAUUUUCGCAUAAUCAUUCAACUGUUGUUUAACAUAUAAAAUAGGAGAAGAUUUAUUCUUUCCAUUUGUAUCAGCACGAUUCAAUUGAUUAGCUAAACUUAAGCAGAAGUAGUUGACUUGUCUUUCAUUUUCUACCCAUUUUUGUAUAUAUAUUCUGCACAAUGAUGUUCAUUUAAUAAGGGUCUGCUAUUGUUUUAUUCUCUUGCACAAACUAUUCUUCAAAGUUCUUAAUUGUGGCAUAGAUAAACCUUUCAUUUACUUGACAUUACUCAAAGGCCUCGACGUUACUCAACAUUGAGCUUUUCUCCUACAGAUGCUUCAACGGCAUGGCAAUGCAACCAGCCUUAAGGCAAUGGCACCCACUUACAUACUGUGCAAGAGCCCACAAUGGAAAAGUAUUCCUAUAAGUUGCAUAGUGUAACAUGCAAUUCUUCAUGAAGGCUCCAGUGAUUUCCUGCCAUAGAUAAUUGAUGAUUAAAUGGUUAGACUACCACCCAGUAUAUAUAGUCAGCUACAAAAGAACAUCAUUUUCCAUUUCCCAAAACCAAGUGAGCUACCUGUUGGGGAAAAUCACCAUCUUCCAUUUGGGAAUUAAUCAACAGCUUUGCAGCCUUGUGAAGAGGUGUUGGGUCUCUCUCUGCCUGUUAGAAAGGAAAGGUUAGACUCAAAUAUUUGGGAAGAAGCCAUAUUGUGAAAGUAAUGUAGAAGACCAAGGUAAGCAUAUUGAUGAUGGAACUGUAAAAACUAACCUGCCCAGAAGAAAGCAGACCCAUGAGAGCCCACCCGGUUUGUACCAAAUUUGACCUGUUUCCUUUAAGAGGUGUAUAUUUCUGUAUCACCAAGCACAAGGAUUACUUGUUUUUGUCCAUGUUUAUACCAGAAAACAGAGCAGUGGGUGGCAUGUAAAAAUUACCUUAUCCGGGCAAGAAGUACAGUUCUCUCCCCAACCACCAUCAUCUCUUUGUGAUUUGAGUAGAAACUCAACAGCUCUACCAAUAGCAAGACAAUUGUGGUAAGUCUUGCCAGCAGCUGCUAGGCCCCCAAGUGCAAACCAUGAGCCAUAGGUAAAACAUACUCCCCAAUUGCCAUACCUGGUGAAAUGUUUCUUUGUUUAAAUGGAUCUGCACUGCAUAUAUAAUAAAAGAUUUCCUUAGUGAAAUAAUAAUAGUGCAGUUGAGAAACAUACCAUGAGCCAUCAGGCAUUUGCAUGUCUUCAAUGUACUUAGCAGCAUUUGUGAUGAAAUUGUCUAUCUCGUUCUUCCUGUGUCCUGGGUAUAACUUCUUAAACAAAACUAGAGCCUGAAUGGCUGAUGCAGUGCACUCAACAUACCUGCAUCACUGUUCUGUUAGUCUCCAAGGACGUUAAAGCUAUCAAAGUUAGAAAAGAAAGUUGGUCUGUUAUCAAGAAUCUUACUCAUGCUCGAUGACAAUGUCUGUAAAAAAUUCAGUGGGGUUAAGUAGCUGAAAAGAGAAGAGAUUGGCAUUGAUUUAGAUUCAAAGAACACAGAGAGUGAGAAAGAAAGAGAGAUAAUGCAAAAAUAUUGAAGUUACUUAAACAUGUUGAAGUAAUUUACCUCCAACCAUUUUGAAGCUCCUGCAGGCUCCCAGGCAGCUAAACCACCAUUUUUACUCUACGGUGGUUUAAAAAAUGGGGGUUAUUGCUACUAAGAAGUUAUGACCUAUUUUGUGAAGGGGAUAACCAUAGAAAUGGCAUAAGGAAGAUGAGUCUCACCUGCAGCGAAAGCAGGAUGUUGACAGAAUCAAAUAGUCGUUCAGGUUCCAUCUUCAUACCAACAAUUUUUGGUGCCAUCAUUGAAAAGAGAAGACAACACUAUGACAGAGAGGGGACUUCAGUAAGAAACCAAGUAACUUCAGUUAAUCUGCAAGCCCUGACUUAAUUGAAGUGUUUGAGCAAAAAGAGUUACCUUCAAACCUUCUGCAGUGCAAUCAGAAACUUGCCAACCAUGAUCCUGAUCUGAGAAUGUCCACGAUCCCUUGGAAAUGUGGCGGUACAUGCUUUUAAAGUCACCAGAAGGAUUGUCCUUGACCUUCAAGAUUUCAGGUAGUAUGAAGUAAAUAGACCAUGAGAAACCCAAGUAGAUUCUGGUUGAAGUAAAGAAAUAAACUAUGGAAUUCAAGAUCAAACCUGAGAUUCCUUUAUGAAUUCAUGUCCUUUCUUGAGUGCAAGUCCAAGUUCAUCAGUCAUAUUGCAAGCUAGCAGUGCUUGAAGGGCAAAACUAGUGUCCCACUCUUGACUACCAAAGCUCUACAAUAAUCGACAAUUUCAAAACCAAUUAGGCAGGAAAGGGAUAAAAGCAGCUUCAAACCAUUUGCAUACUUGAAAAAUUUUAAGAAAAAGAUCAACACAUAUUAUCUAAUUUUCCUACAACUGUUUAGGAGAUUAGUGAUUGAACUUGUCUUCUGACCUGCAUCUUUAUUCCAUCUUCUGCAACCCAUAUAUAAUCUGGGAUCCUAGCAAGGUGCUUCUUGAAAUAAUCCCCAUUUGGAUCUUCAACCCAACAUGCGAGCAUACACAAUACCUGUUCAAUUUAAGCGAUAUCAGUACCCCAAAGAAGUGACAUAUUGUCUGAAUAGUCAUUAUCCAUUACUGAAAAAAUACCUUCUCCACACAUCCAAUGGUAAUGUAUCGACUGUUUUCAUCUUCAUAAUGGAUGUGUUUCAUUGUUACUUCAAGAGCCUUCUUUCUCAACUUUUUGAAGGGCCAACGAGUAAGAAGAGGCUCGGUACAUAUGUACAAACUAUCCCACAUUAGAUCUUGUAUUAGGGGAUGGGGGUAGUAGAGAUCCUCCUGCAAUAUUAAACAAUUUUAAAUGUGUGUUUCAUGCAUGCGUAGCAUAUUCAUAGGAAAAAGAAAUUGUUUCCAUAAAAAAUCAAAACUUACCUUUGCACAAAGAUGUCGUACUUUCUUCCAGUUGAUUUCAUUAUAAGGUUGAAGGAAAAGCUCUUCUCUUAGUUCUAAAACAAGAGGCGUGAUUGGGCCAAUGAAUCGUUUACCAUAUAAGUACGACAUGGGCAUGUAAACCAUCCGACUGUAGCAAAACAUUCUUGCUGCAUUUAAGGACUCAAAUGAAAAGAAGGUAGACCAAGACAAAGCAAUACCAAAGAGAGGAAAAUAAAAUCUUUUUAGUAUAAGAUGUUUUGGUAGACAUCGCAAUGGAAGCCCUUAAGACCAAUAAACCGGUCCCAGGUUGGAUUUGUAUGUAUUCAUGUGCCAUCUUAUCAAUGUAUAAAGCUCAAGUUGCUCAACUUUUCGCUUAUCCUUUUUGUCCCGACUCUGUUCUGAGUCAAUGUGACAAAUUCCAAAUUCCAUGCAAGAAGAUCUUAAUAUGUAAAAUACAUUAAGUGCAAAGUAGAUGUUAAAUUCAAGAACUUGAGUUGGUGGACAUAGCAUAAACCUGGAUGCAUAGGAAGAAAAGAAGGGAGGAGCCAAAACUCUGGGGGCAUUGGGUUGCUUCCUGACCAGUCAAAUAAGCCAAAUAGCUGCAUGGAAGAAACAAUUUCAUAUAAGAUUCAGUCCAACACACAAGAAUAAAUGGCAUAGGAUGAAUAUGAAUUUGUGUUUAAAAUGGCCAUACUGAAAGCCAAGUCUUUCCCCAAGACGGAAUGGAUGUCACUCCACCUCGGUCAUGGAUCCAUUUACGCCCUCUUGCACAAGCAUUGUCUCUUCCACCAUCUCGCCCUUCUCCAAGGAUACGCAUACAAAUGUAGCUGAGGGUUGUACAAAACAUGGUGCUUUGUCCCUCAAUAUGAAAUCCCCACCCACCAUCUUCAUUCUGCAAUGUUCAUAAGCCAUUUUCAUACUUUAAAGCUCCAAGCCCAUUUAUGAGGUUAGAAUGAUGACUAGGUUCAAAAUAUAUGUACCUGAUGGCAGUAUAGGUAGCGAAGAAUUUCUUUAAGAAAUUCUCCGGGGAAUACAAUGUCAAGAUGCCCUGUAAUGUAUAGACACAUGACCUGCAUUUUCCAUGAAAUUAUGCCAUUGAGAAUGGCUGUUAAAAUGGUCUAUAUUCAUGAUUUUGAUGAGGGUGAGAAGAUGUUGAGUCGACUCACCAGAGGAGGAAGAAAAUACAAUGGGCCAGAAUUUUCUGCAGGCCAAUGGCCAUCACUUGCCUGCAAGGCUGAAAAGAAAUGUGCACUCCUUCUCAGUGCUAUUGUGGCUGUCUCAUAUGUAAUUGCUUCACCAUCCCCAACCUUCACUUGUGGUAUUGUUUGUUUGAAAUUCUUCUCUCUCAAAAACUGCAGGUUUUUUUUUUUUUUGGCCAAAUGAAAUGGGAGUUAGUGAAGAACAAGUUUAAAAGAAAAGAAAAGGUAAAUUAACCUCAAUAGUAAACAUCUAUUUGUACAAUUAUUCCAAGCUAGGUGGGACUAUUAGAGUGAAGAUAGGUGUAACAAUCGUUAAUGUGCAUAAUAUUUAUUAUGAGUCCAAAUCCUUUAAACUUAAGUUUUUAAGAAAUUGAUUGUUCAACAUGAUAUCAAAACUCGAUUUUACAAUAGGUCUUACUCUCAUUAUUGAACUAUCUGGUUGAUGGUCUCUCAACCUAGGGCAAGACCCAAAAUCACCUACUUGUAGUCAUGGUUUGAAACGUGGCAAGCUUACCAGGAAUCGAACCCAAGCCGAAAUGUUUGGAUUGAAAUUUGGCUACCACUGGGCCAAGCUCACUUUUGUUAAUAUAUAUUUAAUUUAAAUAUGUUAAAGUUUAUUAUUAAAAAAAUCUAAUUAUUUUAUUUUAAAUUUUAUUUAAUUUAUUAUAAAAGUAUAAAAACCAACAUUAUAAUUUUCUUAACAAGACUUUUUUAUAUCAUUGAUAUGAUAAUUAAAUAUAAAAAAUAUAUAUAUUAAACAAAUCAUAUAUGCGUCAUCAUUUAUUUUACAUUAUUAAAUGCAUUUGAAUUAAAUAAAUUAUAAUUUUAAUAUUAAAUAUAUUAUCAUGUAUCUCAUUAAUCAUAUUUUAAAAAAUUAAUUACUAUCACUUUACUUUUAAAUUUUUUAUAUUUAUCAUUUUAAUUUUGAAUCUUUUUAUUUUAAAAUAUUAAAAAUAUAAAUUUAUUAAAAAAAAUACAAAAAUAUAAAAAAAUAAUGAAGUUCUAAUAUUUUAUUAAUUUAAAUUAAUUUGAUAAGUUAAAUAAUAAAUUAUAUAUUAAGACUCAUAUAUCCUCAUUCACUAAUAUUUUUCUCUUUAACCAUACAUGUGUUAAUUACAUUUACAAAAUAACUUUAACAUGUAUAUUUUUAUUUAUUUUAUAAUUUUUUUUGGAGUUUUUCCAAAUAUUUUCAUGAAUUUCGAAUAAUUUUCAUCUCAUCAAUAUUUCUGUCAAACUAUCCACUGAUAUUUCUUUAAUAUUUUCGAUAUAUCCAUGAAAUCCAAGUAUUAAUAUAUCUGUAUUUAUUGAUAUUUUAAACCAUGCUUAUAGUAUCCGUAAUAUAUCUUUUUUUUUUUUUCUCCUUUAUGAUAUCAUAGCCUCAUUUGCUAGGAGCUGAACCUCAUAUGGUCUUCUUAUGUGGUCAUCUCAUUUGAUGGGAGGUCAAGUGUUCACCAACAUGUUCUUUUCCCAAUUUAUUAAAAAGUCUACGUGUAAGCCAAAAAUAGGAGGCUACACAUGCUGAGGAGCAGUAGAGCUAGGAAAUGAAGUGAAGGGGGGCAAAAUAUGAGAAUAUAUGUAUAUAUAUAUAUAUCAGGGAGCAAAAAUGAAUAAAGUUAACAAUAAGAAAAGCUAUGUAGCAUGUAUGCAUGGAAGACAUGUAUAGUCAGUGAAAAACUGCAAUCUUGAGAUAGAUGGGAUCAAAUCACCUGCAUCCGCCAAAGGAGGUCGCUGCUGGGCUUAACCUGAUAUCGGUUUUUCCAGAAGUUCUCACGAGCUGCUUCGACCUCAUUUCGCUCUUCUGGGGUUCCAUAGUCAGGAUCAAACUCCCAUAUCUGUCUUCCCACGAAGUUGUUGGUGCUGUAGAUGUAGGGAUCAUUGCCCCCAUCUGCAACCUUGAGCCUCCACAUUUCUAACUCACCAAACUGAAGAGAUAUAUCUCUAUAUAUAUCUAAGUUUACAAAUAUGUGUGUCUAUCUUCCGAAAACACCUGCUGAUCAUCCAAUCAUCAUAAAGGUAAAACAGACUUUUCUUCGCAAUAAAAUUAAAUUAAAAUGAUACAGACCAAAGACAGAGAGACAGGUGCUGGGUGGGCAGAGAAGAGAGAAACUUCAGAACCUUGGAAUGGUGAGUUGCAGGUGGAAUCAUUCAUUCAUAUAGAAGCACAACACGAAGUCAGUCACUAACCCCCGUCACUUCUAUUAAUUCUUUUUUCACCCACUUCAGUUUGUGGAAAUUAGUGUAGAGUGAACAUUUUUGGACUUUCAAGUAUUUUAUAAUUGAUAUAUUUUUAAAAACGGUUAGACCAUUAAAGAAUUCAAUGCAUUAGGUCUCAUAUCAUUUUAGGUCACUUUCUACUAUCAAUGAAUAGACCAAACACAUUAAAUUUUCUUUACUCUGAAGUCGUUUAACACAUGGAGAAAGUUAAUAAACUCGAUCGGUGUGGGAGGUUUAUUUUCUAUUAACUUCUAUAACAAAUAAAUAAAUAAAGUACAUCCCUUUUUUUUCAAAAUUCAUAGAUGAUUUUAUCCCUUAAGACUCCCAAAGCACAACUUUGAUAAGAAAUAUUUGAUUUUUUGUACAAUUUAUAAUUAAAAUAUUAAUUUUUAAUUUAUUCUUAUCUAUAUAUAUUUAUGUCUAAUAUAUUUAAUUAGUUUCUAAUAUAUUCCGCAGUCCAUUAUUUAGGUCAUACAAUCAAUCCUAAAAUUAAUAUAUUUUAAGACGUACUUAAAGAAAUGAUACAUCAAUUAGGUAUAUAACAUUUAAAUUAGAUUGUAGUUAUGAUUAAGCCACGUUUUUCCCUUACACAUCCCACUAAAGCCGAAAAAACAAAAAGGGAAAUAAAUGACCUUUUGUGUUGUUGCCAUCAGUUAUAAUUAGGGUGAACAUGGAGCAGAUGUGUUGUUGGACCUCCUUAUUCCUAAUUUCCAAUUAUAACUAGGCUUUUGAUCAAAUAAUUCAUUCUAAGAAUGCAUAUGAUAAUAUUUCUAUUCAAAGUAGAAAUAUUGUAAGUAAUUUUUUAACUUUUUAAAAGUGCUUUAUAAAUUUUAUCAAACAAUGCAAAAAUCAUAUCCUUUCUUUCCUUCUUCUCUCUUUCUAUCCAUUGUAACUUAUGCAGAAACUUCGAAUUUUAAAAAAAAAAAAAAACAACCAAAAACAAUUCUCUCUUUUAUUCUUCAAAUUUGCAAAUUCAUUAUGGCAUCAGAACUUGUCAAUUAAAGAAUUCAAACUCUGCAUUCAAUCCUUCAAAUUCAUCAAUGCUCAAACCCAAUUUCCAUUUAGUCGUCCACCACAAACUUUCUCCUCUAGAAGACUCAAAUGAGACAUAAGGUAGCUAGUAGAAAUAAAUUGCUACAUAUGUAUUCUUAUUAGUGCAACUAUGAAGGACCCCCACUAAAAGAUUUAAUUUUUUAUUUAGUUGUAGUUAAGAGUUGGCCGAAACUAUAGGCUCUCAUUUGAUUUUUCUUUUUUAGGAAUUAUCGAAUACAAACUGAUUUUCAAAAAAAUAAAAUUCUAUGAAUACCUCUAACAAUAAUAAUACUCAUUAGCAUUGAGAAUAGAGAAGAAUUUGUUGUAUUCCAAAUAAAAUAUUUUCAUAAUAAUUUUGAUGGAUAAUACCAUGAUGUUACAAUUUAUGGUUUAAACUACCAAACAAAAAAAUAACACAAUCCUCGCUACGAGUUCAUACUAACACAUUAAGCCUUUCUUUCUUCAACUUUGUUGGAGCGAUGAUAAACGAGACGUUUAUGAAGUAAUCGAAAUAGGGAUGUAGAGUGAGACUGGAAGAAACGGCUGAGAAUGAAAUCUAAACUCUUUUGGGGUGAGGAUGAAAUGCUUACAAUGUUGAAUAUAACAUCUGGCAUGUAAGGAACUCUACCAUAGUCAACUACUGAUUCUCCCAUUGGACUUGGUAGACUCUGGCAAAGCUAUGGAACAAACAAUUUCAGUACUUGACACUUGAAUAAAAAUUUCUAAGGAAACGCUUCCCAACAAAAGAUAACUUUUUAUAGCAAACUUUUGUUCCUCUCGCUUCUUCUUCUUCGACCAGUGUUUUGAUUCAUGGGCUGCAACAGAGAAGGUUUAGCUUUGUAGUUAAGAUAUUUUGGUCAGAAGCGCAGUAGGGACAAGCCCUUCAGCAAAAUCUAUGAAUUGAAGCAUGGGGGGCUUCUUUGAAUAAAAUCUACUUUUAUUCCCGCACAAAAAAAUAGUUCUAUAAAUGAAACUCCCAGACUGAAAAAUUUUGAUUUGCAAUGUUAACUACAAUUUAAUUAAUUUAGGGUUAGAAUCUUACCUAAACUUCAAACUCUGAACCUCUAACCCUCGAGCCCUAAGAUCUCUAAUUCUCUAAUUUUGGUUGAUAGGGUUUUCUGAAUAAAGAAGGUAAGAGGAAGAUCUAAUUUAUACCUAGGAUUAUUAAUUGUAAAAGGACUCUUUCACCCUUAAUGAGUUUAAUUAAUGAAUUAAUUACUUGUAAUUUACUAUUUUGCCCUUAAAGUAAAUUUUGGGGUGUUACAUCCUCCUCUCCUUAACAAAAGUUUAGUCCUCUAAACUUGACAUAACUGGGUCUUGAAAAAGACAUGGGUGCUUUUCUCUCAUCUCCUUUUCUAAUUCCAAAGUGGCUUCUCAAAUACUAUGAUUGCUCCAUUGGAUCUUUACUAACUUGACAACAGCAUGAUGUAGUACGUACCUUGUCCAUCACAUCCACAAUCUGAAUUGGUACUUCUUCAUAAGUCAAGUCUUCAGAAAUCUAAAUAGGCUCCAACUCCAUCAAAUUUGAAAUGUGGAAUAUAUUAUGAAUCUUAGACAAGCUUGGGGGCAAGGCCACUUUAUAUGCCAAAGUGCCUACUCUUUCUAAUAUCUCGAAUGGACCCACAAAUCGAGGACUAAGCUUUCCCUUUCUCCCAAAUCUCAUCAUAGAUUUCAUAGGCAAUACUUUUAAGAAAACAUUAUCACCUACCUUAAACUCCAAAUUUCGCCUGCGAUUGUCAGUAUAACUUUUCUGUCUACUUUGAGCUGUCUUUAAUCUUUUUUUAAUUAAGGCAAAUAUUUCAACUGUUAACUGAACAAGUUUAGGCCCCAAAAGUUUUCUUUCUCCAACAUCAUCCCAACAAACAGGAGAUCGACAUUUCCUACCAUAUAGCCCCUCAAAAGGUGUCAUCCCAAUGCUAACUUGAAAGUUAUUAUUAUAGGCAAACUCUACUAAAGAUAAGUAAUCAUCCCAAUUACCUUUUAAGUCUAAAGUACAAGCUCUCAACAAAUCUUCCAAAACUUGAAUUACCCUUUCUAAUUGACCAUCAAUCCGAGGAUGGAAAGCAGUACUAAAACUCAACUUAGUACCCAAAGCUUUCUAUAGAUUAUGACAAAAUUUAGAAGUAAAAUGAGGAUCUUUAUCAGAUACUGUUAGGAAUUUGAGGCUAAUCCAACCUAUGAUAAUCACCCUAAAGGGGGGGUGAAUAGGGUGAUGGUCUCUUUUUCAAAUUUAAACUAAGUAAAAAUAAGAGACAAUUUAUAUGCAAGUAUAUGAUAAGCAAAAUAAAGACAAUUGCAUAUAAAUUAAAAGAGUUAGGGAAGAGAGAGAGCAAACACGAGAGUUUAUAGUGGUUCGGCGCAACCCGGCCUACAUCCACUCUCCUCAAUCUCCUAACCGAGUGAGGGUUCCACUAGCUUGAAGCUUCAACCAAGCUUCCAAUCUUCUUACAAUUGGAUUAUGGUUCCAAUUGACCCUCUUGGACUUUUGGCUCCAAGCACCCUUUACAAUUCUCAAGAGAUGUCCCUCUCUUGAAACUUCCUCUCAAGGUUUACAAAUAAUGAUCUCAAAGGUUUACAAAAAUCCUAGCACAAGAAUUUUAAGCUCAUAUGAUACAAGAAAAGCUAGGAUUGAAUGGUGCACUAAAGAUAUGCAAGUUAUGAAACAAUGGUGCACUCAAAAACACUCUUCCAAGGCUCAAAUAUAAUCAAGAAUGACUUGGGAAGGUUAAGCUUUUUAAACAAUGAAGAUUGGAGCCUUUUUAUAGAAGAAAAAAGCCAAACUAGCCGUUUGGGGUUCGACCGGUCGAGCUGGGGGUCGACCGGUUGACUAGCCGUUAGCAUUUAAUGCUUGGCAGGAGACCGUUGGGCCUCGACAGGGUCUCGACCGGACCUUGACCGGACCUCGACCGGACGAGGUUCGACCUUGACCGGUUGAACAACCGUUCUGGAAGAAAGAGAAAAUUUUUACAUUUUUCGAACGGUCGACCGGGGUACUGUUCAUCCGGUUCAACCGGUUGAGCUGGGGGUCAACCGGUUACUGUUCAUCCGGUUCACCCGAUUUAGCCAAUUGAGUCGUUUUUUGCCCAACAACCAACUUUUCCAACUUAUAACCUUUUAAACAAGUUUGAAACAACAUUUAACACAAGGUUUUAGUUGAAAACAUGAAAUCAUCCAAUUUUAAAAAUAUUUAAAACUAAAUAACUCUUGGAUGAUUUAGGUGCAUAAGUAAGGAAAAUAAUGCAUGGAAAUCCUAGUGCACCAACAACCUUACAAAGAGACUUAAGAAGCUUUGGUCUUGAAAAACUCUUCUCUUUGAGGUGGUCUUCUUCUUCAUGAUUUCUCCUUGGCUUGAUUUGUCUUUGGAUUGCCACUUUAGAAGUCAUCUUGCCUAAUCACACUUAAAAUGUAGUCAUUAGUUCUAAACCUUGUUUUGUUAUCAUCAAAAUCAAGAUUAACCAAACCUUGGUUUCACAGAUACUAUGGAAACAAGUACACCAUGCAUUCUCACAAUCUCCCUGACAUAUAAAGAAGCUAGAUGGUCCAUAGAGAAGUUGAUUUUCAUAGGCAAGAAGUGAGCAGACUUUGUCAAUCGAUCAACAAUCACCCGAAUAGUAUUAUUGCCCCCUAAGGUCCUUGGUAACCCUAUCACAAAAUCCAUAGUAAUAUGUUCCCACUUCCACUCAGGAAUAGAAAGUGGUUGCAAAGACCCUGCUAGUCGUUGAUGCUCAUCUUUCACUUGUUGACACACUAAACACUAAGCGACAAAUUGUGUAAUAUCUCACUUCAUACUUGACCACCAAUAAUUUUGUCUCAAAUCUUUGUACAUCUUUGUUCCUCUUGGGUGGAUCGCAAGCCUAGAACAAUGAGCUUCCUCCAAAAGCUCCCUCCUUAAGUCUCCAUCAUUUGGGACACAAAGUCUAGUCCUAAACCUCAAAAUCCCAUCAUUUGAUAAAACAAAGUUAGGCUUACUGUCCUUUUUAACCUUUUCCAUAAGUUGCACUAAUUUCAAAUCAUUCUUUUGUAGGGCCUUAAUUCUCCCAACUAAGUUUGGUUGCACUCUAAAAUUCGCCACAAGUGCUCCUGAUUCUAGAAAUCUAAUAUGGACAUGUAAACUCCUCAAAUCCUCUACUAAUCGCCUUUGACAACCUUUAAUAGCUACUAGGGAACCAACUGAUUUCCUACUUAAGGCAUUAGCUACAACAUUCACCUUCCCUAGAUGAUAUUGAAUAAAACAAUCAUAGUUCUUGAGUAGUUCUAUCCAUCUUCUUUGUCUCAUGUUCAAUUCCUUUUGGGAAAACAAAUACUUCAAGCUCUUAUGAUCAGUGAAUAUUUCACAAGUUUUACCAAAAAGAAAAUGUCUCCAAAUCUUAAGUGCAAAAAUCACUACAGCUAACUCCAGAUCAUGAGUGGGGUAAUUUCCCUCAUAAGACUUCAACUGUCUAGAAGCAUAAGCCACAACUUUUCCAUGUUGCAUAAGGACACAACCCAAACCCUGAUGAGAGGCAUCACUAUACACUACAAAUCCUCUUGAACUUGAAGGGAUAGUUAAAAUAGGAGUCGUCACUAAUCUAUUCUUUAACUCCUGAAAGCUAUGUUCACAGUCAUCAAACCACUAAAACUUAACCCCUUUCUAUGUCAACUUAGUCAAAGUAGGGCGAUCUUAGAGAAACCCUCAAUAAAUCGUCUAUAGUAACCAGCUAGUCCCAAGAAACUUCGGAUUUCAGUCACAGUAUUAGGUCUCCUCCAAUUUGCUAUAGUGUCUAUAUUUCCAGGCUCAACUGAGAUGCCAUCCUUAAUUACCACAUGCCCAAGAAAAGAGACUUUAUCUAACCAAAACUCACAUUUUUUCAAUUUAGCAUACAAUUGCUUAUCUCUUAGAGUCUACAAUACAAUACUCAAAUGGCGCUCAUGCUCUUCUCCACUCCUUGAGUACACCAAAAUGUCAUCUAUAAAAACCACCACAAACUAAUCUAGAUAUGGUUUGAAUACCUUAUUCAUUAAAUCCAUAAAAGCAGUAGGUGAAUUAGUCAAACCAAAAGGCAUAACCAAAAACUCAUAAUGCCCAUACCUAGUUCGAAAAGCAGUUUUGCAUCCUCACCUCUAACCCUUAGCUAAUGAUAUCUAGACUGAAGAUCAAUCUUAGAGAAUACAGAAGCACCCUAAAGCUGAUAAAACAAAUAGUCAAUUAGAGGAAGAGGAAAUUUAUUCCUCUCAACCAUGUAGAUAUUAUCUGCUUUGGACCCAAAAGGGCCUUCACGGCUUUAAAACGCGUUUACAAGGUUAAGAGAAGUCUAUACUUAUAUAGCACCAGGAACUUUCCCCCCUAUCUAAUGUGGGAUGUCACACAUCAGAUUCUUCAAAGGAUUGUGGCAUGCAUAAAAGAUAUCACAACUUACCUUGUCUAAGCAUGAAAGGUAGCUUUAUCCCCAACCACCAUCAUCUAGUUGUAACUUGAGUAGAAAAUCAGUUGUUUUGCGAACAGCAAGACAAUUUUGGUACGCCUUGCCGAUAGCUGCUAGCCCUCUCAGUGCAAACCAUGUGCCAUAGGUGAAGUAAAACCAUGUGCCAUAGGUGAAGUAGAGUCCCUAUUUUCCAUACUUAUGUAAAUGUUUCCUCAUGUAAAUCGAAUAUUCAAUAACUCAUACAAAAAAAAAAAAAAAAUUGUGCAAAUUCUUGAGCAAAUCUAAUAGUUGAGUUUAGAAACAUAUAUACCAUGAGCCAUCAGGCAUUUGUAUUUCUUCAAUGUACUGUACAACAUUUUUUAUGAAAAUUUCUAUCUCUUGCUUCUUGUGUCCCGGGUAUAACUUCUUAAACAAAACUAAAUCGUGGAUUGCUGAUGCAGUGCACUCAACAUGCUUGGACCAUUCUUCUGUUAAUCUUGAAGGAAUUUAAAGCAUGAAGAGUCACAAAAGAAAUCAACAUGCCUGAAUAGAAUCUUGCUCAUGUGCAAAGACCACAUCUUCAAACAUUUUAGUAGGAUUUAGUGACUGAAAGCAUUCAAGGAUUCUAUUGAUUUAGAUAGAUAGAUAUACAAAGACAGAGAGAGAGAUUCCAUCAACAAAGUUUAAAGUUACUUCAAUAUGUUGAGGUAAUUACCUCCAACCAUUUGGAAGCUCCUGCAGACUCCCAGGCUAAUAAACCACCAUUUUUACUCUAUAAAGGUAUAUAGAAAAUGGGGUUUAUUGAUACCGGAGAAAUAAUUCUGAGAAAGGUAAAUCCAAAGGAGGAAAUAUAAGAAAGCUUCCUACAAUUCUAAAAUCACAAAAGCCAUGAUUUGUUUAGUAAUUGAGACCGUAGAUAUAAUACAAGAAAGAUCAUCCUCACCUGUUGGGAAAGCAGGAGAUUGACAGAAUCAUAUAACCAUUCAAGUUCAAUUUUUUCCCCAACAAUUUCCAGCAGCAUUACUGAGAGAAGGAGACAACACUGUAACAGAGAUGAGAAUUCAAUUAAUGGAAAACCAUGCGACAAGUAUAUGAAGUGUUUGAACAAAAUUUAGUUACCUUCAAACUUUCUGUAGUGCAAUCAGAAACUUGCCAACCAUGAUCCCGAUCUGAGAAUGUCCAAGAUUCCUUAGAAAUGUGUAUGUACAUGCUUCAAAAAUCACCAAAAGGAUUGUCCCUAACCUACAAGCUUAAUUAGCUUUCAAAUGGCAUCAAGAAAUAAUGAUGAUUCAUAAGAAGAGAUGAUCUGAGAAAUUCAAGACAACACCUAAGAUUUCUUUAUGAAGCCAUGUCCUUUCAUGAGCGUGGCUCCAAUUUCAUCUUUGAGAUUACAAGCUAUCAGCUCUUGAAUGGCAAGACUGGUGUCCCACUACUAACUACCAAUGGUCUACAUAUCUCAAUGAAAAUUAUCAAAGUUAGGACUUUGAAUGAAGUUCAAUCUCAAAUACGAAACAAACUCUAAAAAAUAUAUAUAUAUAUCGGAUCUAACCUACAUCUUAAUUCCAUCUUCUGCAAUCCAUAUAUAAUCUAGGGGCCUAGCAAGGUGAAUCUUGAAAGAAUCCCCAUAUGGAUCUUCUACCCAACAAGCAAGCAUACACAAUACCUGCUCAAUUUAAGAGACAUUCUUCCAUUAGAGUUUCUUUUUCCUUUUAAACAUUUCAUAAUACGGACAAUCGUGUUACCUUCUCCACACAUGCCAUGGUAAUAUACCGACUAUUUUUAUCUUCAUAAUGAAUGUUUUUCAUUGUUGUUUCAAGAACCUUUUCUCUCAACUUGUUGAAAGGCAAAAUAUUUGCCACAUCAAAUCCUGUAUUAACAAAUGGGGAUAGUAGAGAUCCUCCUGCAAUAUAAAAUUUUCCAGAAUGUUUCAUGUAAGCAUGAAAUAUUUGGACAGAUGGUUCUAGUAUAACUAAAACUUACCUUUGCACAAUGAUGUCGUACUUUCUUCCAAUCGAUUUCAUUAUAAUGUUGAAGGAAGAGCUCUUCUCUUAGUUCUAGAAAAAGAGGGGUAAUUGGGCCAACGAAUCGUUUACCAUAUAAGUAUGACAUGUUCAUGUUAACCAUCCAAGAAUAGCACCACAUUUUUGCUGCAUUUAUGAAGCAAUUUUUUUUUUUUAAGAAACCUCUAUACAAGAGAAAAGAGAAAUCAGUUUUAGCACAAGAUGGUUAAAGUAGACAUGGAAGUGGCAUUCUGAAUAUCAACCAAACAACAUGCCAAAGCUUAGGUUUCUAACUCAGUAUGUGUGACCUGAUAAUAGAAUAAGACUGAAGGUGACAUGGCUCGACUUGCCUCUUGUCUGUUUUUUAGGCAUUAUUAUUGAUUCUAUAAUGACCCAUUCACAACUAUAUAAAAAUGAUCCAUUCUAGGCCUAAUGUAAGAGGGAGAGAGAGAUUAUGGUUGUUUGGUGGUGAAAACAUGAUUCUAAAGAGGACCCCAUAUCUCUUAUAGAAGGAUGUAGGGAUCAUUGCCUCCAUCUGCAACCUUGAGCCUCCACAUUUUCUAACUCACCAAACAGUCGAGAUAUCUCUCUCUCUCUCUCUCUCUCUCUCUCUCUCUCUCUCUCUCUCUAUAUAUAUAUAUAUAUAUAUAUAUCUAAGUUUACAAAUAUGUGUGUCUCCCUUCCAAAAACACCUGCUGGUCAUGCAAUCACUAUCCUUAUAUCAAAGGUAAGACAAGCUUUUCUUUGCAAUAAAUUAAGCUAAAAUGAUACAGACCAAGGACAGAGAGAUGGGUGCUGGGUGGGCAGAGAAGAGAGAAACUUCAGAAACUUGGAAUGGCGAGUUCCAGGUGGGAAUCACUCAUUCAUAUAGAAGCACAACACCAAGUCAGUCACCAACCCCCAUCACUUCUAAUAAAUAAAAAUAUAUAUAUAAUUAUCAUUUUAGGCCACUUUCAAGUUUCAAUCCGUCAAUCGACCCAACACAUUAAAUUUUACACAUGGAGAAAGUCAACUUCUACAAUAAAAAAAUAAAAAUAAAAAUGAUAUAAUUUGUUUUUUUUUUUAAAAUUCUUAGAUGAUUUUAUUCUUCAAAAUACUGUCCCAACAUAACUUUGAAAAGAAAUAUUUGAUUUUUUUUACAUUUAUGAAUGAAAAUAUUAAUUUUUAAUUUAUUCUUAUUUAUUUAUGUCAAAGAUAUUAAAUUGAUUUCUAAUUCAAUUAUGAAUUUUGUAACAUAAAUUUAUAUUUUUUCAGAAAAUAUAUCAAUCAUUCAAUCCUAAAAUUAAUAUACUUUAAAACAUACAUGAAGAAAUGACACAUCAACUAACAUUCUAAUUAGGUAUAUAGCAUUCAAAUUAUAAAUUCAAGUUUGUAAACACAUCAAUUAAAGUCUCAAUCAACUAACAUGUGAAAGAUUCCAUUUUUGCAAACCCCCCAAAAAAUGGAAAGGAAAUAAAUGACCUUCUGUGUUGUUGCCAUCAGUUAUAAUUAUGGUUCUUGUGGUUGUUAUUUGAACAUAGAGUAGAUGUUAAUCAUGUGACUGCUGCAUUUUUUUUUAAAAGCUGUGGGGCCUCCUUAAUAGUACUAUAAUUUAUGAACAACAGGCUUUGAGAGAGAUGGCUACGUCUUGUAUGUUGGCCCUUGUUUUUCUUUUCUGCUUAUCAUAAUACCAUGUCUUAUCUUUUCCUGUUCUUGAAAAAUGGCCUUAAUGGAGAUCAUGGCCCAUGCAUGCUAAAUAGGUGGCCCUGAUGCUUUAUACGCUACAUGUUCUAAAAGAAAAUCCCGAGACGUCCUCAAAGUGGCAGCUUGUUGUCAUCUUCUUUGCAUGGUAUGGUUGCCCUCCAAAUUUCAUCAAAACGUGUGGAUGCCUUUCACAAAAUCCGGUGGUGCCAUAUUCUUAAAGUGGCAGCCUUCUUUUUUUUUUUUUUUUUACAAAAAAUAAACUGAUGUGUAGUGGAGGUUCAAAGUGGCAACCUUAUUCUCAUCCUAGUAGUGCGUGGUGGAUACCUCUCACAAAAUCUGGUGGUGCAAAAAUCUGUGCGUGGAGGGGCUUUUUGAGUGGCAGCCUGCUGUGUAAAAUCCACAGAUGCAGCCUUGAUGGAGAUCUCUAGGUGCGUCAGUUAAAGCUCCAAUGCAUAAUCAGUCCGGUGCGUCUUAAGGAAGAUUUGGACAUUCAAUGCAUGCAGCUCCCUAUUCUCUCCGAGUAACAAGGACUGUUUAAGCUUUAACUCAGCAAAAGUAUAGCCUGAAAAUUAGAUAUCAAUGAUUAUGGUGCAUUCUGUUGCUUCAAUUGAUAGAAGCAUUGCUGCCCGACCAUAUGUCGUGCCACUGAAUUUAAAUUCUGAAGAUUUUAUAAAAAAGGACUGUUUCAGUUCUGACAAUCCCCAUCUUCUCAUUCCAUUUUCCAGUAGAUUUUAUGUGGAGAUCCAACCACAUGAAUUAAGAGUAAGAAGCUCAGCUAUUACAGGUAUGACGGGCAUGCCUAAACAAUAAUUUCAAGUUUCUAAGAGCAGUAGAUCCCUUCACAUCUUCAGAUUUUAGAAACAAGGCGAAAAAAAUACUCAGACUUCUCCACCCCGCAACCAUUCCAUUGCAAUUGUAAAUAUGCAGUAAGUAUAACCAGUCCAGUCUUGAAGGCCACUUCUUGUGCCACUGUAUUGGCUUUCAUUUUGGGAGCAAAUAAUCACCAGUAGGUCUCGAAAUCGAAAAAAGUUAGUGGCUCCCUCAUCUUAUGUAGCUUUGUACAUAUCUGUCUAGUUAACUCUAGGCUUCAUUAUAGAUAUUACAGUGUUGCGAGCCACGAAAAUGAUAUAUAGCUCCCAUGUCAAACAAUGCCGCAUCUCCAUCCUCAGAGGUUUUACCAUUUAGAGCUACUGUGUGCCACUUUCCCCGCAGCUUGUUCACUUCAAGAAUGCUAAAGUUUCUCCAGAGACAUCCGCAACAAUCAUAAACAGAGGAGCUCUCAGUGAUCUUUUCUAACAAAAGAAUUAUGCUCUUUAUCAUUGAAAUCUUCUUAUUUGUGUUGAACACUCUUGCAUUCUCAAGUUCAACAAUCAGUUUCUCAGGGUAUGUAACAAACUAUGGGGAGAUAUAUCUUCUGUCAAUAUUUGUUCCUUCUUCAACAUCAGCAAUUAUUUCAAGAAAGAAUGAUGACUCAACAAAUAAGAGACCGUUUGGCUCAACCUAAUCAAUUGCAUCAACGAUCUUGAACCCAAUGAACUGUUUAUUUCCCACAGACACAGAAGCAAUAUCUUUGAUAUCAAUAUUGACUUCAACAAGUUGAGCUUACGUCUCCAACUCCUUCACUAACUCACGUACAGUUUUGUAGUUCCCUUUUUCUAUGAAAACUAGAUUUGGACCAGAUUUAACACUUGGCAGGCCCAAGGGCGUGAACCAGAAGUAGAUGAAAGCAACAAAAACAAGGCACGAAUGGGUAAAACAAAAUGGACUAACAAAAGCCACAUUUCAUGCCUAAACAACAGAUCAAGAACAAGUAAUACAAACUAAGAGCAGCAAUAUGAUUAUCAAAUGCCAAACCUAAAGAUAAAUCCAACUAUUUACAAGGGGAAAUCAAAGAAUCCAAAAUGUGACCAGAACAGAGCAUGCAUGCAGACAAUUAGAUUCAGUCAAAGCAACCAAAUAACUCCUGAUGUCCACACCAAAUCAACAAGAUAAUGCUCAUAAAUCUAAAGAAAAUGAAAUAAAACAGUAUUGAAAACAAAGAAGAAAUGAAACUCAUAGUGAUCUUACUUGAAAGGCUCCACCCAAGUAAGGUGUGUUCGCCUUCCACUCAUCAGGAAAUGACCGCUCUUUAAUACUGGUGAUGUUGCUGAUCUCUCAACAUGCCACCAUUUUUCUAAAUUUCCAAUUCCCCAAAUUAUGUGUCUUCUAUUCUCCAACUCACGUGCCUUCUCAAAAGAACCUGGAGAUCCUCCUCCAAAGCAGUGUUAGCUUGACUUCAAGUGAGACCUACCUCAAAAUUUGGCAAAGCCAAUCAAGCUUUCUCUCUUCUGCUCCUCUACCUCUAGUUUUUCUCUCCAUUUUGAACUGGAGAAUCCAUUUUUCUUCCUUCAAACAUCUUCUUCCUCUCUGUCCAAGAAAAAAUCUUGUGCCUUUCUUCCUCUCAAACGUCUCCUCAAUGUCCCAUCCUAUUCUUUUACAACUCUUAUAUCCCUCCUGUCUCUACUCUGCUCCACUCCAAAAAAAAACUUUUGAAUAUCCUCUCGUAAUCCACCAACUUCUCAUUCCUGAUGGCCCUUUUCCACUUUCCCACCAAAACUCUUUAAUUCUCCCAAAAAUUCAACCUAUGUCUCCUUCCCCCAUGGUCUCUUUUUCACUUUCCCACCAAAUUUUUUUUUAGCCUAAAUAAAUGAGUAAAUAAAAUAAAAACAAAUAAAAAGGAAUUUUGGAAAAAAAAAAAUAUAAUAAUAAUAAUAAUACUAUUAAUAUCAAUAAAAUAAUAAUAAUCUUAAUAGUAAUAAUGAUAAUAGAAACAAUGGUGACAAAAACAAUUCUAAUGAUAAUAAUUAAAAAAAUAAAAUAAAAUGACAAUAAUAAUAAUAAAAAUAUACAAUGGCUAUAUAUAUAUAUAAGUAGAUAUGAAAAUGAACAAAUAAAUAAAUAAAUAACUAGAUAUGAGUACGCAACAUGUAUUUAUAAACAAAACAUGCAAGCUACGUAGGUCAUGCAAGCCACGUAGGCCAUGCAAGCCAUGUAGGCCAUGCAAGCCAUGUAGGCCAUGCAAGCCAUGUUAACCAUGCAAAUGACUUACGAGUGAUGGGAUAAGCCUAAGUGGGCUAGGUGCCUAAUGGGCCUAAAUAUGUCUCAGCAAACUGUCAUAAAAGUGUACCUAAUAUCCAAAAUGGCUCAAAGAAGCAAGUUAUAUGAGUAGCAAUGGGCCAAUAAAAACUACUGUGGAAUAAUGAAAGGGCACUUAAUUAGGGCAUUCCAAGGAGACAAAAUGGAGGGUCUACACACUCAAAAGACAAGAUAAAAAGUCGUAUACAUUCAAUCAAUGAAAAAUUAAUCAUGUACUAAAAUAUUAAAAUUCAAUUAUGCAAUCACAAAUAAAAAAUCAAUUAUAAACUCAAAAUUAAUGUCACAUAUAAUCACAAGUAAUAAUCAAAUAGGAACUCAAAAUUAAAAUCAAAUAUUCAAGAUUCAAAUGUGAACUCAAAAUUAAAAUCACUCAUGCACUAAAAAUUAAUCAUGCAAUAAAAUCAAUCACAUGCACUCAAAAUAUCAAAAAUCAUUCAUGUACUUAAAAUAUAAAAAAUCAAUCACACACUAAAAAUCAAAUAACAAACCAAAGCUCAUCUAACCUAAAAACAUGCAAUCAAAAUCAAAAUCAGACCUAAUGCACUCAAAAAAUAGUAACUAAACAAUAGAAGGACUCACUAGAAAAUAAACUCCUAAACUAUAACCAGAGCCACUAAAAAAAACCACACUAAGGAUCCAUAUAAUCCUCCAAGAUAUAUAUCCAAAAAAGGUCCAAAAACAAUGAUAAGGUGAAUAGUAGUAGACCACCAAUGGAGACACAAUAAAAACUAAAAAAUAGAUUCUAAGUGCGCAAUGAAGGAUCAUGAUAUGAAGGAAGACAACUACUAGAUAAAAUGUGCCAAGAUGACAAAAUUGAGGGUCUACAAAUAUGCCCAUCUUCGAUAGAGAUCAAGAGUGUAAUGAAUAGAUCACUGAUACACGAGAGAUGAGUGAAACGAAGUGUCCCAAAUUCCUAAUUAGUAUAGAUUCUUUUUUUCUUUUUUUUUUAAAGAAUAUUAUAUAGAAUAUUUCUAGGUUGAUAUAUUAUUGUAAUAUUAGACUUUCUUAUAGAAUAAGGAAGGUUGUUGGAAAUAUCCCUAUAAAUAUUCUAGGUCAUGAGGAGAAAAAGUUAUGAGAUGAAGAUGGGCUUGUAAAGACUAUGCAAGGUGGAUAAAGAUGUAAAGAAGAACGGGAGGUACCCGAUGGAGUUAAAAGGCUCGUGGUAGGGUAGGGAUACGAAGAGUGGGGAAACACAAGAUGUUUCGAGAACCCAAUAAUUGUAUCUGGUUAUGUCCUUUGUAAUUGUUAACCCAAGGGUUCUCCUAAUUGAGUUUUGAUGAUAACCAACCAUGGUUAAGUGACUAAUUCGUUUAAUGGUUAAGAAUCUCAGGCAUAAACUCGAAAAUUCAUCAAAUGACCAAAUGGAUACAAGAUCGAGACUUUUGGAAGACUUGUGAUCAUAGAAAACAAAUGUAAGAUGAAUACAUGGGUGCACUUAAGUUUUUCAUACUAUUUCAUGCAUUUUUGAAAACUCGGUUUAUCAUUUAAACUUUCAAUUUCAUUAAAACCUAAGUUUUAUCAAAUAUACCUUAGGCAAAAUGUUUUAAAAUUGGCAUAAUAAUUCACCUAAAGACCUUGCCUAAGAGUUAGAAAAUAAAGGAAUUGAAAAAGAUAGGUUUUUGGGGCCAAAUGGCUCAACUGAUCGAGGCUAUGGUCAAUCGGCUCAACUAGUUGGGGAACCGGUUAACCGGUUUCCCUUGUCCGGUCGAGGAUGCCCAAAAUCUUCUCUUUCUCCCAAUAGCCUUUUCUUCCCGAUCGAGGUUCGGUCAAGGCAGCAGUAACCUGUCAAAACAUUAAAUGCUCCAAAGGCUAGUGAUAUGGUCGACCCCUAGCUCGACCGGUCGAGGUUACCUUUUACUGUUUUUGGCUCCCGAGAUUAGAAACCUAUAAGUUGAGAGCUCCACUUCAUUUAUGAACAAGAGAACACUUGCAAUCAAUUGUCUACCUACCUGUUCUUGACCAAAAAGCUCUCAUUUCUUUCUUAGUGCAUUAAAUCAUCACUUGCAUAUCCUUUAGUGCACUCUUAUAUGUCAUCCUAGCUUUAUCUUGUAUUUGAGCUAUCCUUAAGCUAGGUUGAGGGAUUCAUUCUUGUAAAAAUUGAGUGUUAAAGCCUUCAAGAGGUUUGAAUCUUGAGGAGAUUGUGUAAGAGCCCAUUAGAGCCAGAAUCUAAGUGUAAAAAGAUUGAAAGUUUGGUUGAAGCUUCAAGUUAGUGGAACCCUCACUCGGUUAGGAGAUUGAGGAGAGUGGACAUAGGUAAGGAAGUGUCGAACCACUAUAAAACCCGAGUUUGAAUUCUCUAACUCUAUCUCUUUAUUUUUGUUUAUAUUGUGCUUGAACUUGUUGUGUUUAAUUAAUUUUUAAAAAACCCAAUGCUCUGGUUUUGUCCUCUAUAAUGUUCUUUAUUGUAGAGUGAAAUAAUUUUCUCUCAUUCGUGGAUGUUGCCAUGGUUGGCCGAACCACGUUAAAACCCCGUGUACCAUUGUGUUGAUUAUUUUAUCUUUGUGUUCUUGAUUAACGAUGAUUGCGUCAAAACUUCCGCCAUCGCAACAUGAAGUGAACUAUACCAAAGAAUAAAAAAGAGCCUGAAAUUUUGUCCUGACACAUGACAUGAUAAACUCAAGGAUUGACCACACAUGGGGGAAAAUGUACUCUCGAUAAGGGACAUUAAAGAAAUCUUAUGCGAUGAAAUGAUGGAAACAAUGAAUAUGAUAAAAUAAUGAGAACAAGGACUAUAAAACUGCCAUCUCUGAACAUUAAGAAACUAUGACCUUGAUCGCCAAAGAGAGAAAAAAAAUUGCUUUAAACGUCAAAUAAAAAAUAAUGGCUCUGAACACUAAACCUAAGAAGAAUGGAUCUAAACGCCAACACUAGGAAAACAAAUGGCUUUGAACGCCAAUACUAAAAACAAUGGCUGUGAAUGCCAAACUAAAAAUGAUGACUCUAAAUGGUAAAUAAAAAAAUAAUAGCUCUAAAAGCUAAACCAAAGAGGUGGUUUGUACCUUUCCUAAGAAAAGUAUACUAGAGAUCUUUAGAAAGCACAUAUGCUAGAUUGUUCUGCCAUAGCCACGCUUACAUCUAUUAAAGAUUCACUAAUUAUAGAUUAUUUACAACCUUUGAAUUUGAGUAUGACACCUUGGUUGGUACCCUCAAAACCAAAUAUCACUCACGCAGUUAACAAAGUGUGCCAAGACCUCCAACAACCAAGGCAAAUCUUAAGGAUGUGAAACAAAUCCUAUGUUGUUUAAAAAGUACCUUAGAUUACAACAUUCACUUAUUGGCUUAAAGCUCAAUAUCAUUAUAUGAUUUUGUUGAUUCUAAUCGUGCAGGUUAUCCGAUAACAAUGAGUAGCACCAUUGAUUUUGUGUUUAUCUUGGCAGCAAUUGUAUUUCUCAGUCUUCUAAGAAACAAGAGUCAAUAGUAUGCCCUUGAAUAGGGGCAAAGCACCACUCCAAGAUUGCAACUUUUGCAAAAUUAACUUGGCCUAUAUUUCUUUUAUGUGACAUUAGCUUACCACUUCCCCAAUUUCCAUUUCUCUUUUGUGAUAACAUAAGUGCAUUACACAUGGCCAAAAAUCUGGUGUUUGAUGCACAAACAAAGCACAUUGAAUUAGAUUACCAUUUUGCCUGUGAAAAGUUGUUGUGGGACACCUUUAUGCUAAAUAUGUUCCUAGUUAUCUUCAAAUAUCUAACAUUCUUGCUAAGACUCUAGCUAGAAAGGCUUUUAGUAUGUUUAGCUUCAAGUUAGGAGCUCAAUGCAUGACCGCACUAGCUUGAGGGGGUUAAACCUCCUUUACAUUUAUCUCCACAACCAAACAAAUCAACAGGUCACCUUUUGAGACAAAUAUGACAAUAUGCAAGUGUAGACCCUCCAUCUUAUCCUAGUAGCAUAUGUUAUUCAAUAUAUUUUCCUUCACUUCUCAUUGCCUUAUAGUCGUCCCAUGGUGGUUUAUUUGUCGCUCAUUUGGUACUAUUUUUUAAGCCACCUUCAAAGAUUCAUUGUUGAUGGAUUUAUUUAUUUAUUUAUUAUUUUUUAUGGAUCCCAAUUGUGACCUUAGUUGCAUGCUUAGUCUAACUCACUUAGUUUACUUAGUUGCAUUUUAGGUUUAGUUCACUUAGUCACAUGCUUAGUCUAGCUCACCUAGUUCACUUAGUUGCAUUUUAGGUUUAGUUCACUUAGUUGCAUGCUUAGUCUAGCUCAGUUAGUUUACUUAGUUGCAUUCUAGAUUCAACUUACUUAGAUGCAUUUUAGGUUUAGCUCACUUAGAUGCACUUUGGUUUAGUUCCCUUAGAUGCACUUUAGUCUAGCUCCCUUGGGUUCAUGCAUGAGGGGAUUUUUAGGAAGGAAGAGACCUUUUUUUUUUUUUUAGGAAGACACAAUUGCACAUUGCAUGAGGAGAAGAGAUUCAUGCAUAGGAAAACUUUUAUUUGGAAUAUAUGGGCUAUCAUUGAGAGGUACACUACUAUUAGAGACUAAUUUUGGAAAAAGGAGUUAGAGCUGACACUAAUUGAUCUUGAAGAAAAAAUGAAGCAUCUUGAGAAUAAAAGUCGAAGUUUUGAAGAUCAAGAAGGCAAGACUCAGUGCAGGGAAACAAAGAAAGAAGUAAGCUUGCAAUCUUUUGGAGGAAAGGUAUGAUUUUUUUUUUCUUGCAUAUCUCGAUUAUGGUUAUCUCUUUAUUUAUUUUUUUUUUCCCAUCAUGUUUGAGUGUAGGAAUUCUCUUUGUUUGGGGUAGAUAAUGAAGGCCACUUUGAUUGUUGUUAAUUGGAUUGUUGAUGACAUAUUAAUGAGAAGUUGAUGAAUGGUUAAUUGAUCUCAUGUUGAUUAAUGCUUAUUAGAAUUGAGAUUAGAGUUAUUUUCUUUGGAAUUAUUUUCAAUUGAUUGAGGCCUUUUGAUAACAUACAAUAGGUGGCUAAGAGAUCCUUUAUUUGAUUUUUUUAUGCCUUAGGUUUUAUUUUUGGUUAUUCAUUUUUUAUUAUGAUGUUUGGAGUGUUCACCUUGCUGUUGUUUUGUUAGAAUUAUUGAACCUUUGUAAUUAAAAAAUUGAAUCAGGUUAUUUUACGUCUCUCUAAAAUUUUUCAUAUGAUUGCAUGAUGUUGUAGACUUCCCAAAUAUAUUGAUAGAAGUUUGUUUGAGUCUAAAAUCAUUUUUCAAUUAAGAGAUAUAAACCAAUUUUUCAAUAGGUUCAUUUUUUCACUCUAUUUUGCACACCCAAAAUUGUUUUUUAAAAUUAAAUUAUUUCAUGAUCUCUAUAAUUUUUUUUUUUAUAUUUUUCCAUUAUUAUAAAUUCUUAAGUUUAAUUUUAGGACCCUGAUUUGUUGAAAAUCGAUUCUCUAAGUAGAAGAAAAAAACUCUUUUUCCUACACCUAUUGCACUAACCCCUUUUUGUAGUCAAGGGAAGUUUGGCUUAAUUUAAAAAUUCACAUUGUAUUAUUAAGUCAUGUUGUUAUUUUUUCUGUAAGUUAGAUAUAUUGAAGGUAUUGUACAAUUUUUUUUUCAUAAUUUUGUCAUGCUUAUAAAUAGAUUAAUUAAAUUAGUAUUUUCAUGCUAUAGGAUUUUGCUCUAUUUCUAAUCAAUAUAUUUGUGAUUAAAUCAAGUAUUAAACGAGAUAUGAUUUGAUGAUGAAGCCUUUUGGGUUGUAAUCUAGACACAUAGGGGAUGUUGUCCAAGUAUUUUCAUGGUGAAAUUUCAUCUGUAGAUAUUUGUUUAGGAUAUAUUUUGCAAGUGUCUUUGUUCUAGAUGCAUGUUGAAUAUUGUUCUGUAAAGUGUCCUUAAUUAAAUGUUUUGGGAUUUUGCAUUGUAAUAUAGAGACAUUGAAGAUGUUACCAAUAAAGUAGUGAUUUUGCCACUGCAAGGCUCUUCAAUUUCUUUCUUAAUUUUUCAAUUUGCACGACUGUGGAAACUUUUACACAUCAAUCAUUUGCUACAAUAAUAAUCAUGUAAAUUUGGUCCACUUUUCCCAUUCUCUAUAAUUGAUUAGCUUAGGAGCUGUAUGGAGAGGAAAAUGACAUGGGUCGGUGUUUGACAAUAAUAUAUAGGAGACCUCUGAUGCAGGCUCUUGGCAUUAAAAUGAGCUAAAGAUGGGUUUGGAAACCACUUUCAAAUGAAAAUUGACAUGCAUAAUUUUUGGUGUAUUUGUCACAUGCAAUAAAAAUUACUUAAAUAGGAGUGACUUUGUCACAUGGCUUCAGAUGGAAUUACAGCACAGUAUUGGAAUUAGUAUUCAAAUGGCUGCCCUAUGGAGAGUUUUUUAGGCCUCAAUCCUAACAGUAUAGGUUGACCACUCGGAAAUUAGGACCACAAACUAGCCUAGGCUUGAUCCAGGCACUGCUUAUGGACACAUUUCACUUAACUUCUUUGAUCUGUUACUUGUAUUUAUUGUGACACUUGUUCCUUCUUGUUUAUCUGAUCCAGGAAGCUUGUUUUAUCAAAGAAGCAAGACCUUUCGAUGUUUAUGGAUGAAUUCCUCUUGUCAGCAUUGGUUCUUUAAUAUUCACCAAAAAGUGAACAAGCUUGGAGCCUUAGGUAGAUAUUUUACAAAGCCUUCUGUACUGUUAUCUUAUGCUAAGUACUGAAUAUAAAUGUUGUUGAGGGUACCACCAGUGACAUGCAGAUGCAAUGUUUAUUAUGAGAACACCAACGGCAUAGUGCAUCAACGGAUAUUUGAGUUUUCCGAGAAGGAGGCCUUUACAUCAUCGACCAGAUCAGGAUUAUUUGAUUUUAGUAAGGUCCUGCUAUUGUUUUAUUCUCUUGCACAAACUAUUCUUCAAAAUAUGAUUAGAUAAUCUAAAGUCAGAUCAAUGCAUUUUACUGAAUCACGGGAUACAUCCAUGGACUCACUACCAUAUGCAAAUUCUUUACAUACAAGUAGGUAAUAAACAAUAACACGCCAAGAAUUUCUACAAUUGGACUAAAUCGUGACCGUAAAGUUUGAGAUACGAAAGAUAUAAAAACGAAACAAUAAAAUCUUGUAGAAUGAAAAGGUCCCAAUCACGCCAAGCAUUGCUCGCCUAAUUGGAUAUUAAAAGAGGUGUCAUUCACGUCUCACAACCAAUCUGGCACGUUAAUUAGAAGACGUUCCGUAACUGAAGGGAACUUUCAUCUGUGUGCAGUCACCAGGGUUUCUAUAAACCGUAAGCCGUCGAAUCGGGGCGCGAAUUUUUCCUUAUCAGCUGAUGAGGAUGUAUGGGAAAUCUGAGUGUUAUUUUUCCCCAAAGACAGUGGCAAGCCCUAAAGAGAAUAAGACACGAGUGUAAGAGAUCGUGAAACUCUGAAUAAAUAGGAAAGAAAGAAGUUUUACAAAUGCAAAGCCCUAACCUCAAUCAUAAGUAGUAGAAAAAGGUGAUCAAACUUUUCAUUUGCUUAACAUUGUUCAAAGGGUUUGACAUUGCUCAACAUUAUCUGAGCUUUUCUCCUACAGAUGCUUCUUUGGCAUGGCAAUGCAACCAGACUUAAGGCGAUGGCACUCACUUACAUACUCUGCAAGAGCCCACAAUGGAAAAAUAUUCCUGUAAUCUGCAUAGUGUAACAUGCAGUUCUUCAUGAAGGCUCCAGUGAUUUCCUGCCAUAGAUAAUUGAUGAUCAAAUGGUUAGACUACCACCCAGUAUAUAUAGUCAGCUACAAAAGAACAUCAUUUU
rnacentral:lncRNA from 1 species